AACUCAAAUCUAAGCAAAUGUUAGAUGGGCAAGCCAUUUUUCAGAAAUGAUGAAGGAAAAAGCAGGUCAUAUAAAAUCUCAGAAGUACAAGAAGAGGAAAUUUCUGCAGGCGACAAUUUUCUGAGUGUAUCUGAACAAAAUUGAUAUAUCUAUAAAAGAUGAGGCAACAUGGUCACCUGUUCAAAAAUCGAAGAGACACUACUCUCCGAAUUUCAAAAGCCAAAUUUUCCUGAAUAAAGUUCGUUGGCAUUUUUCAAAUGCAAUCUCAGCUUUUUCGGAUAUCGCGUGCAACUUUGUCAAAGAUCUCUGACAAAGUUGAAAACACGUAAAUCUUAAUGUUCUAAUUACAUCACAAUUGCUGACAAGAGUAAAGAUACAUCACCACUACCUGCUAUUGGGAAAUCCCUAUAUAUGUCAACCUAUGUGCUCCAUAAUAAGGCAGACCUGCAAGAAUGUUUAACUCUUUCUCAUCUCCGAGAAUGCAUAUUCAACACAACAUCUCGAAAUACUCAGUUUUCUUCCUCUCUGAGAAUACCUCUUCAAAACAAGUCAUACCAAAGCAAAAGUACCUCAUAUUAUCAAGGACGAGAGCAAGAGUAUCUCAUAUCAUGCAAUCUCCCUAUCAUUUCCUUUGUCAUUAUUCUUACCUGCAAAGAAAAGGAUAAAGAAAGCAAUAUGUCGGAACCUCCACUCAAACUUUCGGUAAGGAAUUGACUGCCUGGAACCUUUCCUGAUUGCUUACCUAGUAUUGCUCUCGAGUAGCCAUCUUCAACUAUUUUUGGAGCUAGGUCUCCAGUCACUAAAAAGUGAUGAACCAUCCAAAUGCAAAUGUUGCAUUCCACUCAUGCAUCAGUGAACAAAUACUACAAGAAAAGAUGCCACACAUGCAUAAGGGAAAAUCAGGGACAAUACCACUUAUGCAAGGGGAACAAGUAAGGCAAGUGAAAAUGAUACAUUGAAGCAUGUGGAGACAAGCGCAACAAACAAGUACUGAUUCAUCGCCGACAAAGCCGAAGAUCACUUGCCACGUGAAGCUCCUCAUGGUCCAAUUUCAUUCAAAAUCAAGCCUCGAAGGUCCUUGAAGAAAUCACAAGUCCGAUUCAAGAUCAAGUGUCCACCAUCCUUGAAUCAAAUUCCACUCCAGAUAAAAGGAGUAAAUUCAGACAUUUGAUGCAAGUCUAGUAGAAAGCCUUUCAGACCAGUUCAAGAAAUAGCCUGUGGAAAGUUAACAACAAGUAAAACACCUCUUUCGACAACUCUUUUUACUAAGAGACUGAAGCAGAAUGAUCAACGAUUAGUCUAAAUAAUUUGAAAUCAGGGGGAGAUACUCAUCAUGAGGAGUAUCCAAAAAUAGAUCAAGAUUUUAAUGAGGCAACUGAUAUUGAUAUGUGGGCAUCCAAGGGGGAGUGUUGAAAAUACUGGUGGGUUAAUGAAUGCCCACAGUGAUAUUGAAAACCUUGGUAGAAUUUUUCAAUGUCCACACAUAGAUUUUCAAUACCCACACAAAGUGAUGUAGACUUUGGAAAUAAAAGAUAUCGUAUUUUUAAAGUCAUGUGCUGUAAAUUUCAAAAUGUUAGAAUAUGUUUGUCUGGAGUUGCUCUAUAAAUAGAGUGUUUCGACUGCUAUCAAAAUAUACAGAGAAGUAAGGAAGUUCACGAAAGAGGAAGAGAGAGAAAAGAGGAAGAGGAGAGGAAAUAAUAGAGAGUUAUCUUUGUACUACUAUUAUUCCAGACUCUCAAUGAAAACACCAUUGGUGUCCCGAGGAUGUACUGCAGUCACACUGACUGUAGAGGAACUUCGUAAAUUUUGUGUCUUGUUCCAUUUAUUCCACUGCACACACCGUCAAUUUUAUAACAAUAUAUGGGUAAUUUGCUACAUAACCAAAUGACACUAAUUAAACGAAGGGUAAUGCUAGGGAGACUAAAUUUGAAGACAAAAUUUGCAAACUAAAUUAUGUGUCAUCAAUAGAAAUAAGCACGUUUAUCAGUGCUUAAAUAAUAAACCAAUCAUUGACUUUCAUGUUCUUUAGUUUUCAAAAUUUUGUCUUCAAAUUUAGUCUUCUUAGCAUUACUAUAAAUAAAAAGGACAUACACUAAUGACUAGGUAAAAUGGAAAUUUCAGUGAGCAGUACGUCAUGACUUUGGCACCAAAAAAAGGAUUAAAAAUAAGAAAAACUAAUAAAAAUGGCUUGAAAACUUUGAGUUUUAAUUAUAAGGACAAAAUAAAGGGUAAAGUAAAUAGUACCAAUAUUAAUUUUUUAGCUUAAAAAUGUGGUUUUUUUGUUAAAGUGAACAAUAUCAGGAAUUUUUCAUUAAAGUUCCCUUAAAAAUAAAGAGCACUAUCUACAUUAUUUUUCUUUUUUAGUUAAAAAAUAAAAUAAAAUAAAGAGCACUAAACGCAUCCCCACCUUUAAAUAUCGUUAGAUGAAAGAAAGGGAACGCACAAACAUAUUGUUAUAUUGGAUUGAAAGUUCUAAUUCUCAGUUGUGCUAUGAAAAUGGCAGCCAAAAAUAUUGAUGCAACUCUGUACGACCGCGUGAAGCAAGUGAAAGAAUUCGACGAGUCAAAGAUGGGAGUCAAGGGCCUCUCCGAUUCUGGCAUCACUUCCAUCCCUCAAUUUUUUAUCCACGACCCUCAAACUUUGUCCGAUCUCAAACCGCCGUACAAAAACACCACCACCACCAUCCCCACGAUCGACCUUUCCCACAUCAACUCCGCUGCCCACCGCCCCAAAAUUAUUGACCAAAUGAAAUCCGCAGCCAAAAACUUCGGUUUCUUCCAAGUCACCAACCACGGGGUGCCUGUUUCUGUUUUGGGCGAAACGGUCAACGCUGUCAAAGCGUUCCACGAGCAGCCCCAUGAGGUCAAAUCCAAAUACUACAAGCGAGAGGAGGGAAAGGGAGUCAUGUAUGCUAGCAAUAACGACUUGUACCGCACGACGGCUGCCAGCUGGCACGACUCACUACAAGUGUGGAUGAGUCCGGAGAGGCCAGAGGUGGAGGAGAUACCUGAGGCUUGUAGGGAGGAGGUGGUUGCAUGGGAUUUGCAUGCAACCAAGGUAGCGGAGGACGUGAUGGAGUUGCUUUCAGAAGGGUUAGGGUUGGAGGGAAGGAGGUUUAAGGAGUUAACGUUUUCGGAUAAGAGGGCGCUUUUGGGGCACUGCUAUCCUUACUGUCCCCAGCCUGAUCGGACUGUGGGGAUUAGGGCACAUACUGAUCCUGGGAUUAUAACAGUUUUGUUGCAGAACCAUGUGCCUGGGUUGCAAGUUAGGCAUGGAAAUGAGUGGCUGGAUGUGAAGCCUGUGCCUGGAGGUUUAAUUAUUAACGUUGGAGACUUACUUCAGGUAAAUCCAACGAGGCAAUAUCAUGUUUAUAUUGUUUCUUCCAUGAACAAUUUUUCUUCCAACUGUGAUAUAUUUAGUAACAGAGUAUAUCUCCUGAUUUUACUUGACAUUUGUGUUAUAGUUAGUUGAAUUCACCACGACAUCGUCGGCACUGUACACAGCACUGUCUUGGAUAUAGUAACUUUUCCUAUUUUUACUAGGACAAAAGUAAAAGAUCUCUCGUGAGAAAGAGUAAUGUUAGGAAAACUAAAUUUGUAAACUAAAUUUUGUAAACUAAAUGAUAUGGAAGUUGAUGAUUGGAUUAUUACUUAAUCGUUGAUAAACGUGCUCAUUUUUUAUUGGUGACAUCUCAUUUAGUUUGCUAAUUUAGUUUUCCUAGCAUUACUUCACGAGAAAAAACAAGGAAGGUUGUCGAUUUUUUGUUGGGAGUUUUAACGAAACACUCCCAGUAAUGUUCACUUUUAACUAAAAGUUACAAUACUUUUUUAUCCUUUUGAUUAAAACUCAAUGUUUUCAAAUCUUUUUCAUUAAUUUUCGUUUUUUUGUUUGGUCUAUGAUUCACCUCGUAUUUUUUGUUGUUUUGCAAACUUUGUUUAUUUCUGUCUCCUUAAAUAUCUUUUAAUAUUUCAAUGUAAAGAUAGAUAUUGCCGUUUUUAUUGAAUACCAUGCAUGCGGCUUAUUCUUACAAAUAAACAAAGUUUUAGAACUUUUCAAUAAAGCUUAAAGGUGGAGGAUACAUGCAUAUAUAUCUUGACCAAACCUUACCUUUUUCUAUGAAGAAUAAUAGAAAAAUGGAUCCAUUUCCUCACCAUGAAUACGCAUCAAUCACGACCAUAUUUAAUUAAAACUUGAACUAAUCUAUAAUGGCCAUACUUUUUCAAAGUUUGGUUUGAUUAUUGCUUCUUUCUUUCGUUUUAUUUAAAUUGAUUAUUUAUUCUCUGUUCAAUUAGGUUUAUACCCUUUGUGUUUUUGUCUGAGGCUGCAGAUAAUCUCCAACGGGGAGUACACAAGUGUACAACACAGAGUGUUGGCCAACCCUUGGAAAGAAGCUCGGAUCUCCGUCGUGAUAUUUUUCAACCUAUCCAAAUGGAGAGAAGAUGGUUACUGUGGACCUCUUCCGGAGCUUUUGUCACCUGAGAAACCACCAGUUUAUCGAGACUUCACUGCCCAAGAAUUCCUUGGAAACUUCUAUGGCAAAGGAAUAGAUACCAAGUCUCUGAUUGAGAAAAUCACUAUAAAAAACUGAUAUAUAUAUAUAUAUAUAUAUAUAUAUAUAUAUAUAAUAUAUCCAUCUCUUUCCAGCAUGUUUUUAUGUAUUGGGGUGAUGCUAGUGGGAGAAGAUAUAAAAUAUGUGGUUUCUCUAGCAUUUUCAUUUGUAUUAUUCAUUUGCAACAUGCUUUCGAAGUUUAAGGGGGAAGAAUGUAACACUUCAUUUCCAAGCUAAGCUUUGUAGUGUGAUUAUUAGUGUUUGAUUUCUGGAUUGAGUUUCUUAAUGGAAAAAAUGAAUACAUAAAUGUACAGAGAGGAAGAUUAGAGAGCCAUGGAAACUUCAAGGUUCAUUGGAUUCCUCAUCUCACCAAGCAAGGAACUCGGAGAGCAUAUAUUACCGUUAGAGGAGUGAGUAACACACUCACUCUCUCACAUCAUUACAACUCAAUCACAACCAUCCAUUCUUAAGUCAUCAUGUAAGAUGCUUACACCUGUCAUGAGCUAUGACUCAUUACAAUCUAAUCUAGAUGCCAUAUGGAAUAUGAUCCAAAGGCUCACAUUACAUCUUAACUUGCAUAUAAUAAAACCAACAUAGCAAAUACAUUUAUACACCGAUACUCCCUUCUAAAUGUUUUGCUAAUUUCACUCCAAGUGCAACUCUCAAAUACUCAAACUGAUCUUUAGGAAGAGCCUUGGUAAAAAUGUCUGCCAAUUGCUCAUUUGUUCUGCAGUAGUUCAAUUUAAUGAUGCCAUCUUGAAUAGCAUCCCUUAUGAAGUGAUAUCUCAUGUUGAUAUGCCUUGUUUUCUAGUGGAACACUAGGUUCUUGGACAUGGCUAUGGCAAAGGUGUUGUCACACACCAAAGGUGUAGCCUCCACUUGUUCCUCUCCAAAUUAGAUAACACAAACCUCAGCCACACUGCUUGUGUUGUAGCUUCUAUAGCACUUACAUAUUCAGCUUCUGCAAUGGAUAGAGCCACACUGCAUUGCUUAACUGAAGCCCAAAAAAAUAUCCCUGAGCCAAAGCUAAAUGCAUAGCCCGAAGUACUUUUCAUAUCAUCCAAGCUUCAUGCCCAGUCAUUAUCACAGUAGCCUAUUAACACCGCAACUUUACCCUUCACAUACUCAAUCCCAAAAUCUAGUGGCCUUUGUACAUAUCUUAAGACCCUUUUAGUUGUCCCCAUGUGUUUUCUUGUAGGUUUAUGCAUAAAUCUAGCUAAUAAACAUGAUGCAUACAUCAAAUCUAGUCUAGUAGCUGUUAGGUAUAACAAGCUACCAACCAUUUUUCUAUAUAAGCCUUCAUCAGCAUCCUCACUUCCAUCAACCUUAGAUAGUUUUUCAUUGAUUGCAAGUGGAGUCUUCACAGCUUUACAGUCUUUUAAACCAAACUUCUCAAGUAAAGACUUGGCAUAUUUCUUCUGAUGGAUAAAUAUGCCUUUAUCAAUUUGAAUUAUGCCUAAACCAAGGAAAUGGUGCAGCAUUUCCAAGUCUGACAUCUCAUACUGUUUCAUCAUAUCCAUCUUAAACUCUUGAAUCAUUUCAUUAGAACUCCUUGUGUAGAUAAUGUCAUCUGCAUACAGAGACACAAUAAGCACACAUGCAUUACUAAAUUUAGUAUACAAAGUAGCUUCACUUUGACUUUUCUUGAACCCAGACUUGUUGAAAUAUGUAUCUAUCUCAUCAUACCAAGCUCUGGGAGCUUGUUUCAGACCAUAUAAAGCCUUUUUCAGUUUGUAAAGUUUGGGUUCUUGCCCUUUGACUUCAAAUCCCUGUGGUUGAUCAACAUAUACUUCCUCAUGCAGUGUACCAUUUAGAAAUGCAUAUUUGACAUCCAAUUGGAACAAUUUCCAUUCCUUUUAGGCUGCCAAUGCAAUCAAAGUUCUAAUGGUAUCAAGCCUUGCCACUGGUGCAAAGGUCUCAUUGAAAUCAACCCCAGGCUUCUAAGAGUAACCCCUUGCCACUAAUCUUGCCUUGUUCUUCUGCACCGAGCCAUCCAGAUUAAGCUUUGUCUUAUAGACCUAUUCGACACCAAUUACUGGUUUAUCAAAUGGCCUAUUGACUAACUCCCAUGUGUCAUUCUUUUCUAUCACUUCAAUCUCUGUGGACAUAGCUCUUCUCCAAGCUUCAUCCCCUAAUGCCUCUUCAAAACACUCAGAUUUUAUUACACAGAGAUUGCACCUCUCAUACACUUCAUUCAAUCUCCUAAACCUAAUAUGUGUGUGAUCAUACUCUUGUGGUCCAUUGUGACUCACUUGUUCCCCUUGACUUAGAGGAGAAACAAUAACUCGUUCUUGUUGCUCCUGUAAUGGUUCUGUGCAUUCCAAUUCUUCAUCAUUAUCUACAAUUUCAACAUCACUCCCUUCAUCUUCAUACAUUUCAUUUGAGACUGAAAUGGGCAAAUUCCUCUUAGCACAUUAUUUCCAGUCCUAACAAGAGUUCUCAUCAAAGAUUACAUCUCUAGAGAUAACGAUCUUAUUAGUUUUAGGAUUGAACAACCUGUAACCCUUCUCACAGGUUCCAUAACCAAGAAAAAUGCAUUUAACACUUGUGGGUGGGUUUGUUUCCCACUCAAAAUUAACAGGAGAGCCCACCCUUUAAGUCCCUAUACAGUCCUCACAUUUGGGGUUUUCUUUAGGUAUCGGGCGAGUCCCUUAAUUUUAAUUAAAGAGAGAAACCUCUAGUACAACAAACCCCAUUACUAGGGGCACUUGGAAUCGAAACACAAACCAAACUAAAACGCACGAAACGGUUCGAUUUUUGCGGUUUUAAAAUAGUUUUUGUUUGAAACCAAACCUCAAGAACAUUUAAAAACUGCACUGAACCAAACCGCACCAGAAAAAUUAAAUGAAUAUUUAAUCUAUUAUCAAAGGUAAUUUAUACUGUAAGCUUUCUUUACUUUAUUGUUUCAAUGUGUUUUGUUACUUUUGUAGUUUUUAAUAGUUUAUAACAACUAAUGUAAUUUAUAUUGUUUGUGUAUUUAUAUUGUGUAGAGUUAACCAAUUUGAAUUCAAUUACCUCUUAUACUCUUAAACCACAACCACAACAACAAGCUCCAAGACAAUCUCAAGCUUCUAGCUCAUAAUAUUUAUUGACUUCUCAUCCAUCAGUUUCACUUUCACGGGUUCCAAGGUCUUCCCAUGUAUCGCCUUCAACCUUCAAAUAGUAAGUGUCCAAGAGGAAAAAGAGAGAGAAAGGGUUGAUGGAUGCAAAGUAGUGACUUAAAAGUUAAAGCACCAAAACCUCAUUGUUGAAUUGUGUGAACAAUUUUAUUUAUUUAUGGGUUGUACUACUGAUGUCAUAAGGCAUGUUAAUGUUGAAGUUGUUUUAGCUUUAGUUUUAGUACGGUAAACUUAACUUUUUCAAUUGGGUUGUACUACAGUAGUGCCCUAAAGCAUUUUGAUGAAUUUUAUUUCAAUUUGAAUUUUAGUGUGGUGAUCAUAAUUUUUCUUUCAAUUGGGCUGUAUUGAUGGUAUAAAGCAUUUAGUUUGCAAAUGGUUUGAAACCGAAUUGAACCGCAACCAAAUGGUUUUGGUUCUAUUUAUUUUCAAAUUUCAAAAGUGCACUGCAAAAAAUUUGGUCUCAAUUUUGGUCUCACUCAAAACUGCACCAAACUAAACCUAGCACACCUUUACCCAUUACAAUCAAACGGAAAAGAACUUCUAGAAAUAGUGGAUAAAAACCUAUCCCCAAUAUGUGUCAUGUAUCUAGUGACCAACACUAGUAAUGGCAUUGGGAAUAAAAUUUGCUUUGCGAAGGACACCAGACCAACAAAUAAAAGAAAAAGAACUAGCUAGAGAUCUGAUGUAGUCAAAGAUUGUCCUUAGCCACCAAGGAGUACUACACUUGUUCAAAAUAACAUCAAUGAUAAGGUUGGAAUCUCCUUCAACAUACAACUUCUUAAAACCCUUGACAUUUUCAGUUCUCAAAGCAUCACGCAAAGCAAGAGCUUCAACAACAGAAAUGAUACAUUCUUCGAGAUUGCGGGUACCAGCCACAGUAGGUGAACCAUUAGAAUCUCUUAUGACAAACCAGCAACAGCCUGAGAACCCACCAAAGAGCCAACAAAAUUAAUUUCUAUUUUAGGAGCAUGGGGGUGGCCUCCACUUGAUACUUUGAGAUAAACCAUGAGUUUCAUUAUAGGUAUGAAUUAAUCUUAUGUUUUAUUGGCAUGGUAUACUGUCUGCCAACUAUAGUAGCAACCAUAGGGACCCUGGCAGGAUAAACCUUGCAAAUACAGAAAACAAGAUUAUUCAUCAUUUCACACUUACCAAAAAGUUAGAAGAGCCUUGCUAAAAGAUAGAAAGCUCAAACUCAUCUUUUGCAUUUAGCUGGGAUAGUCAGGAAAUCAAAUCUGAAUUAGAAUUCACAUGAGUUCGGCCAUUUGUGAUCCUCCAGACAUUAUGAGAGAUUGCAAUCAACAAAGAGAUGUUGAUCUUCUUCAUCACUGUUACAAACAAGGCAAAUAAAGUUAGUAUUAGGAAAAAAACUAUGCAAUCUCUUUCUUGUUUGUAAUCUGCCUCAAAUUGUUGAGAAUAUAUUAAUCCCACAUUGAUGAAAUAAGGGAUCUUGAAUGUGCUGAUAAGUAGUUGGGCUAUUCCCCAUAUUGUCAAUUGGUUUUAUAGUGGAACCCCAACUUUCUUCAUGAUAACAAAGCAGGUUGUCUCACAUGUAAAGCCCAAAGGCCUCAAGUGUUCCACAUCACUCGAGUUGUGUUGUUAAUGUGUAAGACUUGAAAGUUUGCCACACGUGGGAGUGUGUUGAGAAUGAAUCUCAUAUUGGUGAGAGAAAAGACAUUUCAAGUGCUUAUAAGUAAUUAGGCUACUCCACAUAUUGUCAAUUAAUUUUAGGGUAGUUUUGAUAUAGGCACCUCUUUUUUUAAUUUCUUGGAUUAAACAUCUGGUCCUUUUAAUAAUUUAAUUAAACAUUCUUCCUACAAUUAAGGUGCCAUUUAUUUUAUAACAUCCUUUUAUGCCAUAUUACACGAUUUGCCAUUAUGAUGUACCUUUAAUUAAUUAAUAAUUAUCAUGUUAAUAUCCCAAAUCUCCUAAAAUGUAGUAGAUUAGUUUUAAAAAUCUUAACACAUCAAACCUGAUCCAAUUAUGCUUCUAACGUGCAUUUUAUUCCUAACUUCAUACCAUACAAGUAACUAACGUUCUAUCUUCUUCUACAACCAUUAGCAAUUUUUUCAUGUCACUGCUUUCCUCGAUUGGCGGAUCAAACCCUCUUUCGUUCUCCCUUGUUGGUCAUAUUCAUUUCCUUCAUAUUUCAUUUUAUGUACACCUCUUUCUGAGUAUCCAUAUCAAAGGGUAUGCUUUUUGUUUUUGCACACUUUUUACCCAUCUUUCCAUCUUUUUCACGUAACAUGGUACAUUUGGGAAAUAGAAUUUAGUGGUACAUUUUCUUUUAAAGGAUAAGUUGGUACGUUUCAAACCGAUAUAUUGGUACGGUUUAAGUUAGAAUGGGUAUGUUUUAAUUUAGCAUCAGUACGUUUCAAGUUGUUAUUGGUACAUUUCAAAUUGACCUGAAUACGUUUCAAAUUGAUUUCAAUUUAAAAUUCAAAUUUAUGUAUGGGUACGUUUCAAUUUAGCAUUGGUACGUUUCAAGUUGUUAUUGAACGUUUCAAGGUGAAAUGGAUACGUUUCAAGUUGUUAUUGGUAUGUUUCAAAUUGACCUGAAUACGUUUCAAAUUGAUUUCAAUUUAAAAUUCACAUUUAUAUAUCUCAUGCCGAAUAGCACUAAUCUCAGUCCAAAGACUCCAAACUCAUCCUUUUUAUCAACAACUUUUGUAUUUCAAUAAUAAUUUUAUGAUGUGAAUGAGCCAACAAAAAUGGUAUAAACCCUGAUGCCAAAAAAUAUUUCAAAAUUCAAAGUUUAUAGAUAAUAUUGAUGAUUUAGUUAAUAGCCAUUAAUAAUAUCCCUAAAAAAAAGGUAUAAAUCCCUACAAGCCAAAAAAAUUCCCCUUAUCAACUAAAAGGAUAAAGUGGGAAAUCAACCUAUAGCAUUUUUAUUUUAAAAAAUAAACUAAUGACAUGUAAAUAAAAUAAAUUUAAAAAUGAUUAGGUGGACCCUAGUUAAAGUAUCUUAAUCAAAUUUUUAAAAGAAACAAAUGUUUAAUAAAAAUUAUGUAAAAAAGAAUGGGGGAUUCUAAUUUUCCCUUAAUUUUAUGGUGGAACCCCAACUUUCUUGACGAAUGAGGAACGAACUAAGCAUUUCUAUAUUUUACAAAAAGUUUCUACAUUCUAUUUAAUAACACUAUAGAUAGAUGUGUCAUUUGUUUCUCAGUUUGCAACCAGGUGACCGAUUUAACACAGAACUCACCGUUAACAAUGGACGCCUUAUAAAUUCAUCACGUCUUUCCUGUAACGGUAGCAAGAUACUGCAUAUUCUGCGGAGUCCCUGUAUAAUAAGACUUUGUUCCUACCAAUGUUCUCAAUAACAUCACUAACUCUUAUGUUGGCGAGUUCCUAUUUAUUUAAAUACUUUGAGAACUUGUAUUCCGAUGCAUUGAGAGCUCUUUGUGCCUAUAUACAGAGACUACGAUUGUGAGAACUUCAAAUGGAGUUCUUAUUGGAGAUACUCUUAGAAUAAAGAAGAUAAAACGAAGAACGAGAUCAACAACAUAUGGCAGGAAACGAAAGGGUUGGCUAUUCGACAUAUAAUUAUAUAAAAUAUUUUCCCAUUGUAAUUUAAUGGAGAGGUCGGCAAUACACAGCAGCAGAAGUCGACAUACUAAGAAACAAUGAUAAGAGCGUCUGGGACAAAGACACCUAGUCACGGAAAUGAGAAGAGCUGGUGUCUGGAGAAAACAAGAAAUCUGUGUCGUUGGAAUUGGUCAAUAAAUGGGCCAAAAUAAGUUACCAGUUGAAAAAAAAUAUAAAUAUAUAUAGCUCAAUGAAAUAAUUACAAUAUUAAAAUUAUGAUUAAUAUGUAUGUAUUUCUGAAAUACAGGUGUUCACAUCUGAAUACGUUGACUCCUUCCUUCCAAUUCUUGCAUGUCCCGUAGCAAAACCUAUAACAACGAGUUUAUAACCUAUAACAAGCUAAAGAAAGAGUCAAAAUAUCCGCAUCAAUAAUAACAGUAAAAAAAAAAAACAACAUUAGUUAUGUUCUAAUUGAAAUCCCAAUUCUUAUGUGGGAUGAUAUGAGAAUUGACAUCAAAGAGGGUUACUGUCAAAUUUCACACAGCAACUUCAAAUCUGUUUUUAGUGAUUAUUAAAUACUUUUCAUUAUUUUUGUUAAUAUUUUUCUUCUGAACAAAUGAUAUUAUUUACACUAUGAGGGAAGGGGAGUGAGUUUAACCUCACAAUGAGCUAGCAACAAUGUGGUUCAAAUUUGCCUUUGACGAAAAUCGAACCUAAUGCCUCUUAUUUACAAGUAAAGUUGAAUAUUACUAGACCAUAAUACUGAGUGACAAAUCAAAUAUAAAUUUUAUGUUUAAAACUUGACACCUCUUUUUGGAGAUAGUCUUAGAAGUCUUAAUUAAUUUUUUUUUUUCAAAAGUUUGAGUUUGUAAACUGAAGAAACUACUUAACUAAUUUAUUCCAUGUUUAUCUAAAUUUUGGUUCGAGCUUCAUGCUCAUAGUUUGAAAUAUUCGAAUAAGACAUUCAUGGUAUUUUGUAUCGUUUGAGAAACGAUUCGAGAAAUUCAUUUUAGAAAAUUGUGUGGUUCUUGCGAUGUUUUUACUAGUAUGAAGAAAGUUGAGAUUUUAACACUAAAGGAAUUUGUCGCUUGUGGCAUAUUUCUAAUCUGAUACCAUGAAAAACGUUAAAAUAUGAAGAAAAUUUAUUUUUGGUCAAAAUGAAAGUUUCUUUAGAUGGGGAGGGGAAUUACAACACUAGCCCAGACUUACAAAGUGGCCCAGCCACAAAGUAAGAAACCCAAAAAAACUACAAACCCCAAAUCAUAAAGUGACAAAAACAAAACCCGCCCAUGAUGAACGAACCCAGUUGCCACCACAAUCGCAAAUCCGCUAGGACCUUAAACCAUUCAGAGAAAAGCAUAUCCCCAAGUCACCACAACCAACCCCAAACAUUCCUAUCAGAAUCUGAUCCAAGAUUUGGCUCUCGAAGGAGGCGGUAAAGACCCGAAUCGAGAUACGACAAUCUCGAUUCGGUGCACCUUCAAGUGCAUAAGCAGAAACUCGCUUUUGAAAUGGGUGCAUAAGCCGAAACUCGCGUACAUGAACUAAAAUGAAAGAGAGAUUAUUGAGUUUUGUAGAAUAGGCUGUGGGAAACGAUAGAGGGAGGGAAGAAUAGGAAAGGGCGGAUGAGAAGUCAGGGAAAACCUGUCCAAAUCCACAUCCCACAAAACUUGAUCAAACGAUAGAACAAAUAUAGAUCAAAAUUAUCCCAAGAUCCCAUCAAAUGUUAAUAUAAACUGCAGUUUUUCAACUCCGAUACAUAGCAAAUGACGUUAACUGAAUUACAAAAAUUCAAACUCCAGUCUAGACAAAAGUAACAAAAUAUUCGGCCAACACUCUACUUGAUCUUCUUCUUGGGCCUCAACUGCAAGAAACAAAGAUAAAGUUCAGCCCCUUAGAACGUAAACUGAUCCACAGCAUAUCAAUCACGAUCAUAUUCAAUUCUAUGAUCAAAUUUCAAAUGCAGUAAGCAAAUAGCAACGUUGCAUACUCCGCAGAAAAAUAAAUCUACCUGAUUGCUGUGGCCACACUUCUUCUUCCUACAGUUCACUGCUCUUGGAUGCAGACGAGCAUAGCACCUAACAAACAAGGGAGACAAAAAAAAAUAAGAUCUCAGCAGGACAAUAUAUCGGUGGGAUUCUCACAUGAAAAAUCAAGUGUUGAAACACUACAAGGGAAAGUCAAUGGCAAGAUACACAAUAAUUGACAUGUCCAACACAGUAUCAAUCAGCAUUACGUAGUGUACAGGUAUUAAAAUCAAUCAAAGGAAAAGCCUCGUUGACAAGGUCGAAACACUAGUUAAGAUAUAAGAUCAAAAUGACACUUUUAAAUCAAUCACAUCAUACAAAAUACAUUAAGUAAACACAAAAAACAACAGGAUGUUCCACCCAUGAACACCAACUGAAAACACUUGAUCUCAGCCAACACGAUUAAUGGAUAGAAAUAAAUGCUGAGGCAAGAUAAACUCAAUACACUAGGAAAAAAGGAGGCUAAGUAAUUCUCAACAAUGAAGGACGAGCCACAACAACAUAACAACGCCAACCAAACCAACAAAUAAAAGCAAGCAUAGAAUCUAACUUGCUCGGAAAAGAACACAAAAAAACACAUAGCCAUUUGCCACUGAAGUAAAGCCUCAUUCCUUCAGUCAAAAUCUCAAAACCAAAUUUACUAAUACCUUCAUGUCGAAAACAUCAUUAAUUAAAUCAUGAGUCGAUAGCUUAAAUUAGGAUAUAAGAACAACAUUCAGUAAUUGUUUUUACAUAACAAUGCUAUACAAUAUAAACAAUUAAUCAAUGUUCCACUCAAGAAAAUCAACUGAAAAUAAUUGAGCCCAGCUGACAAAGUUAAGAGAAUGGAAAUUUUAUAUCGGGACGAGUAUAACCUCAAUUGCACUCUAUCUGAAAAGGAGGCUAAGUAAUUGUCCCACAAAAUUAAUCACUAAAUUCAAAACAAAUUAAAACAAAAAAAAAUUAAUUUGACAUAAAUAAACAGAUUAAGGAGAAAAAAGGUAAUUACUUUCUGCAAAUCAUCUUCUCCUGAUUGUACUUGCGAGCCAAAGCCAUCAGAGAAGGCUCGAUAAUCCCUCCCCGGAGCCUCAGCACCAGAUGAAGAGUCGACUCUGAAUCAAAACAGAGUAAUCAAUUCAAAUCAGACUCCGUAAGCAAAUCCAAACAAUUGAAAAAAAAAUUCCCCAAAAUUAAAAACCCUAGGAAAAAGGGAGACCGACCUUUCUGGAUGUUGUAGUCAGCUAGGGUUCGGCCGUCUUCGAGCUGCUUGCCGGCGAAGAUCAGGCGCUGCUGGUCCGGGGGAAUGCCCUCCUUGUCCUGGAUCUUGGCCUUGACAUUGUCUAUAGUGUCGCUGCUCUCGACCUCGAGAGUGAUGGUCUUCCCGGUUAGGGUUUUCACGAAAAUCUGCAUCUCGAGGUUCGUUGGGCUGUGACUCUGAGAGGCGGAAAUGGUUUCGUUAGGGUUUUAUAAUCAGCUUCUAGGGUUUCAUUUCUUCGGGGCAUCUCGCUUUGGAGUCAAGAAUUGAACAUGAAGGACCCGGUAUAUUGGGCCGCUUGCUAAAAAGUAUGGGUAUUUGGGCCUAUUUUUUAAAAGUAUAACUACUAUGUAAAUUUUUUUAUGCAUUUACAGAUAAAAUAGAAAAUAAAUAUUCUAAUUAUAACGUUUGUCCAAUGAACUGAUGUCACAUUGUUAUUGAAAAACGAAUAACCAUAGUCAUCGACCAACCCAACCAACCACCAUAUAUGGGUUGGGUUGGGUUGGGUUCUGAACAUUAAAAAUUUAUUUUGAGAUAAAACCCGACCACCCAUUCAAUAAGUUGGUGGUCGGGUUGGGAUGGAGUACUAUUUAUGCAAUUAAAACCGAUCCACCCAAAUGAAAAUAAUUCUUAAACAUAAGUGUAUAUUAGAUAGAUAUAUAACUAAAUUUAGUAACUUUUAAAUAUAUUUUUUAUAUUAAAACUUGUUUUGAAUAGUGAAGGCUAUGUAUUAGUCAUAUGUAGGGAUAUAACAACAUCAAGUUUAUAUUAUUUAGGCCUAAUUUAAAGUAGGUAUUGAUUAUUUAUUACUCAUACUUACAUUAGAAUAAACCAAUUAACUGCAAUCUCUAAAACCCAUCCAACUCAACCCACUUAAGAAUGGUUUGGGUGGUUCGUUUGCCCAUUUUAUUGGGUAAAAAAGAGUGAACAAUUCCAACCCGAGCAUGUUAGGUUGAUCAACGAGUUCAAGUCCAACCAAACCAACCCACCCAAUGUCCACCCCUAAUCACAAUGACGAUCUGUGUCAACUAAAACAUAGGCAUGUGUUACUUUCUUAUCUACAUGUCAUUGAUUUAUUAUCACGGAACACAUGUCUUGUAAGUUGUUAUCUAGAUUCAGAGGAAAAAUCAAUUGUGUGAAUGUAUUUGUAAUUGACAAUCAGUUGGAAUAAACAUUUUUUGACUUUUUUUCCCACGAUCAGUUUUCAAUGAUGAUGCCAUAUUGAUUAUAUAUGAACGAUAUAAAAUAAUAACAUAAUGACAUGACAACGAUGAUAUAAUAACAACUCAAUUAACAUAUAUCAUUUCUACAACAAAAUAACAAAAUAGAUUUAUUGCUGCUACUUGCGCUGUGUAAUUUUGCAGUUAAAAUUGAUGUAUAGAUGUGAGGGAAGACUCAAAACACUUGCGUCUACUAAGUUGCUGCAUAUCAUGAUAAAUGGCAACUGAAACUUUAUAGAUAACAGAAUACCAUCAUUUGUUGUGUGUAAAGCUCAAUGGAUCAUCACCAACCAAACUAAAUUACAAUUCUCUUUUCCGCCAAAAUAAUCUAAGUUCAAAACUACAUCUUCGUUGAUCGAACGGUUGAUGACAACAGUUUGAUCCGAAAUAAAAGUAUCUCCGAAACCGAGCAGCAGCAGGAACGAGACGCAGUUGAAGGCGAGGAAGAAAUUACAACCUUCUUCCCCUUCUACCACCCUUUCUUCGAGUACUAUCGGUGGGAAUCGGAGUCACAUCCUCUGUCAAAACAGAAAAACGAAAAUCAAGGACUGCAAAAAUAACUAUUCUCAGGAUUGAACAUUACAAACAAGCACACAAAUAUUCUUUUUUUUUUUAACAAGAAAAGCACCAAAAAUAUGUCAUUUGAAGAAAACAAAGUUCCAUAAUCACCGAUCAUCGCUCCCAAAGUCUAGGCAUCACGAGUGGAACGAUACUCAUUUAAUAUGGGAUUGGCAGACAAUGAAAAAAGGGACGUUGAUGCAUUACAAAUUUAUCAAGGCCACAGAGACAUGAAAGGGGAAAGGAAAUUACCAAUGCGGCCAAUUCUCAUGCCAGAACGAGCAAGGGCUCUGAGUGCUGAUUGGGCACCUGGACCAGGAGUCUUGGUCUUGUUCCCUCCAGUAGCCCGGAGCUUUAUAUGUAGAGCAGUAAUGCCAAGCUCCUGCAAAAUCAGCCAGCAAAAUAAAUUAAUUUUAUUAUUACUUAUUAGAACUCGGAAAAUAGAUAUCAAAGAGGGAUGUAAAUCAUAAAACUCAGUCUGCAAUAAAAGGCAGGUAAACCUUGCAGCGUUGAGAAACAUCCUGAGCGGCAAGCAUAGCUGCAUAAGGAGAUGAUUCAUCCCUAUCAGCUUUCACCUUCAUACCACCUGAAAUUAGGAAAAAAAGGCAAUCUCAUUAUAUUAUAGCAACAGCAGUGGAACAAUCAAUAGAAAAUCAUCCUCUAACAGAGUAUGCCUGGACACUACAAGAAACGGUCACUUCUAUUCAUCACAUUAUGGAGAAGGAACGGUUUAAGAAGAACAUCAACAAAUUAAAAAACAGAGGCAUUCAUAUUUGAAAAGCGCCAUCAAAGAGCUUCGAUAACAUAGCUCUACAAUCAACUACUGGUAUACAAAUUUACUCUGGAGGACAUCCAACCAUGCAGUUACAAAUCAAACAAUACAAACAACUAUUUCAAGUAACAAUUUUUUAGAUAGGUGUUUAAGAGUUUACCGGUGAUGCGAACAAGAGUCUCCCUACCGGACAAGUCAGUCACAUGCUGCGAUUAGAAACACCGAAACCAACAAUUUCACAUAUAAAUUCAACUCCAAAUGAAAGUAAUAAUCACAUUCAAACCGAAAAACAUGGCACUUACAAUGAAGGUAUCAUUAAACGAGGCAAGAAUAUGAGCAACACCGAAAGCAUGCUCUCCGUCGCGGAGCACAGGUCCAAGAGUAACAUUAUCCUCCUUGGGCUCCCUGGUCUUCUUCCUCGACUACAAAACCAAUCGAAAAAUACAAAUAAAAAUAUAUACCAAAUAAAAUAAAAUUAUCACGGUGCUUCAAUAUUUGCAUAGUAAAUCUAUAAAUCCAAACAGUGUUAGUCUUCUCCAAUCCAACAAUUCGUUAUGUGUUUGGUUGGCGAGAAAAUAAGAGGGAAAAAAGAGUAUUUUCUGAUCAUAUUUUACUUUCAAUUUCUCGGCAACCACAGAUUGUAAAAAUCACUAAAAAUGCAGAGAGGAGAGAGAGGGAGAGAGAGGGUUUACCAUGGCUGCGAGCAAAUGAUUUGGUAAGAGGUCACAGAUUAUUCAGAACGACGACGCUCCGGCAGCCUCUCAGCGCUUCCAGAAACCCUGCCUGCGUAUAUCGGUUGUUUUAUAGUUAGGGUUUUGCAUUACGGGCAACUAAAUGACCUCAUUGCCCUUAUUAAAGUAAUCGCGUUUGGGAGCUUACCUCAGAGCACUUUCACCGGAGGGGAAGUGUGCCAGCAUCCAGUCAAAAAAUCAGGCUGGGGUCAGUCAAUCCACUCCAGCUCACAAACUUGCCUAAUACCCAGUCCAAGCUAGGCAACAGACUAGCUCAUUUUUUACUAACUAAGAGACCGGCCUAUUUGGUUGGCGUGUGGCGUUCACUCGCGCAUUGACAUGUGGCAUUCACUUGCACAUAGGCGCGAGUAGGAGACAAGAAAGCAGGUGACGGGGACCGCAGGCAGGUGCACUCACCAUUCACCCGGGCUCGGCGACGUGGCCCUCUCUGUGCCGUUGGAUUUACAACGGCUAGUUUUCCUAGACGGUUGGAUUUCCAACGGUUAAAAAAAUUGAAUUUGACUUUUAAACUGGACUGUCCGAUUACAGAUUAACAGUCCACGUUUUUUCCCCAACAAAAAAAAGGGCCCAACGGUCAGAAUUAUGACCGUUGGCCACGUGGCAGCUCGUUGGUUGUUGGAUUUUAAUAUUUUUCAAAUCCAACGGUCCAGAUUAAUUAACUACUUUAAAAAUUAUUAAAAAUUAAUUAAAAAAAUAAAAAAUACAGAAAAAUUUAAAAAUAAAAAUUCUAUAAAUACCUAACCCUCAUCUUCCACCUUACACCACAUUUCAAAUUUAUUUUUUGUACUUUAUUUAAACACAUCAAAUAAGAUUACAUAAACUCACCAAAUAAACUUAAAAAAAAAACACCAAAUAAAAUUACAUAACCUCACCAUAUAAACUUAAAAAAAAUACACUUUAUUCUUCAACAACAAGCCUUAUUUUAAUUAUCUUCACCUUCGUGUAAUCCCCACUAGUGCUUAAUCAAGUCAUUUUGGUGGGUUACUUGCCAGUAUUGCUCUUGCAAUGAAGUGUACCGUUGAACGGUCAAUUCAUUGUAACGUCCAUCAUGUUCCAACGGCUCGUGUUGCACGGGAUCUUCAGUCCGAUCAUGAGCACAGUAGAUUUGUGUUCUUGAGUUGUUCAUCGGAUCCGGCUCGUAUUCAUCGAUGACAUCAUAAUCAUACUCAUCUUCAACAAUCAUGUUGUGGAGAAUAAUAUAUGUCAUCAUGAUGGAUCGAAGAGCCUCAACAUCAAACAUUCUAUCUACAGCCCUGACAAUCGCCCAACAAGCUUACAAGAUACCAAAACAACACUCGACAUCCUUCCUACACCCCUCUUGACAUUUUGCGAAGUGUUUUUCUUUUUCACUCUGUGAUGUGGCACUGUUUUGACAAACGUUGACCACCUUGGGUAAAUGCCAUCUGCAAGGUAGUAUGGUCCCUCGUAUUUAUUACCAUUAACCCAAUAUGUGCAUUUCGGUGAUUUUCCUUGCAGUAGUUCGUCGAACACUGGAGAUUGGGUAAGGAUAUUUUCUGAGCUCCUGGAACACCAAAAAAAGCAUGUCAAAUCCACGUAUCAAAUGACGCAACAAGCUUCCAAAAUGAUGUUUUUGGCUCAUUUUCUGUUGCCAUAAGCUCAUUGCCAUGCACUUGGAUAGUUUUUCCAAGUCCAGUGCUUGCAGUUAAUGCUUUCAAUCAUGCCAAGGAAACCUCACAUCUCACCCUUCAUCAAAAGCCUUCGCAUGUCCCUUGGCGUGGGUUUCCGGAGGUACUCAUUGGUGUAUAGAGCUUCAAUUGCAGAGCAAAACCAUAUCAGGGACUCCAAAACAGUUGUUUUUCCCAUCCACUUAAUUAGCAGAUGCUCCAUAUGCAAACAUUCGCAAGGCAGCCGUAAUUUGUUUGCUCGGGAAGAAAACCUAGAACAUGAAAAGCAUCAUAUUUUUUUGCACAAAGUAUGAUCAUGGUUGCAAACAGCACUCAUGAUUAUGUCAAACAAACUUCGUUGCAUUCUAAAACGACGUCUAAAAACAUGAUCAGGGAACACGUUUUUGGGAAUAAAAUAAUCUUCCAAGAGAUCUUUACCUCGUAUUUCCCUUCUUCUAUUGAUGUUUGCGGCACGUCUAGGUUUGGCUAUCUGACCCACAGCUUCCAUGACACGGCGGGAAUGUGAGGCCCUCCACUUUCUAUGGUGAUCAUCCUUAUCCUUCUCCAUUGCAAAAGCCUCAUCUCCACCUCCACCUUCCUUGAGAUUAACCAAUUCUUCAUGUUGUGCCAACAACCUUUUCUAUUGCUCCUACAACUAUUUAUACAUUCUCUUUGAAGAAAACAUUGUAAGAACUCAAGAUUUGGAAACGAUGAAGAAGGAUUCUGAGCUAAAAAAAAGGAUUGAGUUUGGUGUGAAGAUGGAUGUAGGGAUGUAAGGCUUAUAUGGACAAAAAAAAGAAAGAAAUGAUGAGGUUCUGGACAACGUCAUGUGGCACUACGUGAUUGAUUGAAAAUCUUAUCGAAAUCUUGGCUAAAUUAUUAUAAACAUGAAGUGACAUGUGGCACAUCGGGAUUGGUUGAAAAUCUUAUCAGAAUUCUAUCCACAAAAUAGUAUGUUCAAAUAAUGACACGUGGCGUGACAAGAUUGGUUGAAAAUCUUAUCGAAAUCUUGGCUAAAUUAUUGUAAACAUGAAGUGACAUGUGGUGUGUCGGGAUUGGUUGAAAAUCUUAACGGAAAUCUAUUCACAAAAUAGUACGUUCGGAUAAUAACACGUGGCGUGACGAGAUUGGUUAAAAAUCCUAUCCGAAAUUAAAACUAUUUUAUUUAUUUAUUCUUUAAAAAAAUAUAAAAUAUUUUAAAUAGGCUGGGUGCCAACGCAUUUUUUUAGGGGUGGAGAUGCUUUGACCUAUUACUAUUCACUAUGGGUCUAUUACUAUUCACUUGAGUGGAUAAAUUGGCUGGGUGCUAGCGCAAAGUCUUAGGGAUGGAAUUGCUCUUGGAGCAAUUCCAGUGUGUAAGGGCUUGCCAUGACAAUUGGCAAUUGAAUCCCUUCCACUGAAUAGUAAAUGUCUUUAAUGAACAGUAAUUACAUUUUGCAUCUUCACCUCUAAACUAAAUAGUCAUGGCAAUAGGCAAUAAAAUAUUAAACAGUAAUUUCAGAUAAGAUUUUUAACCAGUCUCGUUACACCACGUGUCAUUAUCCGAAAGUACAAUUGUUUGUGAUAGUUUUCAAUAAGAUUUUUAUCCAAUUCCGGCGUGCCAUGUGUCGUUACCUUUUUAGAAUCGUUGAUGAUAGAUUUCUGAUAAGAUUUUUAACUAAUCUUGUUGCGCCACAUGUCACAAUUUGUUUAUAAUCUUUUAGGAUAUAUUUCGAUAAGAUUUUUAACAAAUUACAGCGUGCCACGUGGCAUUAUCUACAACCUAAUCCUUUAUGUUUUUCUCCAUAUAACUCACCAUCCAUCCUAAGAAAUCACACACCAAAAUCAAAAUCUCUCAAAAUCUUUCUCCCUAUUCAUAAUUUCUCCUUCCUUCUUACAAUGUCUUCUUCAAGGAUGUUGUGGGAAAUCGUUGAAUAAGAGGAAGAAUUGUUUAAGUAAGGGGAAGAAAUGUUCAAUCUCCAUGAGGGAGAAAAUAAGAUGGAAAAGAAAGAAGAUGAGGAGCAUAGAAGGAGAUAUGAUGAAGUAAUAAGCCAAAGAGCCUCAUAUUCCCGUCAAGCCAUCCAAUUUGUGGCUGAGAUCUCCAGGCCUAGGCAUUCCGCAAACAUUGAUAAAAGUAAGCAACGACGAGGUAAGGAUCUUUUGGACGAUUAUUUUGAUCGUAACAGUGCAUUCCCUGAUGCGUACUUUAGACGUCGUUUUAGAAUGCAACGACAUUUGUUCAACAAAAUCAUGAUUGCUAUUUGCAACCAUGAUUCUUACUUUGUGCAAAAGAAUGAUGCUUUUGGUGUCAUGAGUCCCCUUCCUGAGCAAAAAAUUAUUGCUGCCUUGCAGAUGCUUGCAUAUGGAGCAUCUGCAGACUAAGUGGAUGAGAUAGCGAGGAAAAGGAAAUCAACCAUUAUUGAGUCCCUAAUGAGGUUUUGCUCUGCAAUCGAAUCUAUCUACACCAAAGAGUACCUCCAGAGACCUACGAUAAUGGACUUGCAAAGGCUUCUGAAUAAGGGUGAGAUGCGAGGUUUUCCUGGCAUGAUUGGAAGUAUCGACUAUAUGCACUAGACCUUAAAAAAAUUGUCCAAGUGCAUGACAAUGAGCUUCUGGGGACAGAAAAUAAGCAAAAAGUAUCAUUUUGGAGGCCAUGGGAUACAUGAUUUGACACGCUUUUUUUGGUGUUCUAAGAGCUCAAAAUGACCUCGAUGUCCUUACCUAAUCUCCAGUGUUCGACGAGGUGCUACAAGGAAAAGCACCGAAAGUCAAGUAUUAGGUCAAUGGACAUAAGUACGACAAGCAUACUACCUAGCAAACGGCAUUUACCCAAGGUGGACAUCAUUUGUCAAAACAGUGCCACGUAUGUGAAGUGAAAAGGAAAAACACUUCGCAAGAUGUCAAAAUGGGUGUAGGAAAGAUGUGGAGUGUUGUUUUGGUAUUGUAACGCCCCGUCCCGAAAUAUUUAUUUCACAUAACUUUCUCAUUACUCAAAGAAUUUACGAAAUAAUGCAAUAUCAAAGCAAAUCAUCAUUUUCAUUAACGAAAUUUCAUAAUCACCCCGGAAAUUGCACCACAAACACAAUGCAACUCAUAUAUGUAUCUCACAUUAGAAACAAUUUGAAAGAGAAACAAGUAAAAAGAAAGAUUUAAAAGGUUUUUAAAUUUACUUGUUUCUCUUUAAAUUUAAAACCAAAUCCGCAAUACCGUUCACACAAUACAACUCAUAUAUGUAUCUCACAUUAGAAACAAUUUGAAAGAGAAACAAGUAAAAAGAAAGAUUUAAAAGGUUUUUAAAUUUACUUGUUUCUCUUUAAAUUUAAAACCAAAUCCGCAAUACCGUUCACACAAUGCAACUCAUAUAUGUAUCUCACAUUAGCCACUCAUGAUUAUGGUUUGCUUUUCUAAUAUCUCUUUAGGGCGAUAAUGGUUAUAGCUGAAAUUUAUGAUAGUCGUUUUGAUAGUGAUGAGUAUAUUUUGAUUAUUAUGCUAGUAGUUUUUAAGCCAUGAGAAUUGUGACUCGAAGUGAAUAUUUAUUUUGCCAAUGAGUACGGCUAGAAUUUCUGAUAUUUUUCUGCCAAUGAACGUGGCUGGGAAUCUGAGAAUGUGGGUAAGAAUCACAAUUAUUAUUCAUUGGUUUGCUUAUCUUCGAAACUUGAAUAAAAUUGUAGAUUGGGUUUAUGAUUUUAUUCACUACAAAAGGAAUGGUGGCAAUAGUUCUAAUUUCUUUUCGUAACUCGAUGGUUGAAAUCUGGGGCAAGAGAUUUAUUUUAACGCGGGGGGGGGGGGGGGGGGGUGAAUGUAAUACCCUGAAAUUUUUUAAUAUAUAUAUAUAUAUGUGUGUGUGGAGAAAGUAAAAAAUAAAUCGAUUUAUGGGUAUGAAAAAUUAAAUUGAGAACUUCUAAAGUUUGUUUCUGAAAAUUAUUAUUAAUUAAGUUGUAAUAUUAUCGUUAUGUUGAAAAGACGAAAAUGCCCUUAGAUGUUUUAACGUAACUAUAUGAGGACAUAUUUUGUCACAUUUCUUGACAUAUUUGGAUAGAGUUCGAUCUUAUGAACGCGUAGGCAAAAACUAUUUGUGAAACGGUAUUAUAACGAAGAAGUUAUUAACGAAUGAAGUUGAGGGCAAAAUAAUCAUUUUGCCAUUUAUUUUGGAAGGCUCCAGAAAAUCUAGAGCAAUGGGAAUGCCACGUGUGUGGCUAGGAUGAAAGGAAAGGAAAAGAAGAAAGAGAGAUGGACGAAAGGGACCAGCCAAUGAGAAAAGAGGGAAAGGAGGGGAAAUAAGAGGGAAAAAGGGAAAGAAUCGGGUCAUCUCUUUGACCCGCGUGACCCAACCCGGAUAUCCCACACUCCGACAACAAUUUUGGCAUUUCCCCAGCGAAUUGAGUGUCGCCACCACCACCAUUCAACUCAACAACUUUCCCUCUUCCUUUUCCACCUAAACUCGACGAGGUUUGGGUUCCAUUUCACAAAGAACCCUACUAGUGGAUGCGGCGGUUCAAGGGUGGCGAUUCCGUCAAUCCCAAAGCUAACUCCGACCACCACCACCAUCAAACUCCUCCUAGUGAGGCCAGGAACAAAGCCCAAUCAUUGGUUGGGGGCGGAGCACCGGAGGUGGUGGAUCGAAACCACCCAUUUUUAGGGUUUUCCGGCGGUUCGAGGGGUUUUUCGGCCAUUUUCAGCCAAACUAGGGUUUGGCCCAGAUAUAAAAGUUGUUCCACUUAAUUUGCUCUACAUUUCUAUAAAAUUUGAGAAUUUUUAGAAAUAGUGAAAAUUCGGCAAGUCAGGGUGGCUGACCACCACCCGCAGCAACGCGUGCAGCGAUGCAUGGCCAGUGAACCGACAUUGCAUUCUUAUGCAAAUUUCGUUAUUCUAAUUAUGUUUUUGGUAUCUAAUUGACGUGUUUUGAUUAUUAUCACAAAUGUGGGAUAUUUUAGAUAAAUUGUAUAAUAUGUGGAAGUUGGAAUGAAGUUGAAAUGUGAACUAUGAAAGGCUUGAUCCCGCUCAAGAGUACAUAGGCAGUCUAACAGAGUUUAGAUGCAGCCUUAAAUAAUCGAGACAAAUCUUUGGUUGAGAAAUUGAACUAAGAAAAUGAAUUUGGUAAAUAAUUUGAGAUUUAACCUUAUGUUUUGGUAAACAAAUGUUUUUAUAAUUUUUGUGAGGGAAUAAGAAAUUGAGGUAGAGAAUCGUGAUUAAUGUUAGUUAACUAAACAAGAGUUUGGUUUAGGCCUGUUUAUACCAUACUUAGGGCCUCCGUAUUUAGAUCUCGUACAAAUACUCGAUGAACUUAAAUGUAAUUAUGUAAUAAAGGAAGGGGUAAAUAUGUAAUAAGUGAGGAACCCUUAUUCUAUAAAAGGACUCCUCACCCUCACAAUUAGGGGGAGGCCAAUUCCUAGGCCAUCAGAGGCCUCACUCUCUCCCUCACAUACAAAGCCACAAGGCUCAUAAAUAGAGAAAUACAAUAAUCAAUGUGGACGUAGCCCAAACCUUGGGGUGAACCACGAUACAUCUUGUGUUAUUUACUUUCUUGCAGAUUCACGGUCGGAUUUACGUUGUUCCAAGACGUUCGAUUUUGUGCAUCAACAUUUAGCGCCGUCUGUGGAAAUCGACACGAAAAACUAUGUCGGUUCUCUUUCAUUUUUUCACCUCCACUGUGAAUCUGCAAAAUUUGCAAAAAUCCAACAACCCAAAGCUUUCCUAGAAAAAAACCCAAGAAACCAAAUCUCUCUCUCUCUUGCUCCAAUAAUUUCGUUGCACAAAACUUUCUUGGAAAAUCCACAUUUUCCCACACAUGCAAUUGUAUCUCGCUCGCCGCAGCGAUUCGGCACCAAGACGCAGCGUUUUCCUCGACAAUUCAAAGAGGAAAAGUCUCGGUUUCCUUUUUUGUGAAAACACCUAGCUCUCUGGCUGCUCUGGCGCUCCAAACAUCAAAUCACCGUCUUUUUGCCUGUUUUGAGCUUACACGAAAAGCCUACUGUGUAGCCUCUCUAGCUCUGUCGUCCUCCCCAACUUCUAAGCUUGCUCGGUAACUCGUUCGUCGACUUAGUACUCUCCCUUUCGUAACCGAGUUCGUAUUCAACUCGAUUCACUCACACGAUGACGAAACGGCUAGUGGCUGUGGUUGUGGCGUCGCUGCUUCUCUUCGGAGUCAUGGUUGCAGUGGUGCUGCUGUUCGCGCCUGGAUAUGACCAAGCUGAAAAUUUGAAGUCUGAAUUGUCUGAAGCUGGGAACUCCACACUUACCGCAAUCCAUCGCAAGCAGCUUAUUCGUGCCACCUAAACCAGUCGACCUCUCAAAAGUAAUUUCGAUUGUCUUUGCUCGAAGCUAUGGCCUGUUACAGCUUUGUGAAGCUUAAUGCGUCGUCAUCUCAUUGGCUCUCAAGGAUCAGGUGGUACGGGCUACAUAAGAAGGAGGACAUGGUUCGAGUACGCCUACAGGUAUGUGGUGCGAAAAUUAUCUUAACACACAAAUUUAACCCUCUUUUGACAAUUGUAGUACAAGUAUAAGUAGGGAUCGUUCUGGACCGGGGAUUAGAAGGGCUUGUUAAUAACCUCUAAACUGACUCAAAAACAUAAAACUAAACUUAAAACACUUAACAAGACUCACAAGACUCAAAGCAAACUUAAAAUACUCAAAACAGCUUAAAACAACCAAAUAAACUUAAACUAGACACUAGGAAUGACUGUGGACGAAAAUUGACUUUUAUUUGAAUCAAAACACUUAAAAACACAAAAAAGGUCGUACCCAGUGCACAAGGCUCUCGCUUUACGCAGGGUCUGGGAGAGGUGGAAUGUCGGCUAGCCUUACCCCCAUUUAUGGAGAGGCUGCUCCCAAGUCUCGAACCCGAGACCUACCGUUCAUGGGCGAAGGCACUUGCCAUCGCACCAAGUGCGACCUCUAAAACACUUAAAAACACAAACUAAAACAAAUUUGAAACACUUUGAAACAAGAAACUAAAAGGGGGGUUUUGAUUUGGAUGAAGUUGAAACAAACAAACAAGUAUGAAAAACUAGACAGAUUGUAAAACGAAUGUGAGAAAUAAGAUGAUGGAUGUGAUAGCUAGAGGCUUUUUCUCCACACAUGACAUGUAUGCAAAUAACUCGAUUUCCAGUUACUACUUCAUUGAAUUAUGAACGACAAUGCUCCAAAUUAACCGUGACAUCACUAGUUAACUUUCAGAUUUUCCUUAUUUUAUUGAAUUGGAUGACAUCAUUCGACAACUCAAAACAUUCUUCUAAAGUUCCCUACAUGACAUCAUAAUAGAGAUACAAUCAAAGAUCAUUACGUUUAAUGAAAAUCAUAAGCAUUGACAAAGCACUUGCAACUAUGACAUCAUGUCACUCAUGCUAGGAAUUGAACUUAACGCGAUCGUUUAUAAGCGACCUUCACUACAUGUGAAUAUAAGUUUGUAACGAUUAUGUGAAACUUCCUUAUAUUCUAGCAACGGAUUUAUGCAUGCCAAUUAAGUGUUGACCCUUAAUUAACAAAUACAAAUAAGUUAUCAAUCAAAUAGUUAAGCCAAUUGCAUUCACGAUUCAAGAGUUCAUAACUGGAAUUUAUCAAAUUAUAUUGCACACAUAAUCAUGGCUUUGAAAUCACCCAUAGCCAAUAGGGGUUUAGCCACUCAUAUUUACAACAAAACGAAAGGAAAUGAAUUUAAACAUUAGAAACAAAAGAAAGAAAACACCUAAACGCUCCAACGAUCCAAGUUGGAUAGCAAGCACGUCCAAGCACUUUCCUUCUUUUCCUUUGCUACGACACAAGGUGUUGGUGAGUGUUUGAAGGUUUGUUUGUAUGGAGGAAUGGAUGUGAAGAUGAAUGGAUGUGUUUGGAUGAAGGUUGUGUUGAAAUGAGAGUGAAUGAUCUAACAAAGUAUGAACUCAAUUUAUGUUACACACUUCCUUUUAUAGAGGAAGUGCAUGGCAAUGGAGGGGAACAUGAAGUGGUGUAGCAAUUGAGUGUAAUGAUGCAUGAAAUCUGAAAUGAUGGAGGGAACAAGGAAUGGUGUAGCAAUUGAGUGCAAUGAUUCAAUGUAAUGAUGCAUGAAAUCUGAAAUGGAAUGGUGUAGCAAUUGAGUGCAAUGAUUCAAUGUAAUGAUGCAUAAAAUCUGAAAUAAUGAAGGGGACAAGGGUGAUUAUGCAUGGCAUGGGUGGAAAUGUGAGUAAGUGGUGAAUCAAUGAGUGCAAGGAGGUGAAAGGAUAUUGUGCACAUGGUAGACAAAGGAAAUGAAGUGGAAUGAUGCAACAAAUGAGUCAAUGGAGGGAACAUGGAUGAUGAUGCACGGCAUAGGAAUCCAAAGGGAGUGCAAUGGUGGUGCACGGCAAUGAUGGAAAGGUGAAUGGUGGAGUGACACCCCUUUGUGGCUGAGCUCUUUGUCCUUUUUACAUUAAUUCUUCUUUCUCUUUAACACAUUCCUAGCCUGUUUAGUCUUCAAUUUCAUCAAUCCACCUUGCUCCAUGCAUGUGCUAUUCAUUCCAAGCCCAAAACUGCUCCAAAAUGCACCAAAAUGCAUCUUAUUGAUUUAUAAGGCCUAUGGACCUACAAACACACGAAAAUAGCUUAAAAUACAUAAUUAACUAAGAUAACAACAUAAAUGCAUGAGAACAAGUUAACUCAGUCGCAUAAAUAUGCUCCUAUCAGUAUGGUUUUGGAUCCGACAGUGUAUACGGGUCUCCUUGGUACAACUUUUACGUGCUUGAGGUCAUAUGAGGCCACCAGUAACCGGCAUGACUUGUUGCUCUGCGCUGAUAUCAUCGACAAGUGUGGGGUCGUCGCACCUGCGUCCAGCAGUUGAAAUGUUGCUUUUACAUGCCCAGGAGCUUGGCAAACAGUUUCGUGUUGAGGUCGUGACGCGGAGCCAGCAGGGAUCGGUGGCUGCAAUUGAAAGCCUGGCCAAGAGGUUCUAUAGGUUGCAGUACCACCUAGAAGUGCUCAACCGCGACCCAUUCCCUGCAUCUUCUUUACAGGGUGGUAGCAAAUCAUUUUUUGAGAAAGCAAAAGUGGGAUAAAGAUAAAAAGAAAAGAGUAAAGCAAAAAUGGAAUAAAGAUAAAAGGAAAAGAGUAAAGCAAAAGUGGAAUAAAGAUAAAAAGAAAAUAGCAAAGUAGAAAGUGAAAAGAAAAGCUGUAUCAUAGAAAGCAUAAGGUUUGAGCGCCUCCACCAAAGGUUUUGCUAGCAAUGCAACAGAAAAAAGAGGAAUAAGAAUGGAUGGGCAAUACCAGGCUGUCCAAGAAAAGCAAGUGGGUUUGCAAGCAAAAGAUACCUUACAAAGCAACAUGGGUGGACAUAGAAGGAGCGGGGAGAUCAAGAAAAGCAGAAAGCAAAAGCAAUGAAUAAACACCCCACUAGAAUGAUGUGAUUUACUUUUCUUGUUUUUGUAUGAUGUGAUUUAUUUUUCUUAGCUUUCGGAGACAUCUGUAUAAACCUCAUCAGAGGGUAAUGAUAAAAAAUAAAAAAAAACCGACAAAGCCCAAAAUAAAUGGGCUGGAAUGUUGUGUGGAGGGUAAAGGCCUAUAAGCCCAAAAUAGCACCAACUAGGUGACCAAAAGUACGUCCAGCACUACAAAAAAUUAUUUGGCACCCUGCCGCUGUUAUCACCAACCAGGUGACCAAAAGUACGCCCAAUACUACAAAAAAUAUUCGGCACCCCGUCGCUAUUAUCACCAAUCAAGUGAUCAAAAGUACACCCAAUACUCCAAAUUAUUUGGCAGCCUGUCGCUAUUAUCACCAUCUAGGUAAUCAAAAGUACGCCCAGUACUUCAAAUUAUACAUGAGCAUUUACUCGUGUCUAUCAUACAUAAACAUUCAUGAGCAUUACUCAUUUCAAUCAUACAUAAACAUUCAUGAGCAUCACUCAUGUCAACAUCCAUGUCAACAUCCAUGAGCAUCACUCAUAUCAAUCAACAUAAACAUUCAUGAGUAUCACUCAUGUCAAUCAGCUUCAAAAGCUUCAUUUAUAGAGCUCUAGCUUCAAAAGCUUCAUUUACAAAAGCUCUAGCUUCAAAAGCUUCAUCUACAGAGCUCCAGCUUCAAAAGCUUCAUUUACAAAAGCUCUAGCAUCAAAAUCUUCAUUUACAGAGCUCUAGCUUCAAAAAACUUCAUUUACAAAAGCUCUAGCUUCAAAAGCUUCAUUUACAGAGCUCCAACUUCAAAAGCUUCAUUUACAGAGCUCUAGCUUUAAAAAGCUUCAUUUACAAAAGCUCUAGCUUCAAAAGCUUCAUUUAUAGAGCUCCAGCUUCAAAAGCUUCAUUUACAAAAGCUCUAGCUUCAAAAAGUUUCAUUUACAGAGCUCUAGCUUAAAAAAGCUUUAUUUACAAAAGCUCUAACUUCAAAAGCUUCACUUACAGAGCUUCAGCUUCAAAGCUUCACUUGCAAAACUUUACAUACAAAGCUUUACAUACAAAGCUUCGGUGCAGGGUAUACAAAUACCGCAUCCGAACAAACCGCCACUUCGGCCCAUACAUGGAUUCAAUUUGAAGUCUCCAGUCAACAGACUCUAUUAACCGAAGACUUGGGGGACUACAUUAUGUACCAUAUAUUGGGCCUCAUGAAAAAUACUUGGGAGACUUAGCUCAUUAUUUAUGUACUGAGGAGCGUGCCCUUAUUCUAUAAAAGGGACUCCCUCACUUUCAUUAGAAAGCACCCAUCACUUAUGUAUUGAGGAGCGAGCCCUUAUUCUAUAAAAGGGACUCCCUCACCAUCAUUAGAGAGCAUCGCCGCCUGCUGAGCAACCGCAUCGCCGCGAGCAUCAACUCUAGCCCAUCAUUCAUGUAUUGAGGAGCGAGCCCUUAUUCUAUAAAAGAGACUUCUUCACCUUCAACGCCACAAACCGAGCCAACCAAGGCAACAUAAGCCACAAGCCAAUCAGCCUCGCAACAUGUGCUACCUCUAGUUGAGCAUCAUUUUAGAUUGAGUACCGCCUCAUAUCGAGCAUCGGUUCAAGACAACAUCUAGUUACUUCGGCCAACAUAUAGACUAAAUUUCAAGUCUCUAGCCCAAAGACUCUCUUGACUGAAGACUUGGGGGACUACUGUUUAUACCAUACUUAGGGCCUCCGUAUUUAGAUCUUGUACAAAUACUCGAGGGACUUAAAUGUAAUUAUGUAAUAAAGGAAGGGACAAAUAUGUAAUAAGUGAGGAGCCCUUAUUCUAUAAAAGGACUUUUCACCCUCACAAUUAGGGGGAGGCCAAUUCCUAGGCCAUCAGAGGCCUUACUCUCUCCCUUAGAGACUCUGAAUCUCUCUCCUUCACAUACAAAGCCACAAGGCUCAUAAACAGAGAAAUACAAUAAUCAGUGUGGACGUAGCCCAAACCUUGGGGUGAACCACGAUACAUCUUGUGUUAUUUACUUUCUUGCAAAUUCACAGUCGGAUUUACGUUGUUCCAAGACCUCCGGUUUUGUGCAUCAACAAGGCCUAUCACCGAUAUUAUUUUUUUAAAUAAAUAUUUCGGGGCGGGUCGUUACAGGUAUCCUCCAAGCUCGUUGGGCGAUUGUCAGAAGUGCUGCUAGAUUGUUUGAUUUAGAGUCGCUUCGAUUCAUCAUGAUGAUGUGUAUCAUUCUUCACAACAUGAUUGUUCACAACAUGAUUGUGCAAGAUGAGUAUGAUUAUGAUGCCAUUGAGGAAUUUGAGCCAGACACGAUAAACAAUUCUAAAACACAAAUAUAUUGUGCUCAUGGCACCAUCGAAGAACCCGUGCAACACAAGUCAUUAGAAAGGGAUGGACGUUACAAUGAAAGGCUCAUUCAGUGAUAUACUUCACUCCAAUUCUCAUAUUAUCACAAAGCCCGGAAAAUGACUUGAUAGAGCACUUGUGGGGAUUGAAACAAGCUCAAGAAACUUAAAAACAAGCUUGUGGUGGAAGAAGAAUGCUCUUAGUUUGUUUGGUGUAUUUUUAAGUUCACUUAGUGUGUUUUUUUUAUUUGGUGUGCUUGCGUAAUUUUAUUUAGUGUGUUUUUUAAGUUCAUUUAGUGUGGUUUUUUUUUUUUUUUUUUUUUUUGUGUUUAUGUUCUUUGAAUAAAGAUUCUUUUAGUUUAAAUAAAGUACCAAAUUAAAUAAAGUACUCUUAGUUUAAAUAACUUACUAAAUUAAAUAAAUAUGAAAUUACCUAAAGUACUCAAUUCAAUAAAUACGAAAUUACAUAAAGUACCAAAUUAAAUAAAUACAAAAUUACAACCCAAAGUGAUUGGAAAGUUAUGGGCUCCAAUUAAACAACAAAUUCCCUAGUCCCUCGUGAAUGGAAAAUCAUCACCUAACCAAUUUGUCUCUCAAAUUAUGGGCUCCGAUUAUACAACAAAUCACCUAGUCCCUCAUAUUUUUUUUCUUUUUUAAAAAAAAAAUUUAAGCCAAAAAAUGUGGACCGUUGAUCUGGAAUUGAACGGCUCAGAUUGUGCCAUGUCAUCUAGUCGUUGGGGGAGUUAUGAAAUUUUUUUUUACCGUUGGAAAUCGAACGGUCCAGAAAAAAGAACUGUUGAAAUCCAACGGCCGAGAAGGUGCCACGUUGCACCCCAACAACGGUUAUAGACAACUUAUCCAGCGCGGGCCCUAUCGCCUGCAAACCCUGUCAGUGACGCGCUCCCACACGCUUGACGUAAUUUUUUUUAUAACGUGGCUGACGUCAGCCUUGCAUCACUCUCCCCGCAAGUGCUCGGGCCUUGGGUUUGUGCCUGAGCUGUCUCUCGGCCCCCCUCAGCCCAAUAGCUCGAAUGGGCUGGAAUCACUUUGGCAGGCGAUUGGGUUGUUGGAACAGCCUGUCCAUGGGGUUAAUGCCCACGCUAGAGGUGCUCUUAUUGGGGUAUUUUUUUUAUAUUUAUAUUUUCUUUUUUAGUACAUCGAUAUUUUUACAUUAGGGGAUGAGGAGUUUAACUAAGUCACAAAAUGGAAAACCUAAUUUGGUAUCGAAUUCGCCAUCCACGAGAUUCGAAUCUAAGACCUCUCACUUCCAAGUGAAGAAUACUACCACCGUAGUACUGAGUGUCACCUUAUUGCUCAUUUUAAAGUAAUCGUAUUGGGGGAUUGAAAUAAUGUGAUUGCCCUUCUCAAAGGUACUUUAGGAGCCUAUUAUUCUUCACUUGUAAGUAAGAGGUUUUAUAUUCAAUUUUCGUUAAGGACGAAUUUGAACAACAUUAUUUUUAGUCUAGGGUGAGGCUAAGCUCACCCUCCUCCCUUUUAGUCUAGAUAAGAGGGUAAGUCCAUAGUGAGGCUAGCCUAUUAUUGCACUCUUUGUAAAUAAGAUGUUUUAAAUUUGAUUCUCACCGAAACAUUUGUAAGACUAAACCCACCAUUCUCCGAAUUAAAAAAUAUGAAUAAUAUAGUUUAUUAGAAAAUAAAAUUACUCUACGAACCUAGUUACCAAUUUGCUCCUUGCUAGCCGCCCACUACAUGGCGAUUUGCGGAUCCGUACUCGACCCGACUAGGAACCUCUGACUUUUCAACACACUCCCUCUCCACGUCUCUCUCUCUCUCUACGUUGAAUAUCUAAACUACUGAAUGAAUGAACGAACUGAAUUCCCGUCAAAUUCUCUUUGGGAGGAUCCGUUAAUCUUGUCUAUUCAUUUUAUAUUGUAAGGUCAUAAAUUAUUUUAAAUAUUUUUAUUUAAAAUUAAACACAAACAGUAUUUGAUAAAAAAUAACCAUACAAUAUACUAUUAACAUACACGAUUCACGAAUUUUCAUGAUCUCACCGAUCAGGAGAGGAUCCUCAUGAUCCCUACGUUGGUGAUUGAACUAGUCUUUGACUAUCCGAAUCCGAUACAGAUGAUACAGAUAAUUUCGAAAAUGGCGUCCUUGUCAUCUAUGUGCUUUUGGCAGGUGCGCGCAUUUGAUAGUUUGGACCACCAUUUACUGGGGGCGGCUCAAUCUAGUCGAAAGGCAGAGGAAAAAAGCGAGACGACGACGCUGGCUGGAAAAAUCUGAGCUUUUACACUCACAUGUCAUGUGAGUCACACUAAUAUUUUUUCUUCCUUUUUCUUUUUUACUUACAAAUCGAAAAAAUAGCAAACAGAAAAUUUGGUUUUGAGCUCCAUCAUCCCCUGUUUCAUUUGAUCACCAACUCCAAUGGGAAAUUCUGGUAAGUCUAUAUAUGUAUAUAAUAUGUAUAUAUGCAUGGGGUGAGAGUUAAUCAGAUUAUGUUUCUGUUUGUUGUAGAUUGGAUGAUGUCGUUGCUUACCAUUGUACUUGUGUUCCUUUCACUGUUGCUUCCUACUUGGAGUGCUACGAGAGGUUCCGCCAAAAGUAGGCCGGAGGUCAUUUCAGUGCGCCACGGUGGGGUUGCCACUGAUGAUCGCCGGUGUUCUAGAAUCGGGAAGGAUGUUCUUCGCGAAGGCGGUAAUGCCGUUGAUGUAUCAAUAGCUGCUGCUCUGUGCUUAGGGGUUGUUAGCCCAGCAUCGAGCGGCAUUGGAGGCGGUGCCUUCAUGCUUGUCCGGCUAGCCAGCGGAGAAGCACACGCCUUUGAUAUGAGAGAAACCGCCCCAUUGCUUGCUUCCGAGGUUCGUUGUGCUGUACAUGCUUUACCGAAUUCGUUGCCUUAAUUAGUUGUCACUCGAGUGUAUGCAAUAACUAUUUUUUCAGAAUAUGUAUGCUGCCAAUGUUACUCUGAAAGGUAGAGGCGCUCUCUCGGUAGCAAUUCCAGGGGAACUGGCAGGUCUUCAUGAAGCUUGGAAACAACAUGGAAGGCUUCCGUGGGAUAGGCUUGUAAGACCUGCUGAGCGUCUUGCUCGUUUGGGAUUUAAGAUUUCACCUUACCUCCACAGACAAAUGGUUACAGCGGAAUCAGGAAUCUUGGCAAACGAGGGACUUCGUCAUAUAUUUACAUCAAAUGGGAGUCUCUUGCAGACAGGUGAGAUAUGUCGGAACAUAAAACUGGCAGAGACACUCAAUCAAAUUUCAAAGUUUGGUCCCGUAGCCAUGUACAACGGAUCGAUUGGGUCCAAAUUGAUUAGAGAUGUUCAGAAGCUUGGAGGAAUACUGACAAUGAAGGACUUGCAAACUUAUAGAGUUAGGCUGAGAAAGCCGGUAUCUGCUGACACACUGGGGCUUAAAAUACUGGCUAUGCCGCCUCCUUCCGGUGGUCCUCCGUUGAUACUUGUGAGUACAUCUUUGUUCUUAAAUUCGUGUCACCUAAUUUUUUUUGUUUCUGUUUUCGUCUCUUUCUACAAAAGAAGCAAUUCAAAUAGGUUCGUUAUGGACUACUUGUAAGAACUAUAUCACAGAUCAUAGAUAUGCCAGUAAGUUACCAAUACUCCAACAAUCGAACUGAAUGACAAAACUAUAAACACGAAUAUAAAACCAGUGGAAAACAUACCUGCAGAACUUGAACUCGAAGAAGCCAUAGCAGCUUCACAAACAAACAAUCUUCUCCUCUUUAGCAAAACUAGAGAACUCUCUGAAUAAUAGGUAUUCAAUACAAGAUGAGCCGUGUCUUUGCAAGAGCAGUGACUGAGGUUAUAUACAACAUUAAUCCAACUCAUUCUCCUAUUAGAAUUAGUGUUGAACUCUAAAACAAAACCUUUUCACACAAUGAGCGUACAAGAUCAAUUAGUGCAGGAUCCAAAACCUUUUCCCAAAGGAACACUAAAAGCACUCAUAAUCCUACAAGAACUAGGAUUCAACCGAACACCUUAUCAAGACUUUUCCAUUCAAGAAUUCAUCCAAUAUUAUAGCUAAUCCUCAAACAUGUUUCAUACUCAUAUUCCAACACUACUCUGUCAAUUCCACUCUACAGAUGCUAAACAUACUUUCACAAUAUGGAAAUGCUUUUGGAGUUCCGGAUCCUCUUUGGAUUCAUCGAGAAAUUGAAUCUUUGAAACAUGUUUUCGCCGUGAGGAUGAAUCUCGGUGAUCCUGAGUUUGUAAAUGUGACUAAAGUUCUAGCUGAUAUGCUUUCUCCUAAGUUUGCUAAGGAGUUGAAGAAAACCAUAUAUGACAACAUGACUUUUGAUCCCAGCCAUUACGGUGGCAGGUAAAUUCCUUGAUUGGCAAGAAAUUGAUUAUCUAGUAGAUGCUUGCACUUGAUCAUGUUUCAUCGACGAUAAUGACUCCUUAUUUCCUAACAGGUGGAGUCAGAUCAAUGAUCACGGAACUAGUCACUUGUCUAUCGUAGAUCCUCAGGGAAAUGCCGUCUCCAUGACGAGUACUGUAAACGGAUACUUUGGUGCACAUAUACUGUCAUCGAGUACAGGAAUAGUCUUAAACAAUGAAAUGGAUGACUUCUCCAUACCUGGAAAUGUUUCUGCAAGUCCAACACCAGCGCCACCCAAUUUUAUCAGGCCGGGAAAAAGGCCGUUAUCGUCCAUGACACCUGCUAUAGUGUUAAAGGUAAUGCAGAACCACCUAAAUCUUAUGUUUUGUAUCCGUGCCCUAUAUGUUCACAUAUCUUGUUUAUACGAAUGACAGGAUGACCAGCUGAAAGCUGUAGUUGGCGCGAGCGGGGGAGCCUUGAUCAUUCCGGCGACUGCAGAAGUUCUCUUGAAUCAUUUUGCAAGGGGAAUGGAUCCACUCUCUUCCGUCAUGGCUCCAAGGGUCUAUCAUCAGGUAAUUUAACAAAUUAUUGAGACGUGUACGCUAAACGGAAUCUCAACUAAAACUACAAAUCUGAAACAUUUCUGUGUAAGCAGCUAUUACCUAAUGUGGUUCGUUAUGAAAAUUGGACGUCCGUGACUGGCGAUCACUUUGAAGUUCCUACUCAAAUCAGGAAAUCCCUACAAAAGAAGGGCCAUAUCCUAGAGCCCCUUACUUCUGGGGCUAUUUGCCAGUUUAUAGUUCAUAAGGCUUGGACGGAAAAUGAAGGUACUCCGGAGAUUGUGGCAGUGAGCGAUCCAAGAAAAGGCGGGGUUCCGGCUGGUUUCUAAAACUGCAAACUGGUGCUAUGGAAGCGAUCGAGGCUAGUUAUUGUUCUUGUUCCAACGCUAGUCUACUCCCCCUUUAACAAUGUAGUUGAAACUAUUGGUUAUUUCUUAUAGCUAGUGACUGAUUCACAAGUUUUCUACUCUACGUAGUUCAUGUUGGUUCUUCCUUUGCAAUGGAUAUGCUAACAGAAAAUUUUCCGUCACCUUCGAAAAGGCGACGAAGGAAGUUAUGCACGAUUGACUGGCAAUUUGUGCGUUGCAGACUCCGCCGUGUCAAGGAUAUUGAUAGCCGGCCACUGUCAUUGGUGAUGGAAAUUUUUUCCAGUCGCCGGAAAAUUUCAAGUCACUGUUCAACUCUUACAUAAAAAUGAGCAAUAUUGUGCGAAAUUAUAGUUUUUUUUACACGUAUACACAAUAAAAUUGGAAAACUUAUCUGAAAAUUUAUCACUUGACAUGUUUUUUUGAAAGUCAUUUUUUUAGUCUUCAAACUUAACAAUAUGUUCGUUCAUUUUCAUUGACGCCACCUAUUUUUUCUUUGAAUUUAGGGGUAUAUAAGAAACUUCAUCACACAUCAGUAACAUCACUAAAAAUGAAUUAAAAAAAAAAGAAAUGAGAGAGAAAAAAAAAACCCUAAAAAAAUCUAUUAUUCUUGUGUAAGAAAAUUGAAUACAUUAGGAUUUUUUUUUCGUAGUUUAGUUUGUGAUUUGUUAGUUGUUUAAGUGCAGCUCGAUUUCCUACCAACUUUGAAAUCACAUUGCCUAACAUUUACAAGUUGCUAAAGUUCAACCAUUUUCAUUUAGUAUUUUUAUAGUUCAAAUUUCAUUUUGUUUUAAGUUUUUUAUAUUCAUUUAUAAAAUUUUAUUUGUUUUUUUAGCUUCUUCUAUUGUUUUUUUAAGUUUUAUGUUUAAUUUUCUAAUAUACCCCAAAUUUAUCCAAAAACCAGAACAGAUAAGCAGAAAUAAGACACAAAUGCUUUAUUACAAAUGAAUAACCGAAACACUUGGAAUUACCAGUGUUAUCUACACAACACAUCUUCUGUGGCAGAUAAAUUAAACCCGAUAUGGUUAAGGCCAAAAGGAUGAAUUUUUAGAUGCCACAAAAACCUUAUGGAUUGUCGACGUGAACCCAAUGGCCGGACUUGGGAAGAACAUGAACUGAAACCUUCCCCUCCGAUCCAUCAGCUUCACGAGUGGCAAGGUUUUCGAAUUCUUGUUCGUUGAUAUCAAACGAUAGACAUAAAGUAUGAUGAAACAUCAUGGUAAACGUUUCGCCCAGAAAAAAAAAAAAAAAAAACAUAAAGUAUGAUUAACACAGCCUCACUCAUUCCAUGAAGGUGCUGAUGACAGCCAUAAUAGUAGAACGAUAAUGAAGAAAUCUCUACUCCACGGUGCAUCUUGCGGCGGAUCAAAGGGAUGAAAUCCUUGGUGCCACAAUCUCAAGAAGACCUUUUGGAUUGUCCACGUGAACCCAGUGGCCAGACUUGGGAAGAACGUGAACUGAAACCUUUCCCUCUGAUCCAUUGGCUUCCCUAUUGGCAAGGCUUCCAAGCCGUUGAACCACAUCGGGGUCCCAACGAUCACUGUUCUCAGCACGCACAACAUCUAUUGCCAUUUCUUUUGGUGGGUGCUCCAACAGAGGCCAAUAAGACUUCUCCCUGAUAUUUUGGAUUCAUAGAAAGUGUGAAAGGUAAGGGGGAGGGAAGGUAAAAAAUAUCAUUCUUUCUACUUCCAAGAACUGAUAUCAAAACAAUAAGAUAUUUACUGGUAAGACUUGAACAUCUGGACAGCACCAUCAAGAUUGAACGCCCAUGUCUCGUGAUCUCCCUGUUUCUUGAGGUUGGUGCCUAUCCAUUCUGACAAUGACUUUGAGAACCCAAGUUCAAUCAUAUGAUUCACAAGCCACCUGAAGCCAAGAACCAAAUUCAUCACAUAAAGAUUUGGAAUUUGGAAACACGAAUGUCAUGUGACAUUAUGACAAUUUUGUAACGCCAUUAUGUAACAAGUUUUGAAGCAAAAACAACGGUUUCGUCAUGCAUUUAUGUAGACUCUUGUAAUCAGAGUAAAGCUAGACAGAAUCCAGAGCUCUUGCUUGAGUGAAGCAAUUUGAGAGUAGAGCAGGCAUUGUAUGUGCCAACAUUACUAAUUAACAUCAUCCUUUUAAUGGUAAACACUUCUAGGGAGAAAUAUGACAAUGUAUGGAUUAUUGUUGUCUCCAAAUUGGUAUGAUACCAAAGAAGAAGAAGAAAAAAACAAUAUUAAGAACUCCGCCUGACACCUACUUAUGAACAAUUUACCCCAUAAUACACGCAGUUAAUACUAAUAAAUUAACUUAUAAUAAGGAGAAAGAGGUUUUACUUUCGAGAUGGAACUGAUGAAGGUAGACUCUGCAAUGUCUGCAAAACUUUCUCAACUUCCCCAUCACUUUUGUCACGACUCACUUCUCCUGGAACAGAAUCCAAUACCCACAGCUGUUCUGGAUCACAAAGAAAGUAAAAAGAGUACAAAAUAUCUUUAAGUGCAAAGUGAACUGAACUUUCAACCACACAUGAUCAUAAACUUUGACUCUCCUAUAUAAUUUAAAAGUUAGAAUUUACUAGCCACUGGCUAAGCUGGCCGUAAUUGACGGCCAUAGUCAUAUUAAAAUGGAAAACCAAUCUGAAAGAUAAUCAGUACUUUGGUUUCAAUUCAGUUCAUUAGGCAAACAUAGCACUACGAAGCAAUACUUUCUCAUAAACCUAAACGGGGAAACUAAGCAUGUUUCAUCCAAAAAACCGACUAAUCAUGAUAAUGAAAAUACAAGCCUACAAGUAUUUGGCUGGAAAGUUUCAACAUUCAGGGGUCAGGAACCACCGUGCUCAAAAGUCACAUACACGGAGUCCCACCUGAUGAUCCCCAAGAUGCAACACAUGCAAUCGAGUGAGAGCUCUCGGGACCAAAAAUGCCGUACGAACACCCCAACCCACGAAAAACAUAUCAUUUGAUUCACACUAUAUACUCAACUUGCAUCAAGCAAGCAAAAAAAAGUUUCCUAAUUCUGUUCAUUCCGCUAGAACGAUCAGCUUACAUUACGGUUCUGGUUAGUUAUUGAUAAAGCUCUUGAAUUUACCUAACUAACUCAUAAAUGUUCCCAAAUAAUUCUACUUUCGGCACAAAAGAGCAAGUACAAGUGAUGAACUUAUGAGGGGAAGAUCGAAUACCUGCUUGGGUAGCUUAGCGGAAUCGCCGUAGUCACCAAGGGCACAGCUCUCUGCAAAUUGCAGAGCAACCUUACCGCCCAUGGAGUGACCGAGAACAACAUCGGGCCAGUCCCAACCCUGAGUCCCAACCAAAUCAGCCAAAUCUCGGGCCCCAUUGAACAAAUCAUGAGGUGGGUUCAGACCUUCGAUCUCGGCCGAUUUCCCAUGGUUCCUCAAAUCCACAAGCACCAAUCUCCAACCUGCAAUUAGAAAUUUGCUUCAAUAAAAACGGAGAAAUCAAGUAAUCGAGACGAUCAGAGGAGGGGGAGGGAGAGGGAGCGAGAGAGAGAGAGAGACCAGAUGGGUCAGAGAGAUGGGAGAGGAGGGAGCGAGAGAAAGUUCGCCAGUUUCUGGCGGAGCCCAGGAGGCCGUGGAGGAUGAAAGCGGUGGAGCGGUAGGGUUGUUGUGGGUCCGCGUCGGAGGGUCGGAGCUCUUCAUAGGCCAGGGUUUGCAGCGGCCGUCGUGAGAUUGUGAAUCGGGUCAGGAGGUGGUGAAGACCCGGUUUGUUUCCGAGGAUCCGAGCCAUGACGACGGCGAAAACUGUCAAACUAUUCCAACUGUGUUGGAGGAAACAGGGGGAUCAAAUUAUGAGCUGCACGACGUCGUUUCUACCUUCCGCGGGAAUAUCAACGGAAAGUGUUGGGAAACAAAAAACAAUAAUUUUGACAGCUGUGGGAUUUGAACCCACGCCCUUUCGGACCAGAGCCUAAAUCUGGCGCCUUAGACCACUCGGCCAAACUGUCCUAUUGGUGCAAACCAUACAGAGUUAAUUAUAAUUUACUCUAAUAGCCUCUCAGUUAAUGUACAGAAGUGAGUCGUUUAUAGAUAGAUACUAUUAGCUUCCGGAUACGACAGUCCUCCCACAUGAAGGGGCUCAUGUGUAGAGUCUCCUCACUAGGAGAGGGUCCAUAUGUUUGUAUGCAAGAAUUUCUCCUAAUUAAGAUAACAUCGGUUUAAAAAAAAAAAUUAAUCGUGCAAUACCCAAUUGGACUUUUGAGUCGGGGCCACGACUCGAGGCUAUUCAUGCAAAAGCUCUCUCACUCCCACCAAAAUGUAGGCCCCAGGUGUCCUACAUGCCUUCCCGACUCCUUGCAAGAGAACUGCCCCAUCGUCAAGAAAUUUUUAGUUGUGAUGGGAAUAUAAAUGGUACACCAAUAGAAGUGAUAAGAAAUUUUAUUUUUUAAGUUGUUAACUUUUUAGCACAUAUAUUUUGUGUACCGGUCACAUGAAAAAUCCUUCCCCAUCGUCAGGCUUACCGAAGAUUUCCUCCAAUCGUAGCUCUCAGACGUGAAUAGCCACUAAUAGGGUUGGCAUCUAAAUUGCUCAUAGAAUACUUCUCUACUUUUAUUUUAUGUCAACAAAAAGCAACAAAUUCAACAAGAUUGGCAUUUCUUCACAACCAAGUUCCCAAAUCCAUGUGUACGUUGUAACCCAUUUCAUCAAACACAACUUAAAUUUGCGAUGAUUCCUAGUUUACAUGAAGUACUCUUGCAAUCAAGCCAACAUUUGGCACAAGUUACACACACGAAGCUAAUUUGAAUGGCCAAAUUUUGAAAACCAUUCUAUUCAACUUAUUUUGCUUUUAAACAACUGUAACUUCAUAUACUAUUUUGUGUCUUUGGGCAGUCGAAAAUUAAGGGCUGGAAUGGAAAAUAUUCCCGAGCUGCAUCAACGAGGAGAUAACACCGCUAAGUUAUUCAUCUGGUUUGCUUUAGUCAAAUGGAUCAAUCCGCGGGUCAUGCUCGCUUGCCAUCAUCAUCCCAGUGCACAGGCAUGUCGGGCACAUGACCUAAGUGAACAUGGAAGGUGAUUAGUCCUAGUAGAGAGCGAAAGAGAGAGAGUUUGGCAUUACAAUAGAUGAACAACACAAACUGCAAAUCUCCUAUCAACAAAUGGAAUUAAAGCCUUUUUGCACCAAAUUCCUUUCGGAAGUUUGACAAAUCAUCGUAAAUCCCAUUAUAAUUCUUUCUUCCUUUUAAGCUCAGCACAAGUCAACCAUCAGCAAACAUGAUACGAUGAAAUUGUCUAAAGAUUUGAAGCAAGUGUAGCACGAAACAAAUGAUCAACAACACCAAGAGAUAAGUGUGAAAAAUUGCAGUGCGAUCAUAUCUCAUGGAUAAACCACCUAGCAACAAAUUUUGUACCUUUCCAGCACCAGAGCAAUUUGGGCACCUCUCAGUUGUGGGCACUCGCAAAGGUUGGUCCGAUGCACUAGAUGCUGAUAUAGGAUUGAUGUUCAAGCACACUCCACUUGCAGAACAUCUAGCACAGGCCAAGUACCCUGUCCAUGUUUGACCAGACAAAAUUACCAGAUUAAAACCAAAUUAUGAGAACAAUAUAACAUUAGAAAUAACAUUUAUAACGAGAAAUUAAAGAAAGGUAAAAAGCAUCAGAAAAGUAACAAAGUUGAAAAGAAUUUUAGUGAUGAGAAAGGCAAGGGAGAACUUCCAUAAAAUUCGAAGAAACUAAUAGCAUUGUAAGAGCCAGAAUGUAAGCCACUUUUUACUUGUUAUUUUCAUAAAUUUAUCAGCAUACGCAAACUUCAUAAAAACUAACUGCAAGAAGAUAUAAAAACAACCCCAUUCAACAAAUGAUCCACUUAUCCCUUAGAACUUUAUCAGUUGGCACAUUUCAUUUGUGACAGUUUAAAACAUACCAGUUCCAUGGCAAUAUUUGCACCUUUUCUUCUCUUGCUGCUCAACAUUGUUAGCUUCAAUCAACAUCAAUGCUGAAAUGACACCCACUGCCCCACCGGAGAAGGAUGCCACAAUAGGAUCAACCUGACUGAAAUCAAAAUCAAACAAAAGGGCUUUCAGAACAGUAAGUAAGAAAAUCCGUACUGGUUGCUUGAAUUUCUAAUUGUAAUCAGGAAAAGAAAAAAAAAGCAUGUUCAGUAUAUACCUUAAUUGUAAAGGCAGAUGCAUGCUACGAAUGAAAUCUUCAUACGAGGUACCUCCUAUACCUAAUUUUAGUUCCAGCUGUCACAGAGAACAGGUUGAGACAUUUAACAAAUAUAACAGUGAAGAAUUUUAAGUCUAACCAUUAGGCACAAAACAUGAACAUCAAAACUAAGGUUCCUAAUCCAAUAUGACCUCAACCAAAGACAUCCUCUUUAAACAGAGGAACAUGUAGCGUCACGCUUCAAGGGCCAGUAAACAUAUAAGCAGGUAAAGGGUAAAAAAAUUGAGAAUCCACCUUUACAAAAGUAUACAUGUAUGGAGCCAUCGGGAAAUAUUCACUAUAAACAAUCAUCCAUGCUUAUAGACUUACCGAUGGCGCAAUGAGACCCCCAAAUACAAUUACACUAGAUAUCAUAGAUAAGCUUGUGAGGUAGAGCUGCUUCAACGUCUUUGGUGUCUGCAUCAUAACACAUAUCACACAGUGUCAGUUGAAAUAAAAGGUAAAGUGAUUGCACAACCACAGAAUUCAGAAGAAAAAUAUCAUACAGACACGAAAAUUUUGGCAUAAGAGCGCUUGUUUUAGUUGGACAUUUAAUUGGAAAGGUAUUAGUUGGUGACUGUUGGCACAAGAAACGGACUCAGCAAGAGCUAAACAAAGAAACGUAACCAUCUUAUCAAUCAUGGACAAUAUUUCAUUGUCAAUUAUCGUUUUCAACCCGCAUGCCCCCUCUUGAAAUAUAAGGUUAGUAUUUGUAUCUAAACCCAUAUGUGCUUCUGAUUUCUUAGCUAACUAUCCAAAUAUCCCAACUUGUUUGAGGCCGUCGAUAAGGGGCAUACUUUAGGCAGUUAACUACAUUGUAGAUGACACUCACCAUAUGAGGGAGAAAAGGGAUAGUGGAUGGAAUGUCAGGCAUCUCAUUUGACUCUUCCUCACAAGCCUCAUCCAUAUCUCUCGCCAUCCUUAUCCGGUGCUGCACCCGCAAUCUCCUUAGCUACACAAACCAAACAUAUAUCAAACAAGAAGUUCACAAUCCCCAAAUUACUGAAAUUUAAAAGAUCAAACAUUUAUCAAACCCUUUAGAGCUAUCUGCUUUCACCUCUUCCAUGAGAAGAAAAAUCUUGUUGCGCCGGCUUCUUAUGUUGUCCUGAAUUUCCUGCAGUUGCAUCUGCACAAAGUCCUGCACCGUCUCCGGCCCUUCUAUGAUACAAAAAGUGCUGAGAGAAGAAAACAAAACAUAGAAAAUUCAGCAUUUUUCUCGUCAACAAGACAGAAGGACCAAAAUUAAAUUUCAGGUUGAUAUUGCUAAAAAAGCGCUUUCUGACAGCAAAAGGGCUAAAUGCUUUUGGCUCAUAGAAGUGCUUUUCAGAGAAGAAAUGCACCUGCUAGAUGCUUCUUCAUAAAGCACUUGGAUUUUUAAUCAAAAAAUUAAAGGCACUAGGAUUUUUAAUAAAAUUUUAAACGUAUUUAUAGUAAACGUGCUUUCUAGAGAAGCAAUUCCAGACGGGCUUGAUUACCUUGGCGUGUUAUCGCCGGGGGAUGAUUCCUUGGAAGCAGAACAGGAAAUUUGGGGACGCGGGGAGGUGAAUUUGGACAGAGAGAGACGUCUAGGGAUUCCAUGGGAGGAGGUGGAGGAGGAAAGUAGGGUUUUGGCGGAAGGGGGAGGAUGAGAAGUGAGUGAGAAAGAAGCCAUUUUUGUAAAGGUUCUACCCUCUGCUCAUCUCAUCAGCCAAAAAGCAGAGAGAGAAAGAGAGAGAGAGAGAGAGAGAGAGAGAGGAAGGAGGGUUUUGGUGAGUGAGAGCCGAGGGGAGAGAGAGAGAGAGAGAGGAAUCUUUGGGAGGUUUGAGUGGGCAUCUUGGUGGAAGACGGAGACAGAAGAGACGAUGAGGCUAAUGGGUUAUUGCCACGUCACCACAUGCUUCCCUUUCUCUCUCUUGACCGUUAAUUGUUACUUGCGUUCGUGGCAAUUACCGCGCCGCUUAUGCAUCAUCUUGUAUUUUCGUUACACUAAAAAAUCAACCGAAAGAAAGACCAGCAGAAAAGUCCAAGUUAGCUAAAAUGGUUCCUAUAAAACAAUACGGGUCGGUAACAUUUUGGUAACGUAUACAAUAUUUGAGUUACGAGUAUGACUUCAAUACUACAUAUCUUGGGUCGUAAGAGAGGAGAUUUAGUGUUCAUAUUCAAAUUCAUAACGCAUCUUGGGCCGCAAGAGAGGAGAUCUAGUAUCCGUAUUCAUUUAGCAGUUAAAUUUGAUUUUCACAACUAUUUAGAUAUUCUAUUUUCAAUCUCAUUCAUUCAUUCAUUCUCCUAUCAUUCAACAAUACGUAGCAUUUGAAGAAAUUUCCGUGUGUUAUUAGGUUUACAACUCCUUAAAGAACCCUAAUUGCAUUUGCAACUCCUCACUAUUUUCUCCCAAACAUACUUAAAAACGAAGCUACAUGACAAUCAUGGAAUCAUCUGCAGUUCAUUGUUUUCUCCAACAACAAAAACAGUGACUUGCUUUGUAGUUUUGGUCUGAAACUACAAAAACAAAGACACCAGAAGAAAAAACAACAUAAACAACAGCACAACAACAACAGGAGGAGAAAACCAUGUUCCAAAUUCCCCAAAUCCUUCAUACAGAUCAUCAGCUUCCCAAUCCAAUACCUCUUUUCUGAACCUCUUUCCCUUCCCACUCCUCCCGCUUUCAAAUCGUAUGUGAGAUAAAAUGUGAGGAAAAACUUCCUUGUGAGAAUCUUCUCCAAUCAACAAAUCUGAAUGCCCGAAGCCCUCCACAACUACCCUUUCGUGAUGGAAUCCUGGCUGGUGCAACUUCAUGUACUUAUGAGCGAGGAAAGAUGUGUGAGGAGUCACGAGGAGAGACCGCCCUCCGGAUAUGUAAAGCGUUGGGAGUGCCAUUCUUUCUGGAUGGAUCAAAUAUGAGUUGCUGCCGUUGCUGUCUACUAUGAAACCGGAGUUGCAUAUCUUUCUCAGGUGGGGAAAUGCUGCCAUGGGAAGUUUUGAAGAGCUUUGCUUGUUCAACCACUGGUGCAUGGUGGGACUUAUGUUUUUGUGCCAGAAUGUGUUUCCGAAGAUUCCUGAGAAAACUUCACAUUCGUUGCAGGUGCAUCUCUCGUAGCGGGGUAUGAAGCGGGCUAUAAGUUUCAGGAGGCUGUGGCGUAAGCUGACGGUUGACGUCUCCAACAGAGGAAGCGUCUUAUCAUUUCCAAGUAUGAACAUUGAUAUCUGCAUAUUAAAAGGAACUUUUGAGGCUCUCGCAGGUAAAAAUUAAUGUGAGCUUGCUUUAUGAUUUAAUAAUUUUUGAAUUACUACAAACUUUAUUUAAUUCCUUCCUCCCCUUGUUCAUAAUAAUUAAUAAGUUUCCUGCUUGGUUGUAUUCCAUCCUAAAUCAAUAGAGAGAGAGAUGGGUUGGGGGGGGGGAGCGAGAGUGAGAACUCACCGGCAUCAGAGGAAGCCACAUUUUAACUCUGGACCAAGGACUAAGCUUGAAGAACAUUGAAGAAUUGGUGCAUGAGAGAGAAGCAAUACGGGUUGCAGAGACGUGACCUCCCAUGACAGCUAUGUGUAUGGCUAAGCCUCCGACACAGUGUGCAACUACAUGCACCUUCACGCGCGGCCCAUGCAACUCAACAAUCUUAUUAAUUGCUGCAGAAAAAGUGAAGCAGGAAAACGCUCAUUGACAUACAAUAGGAUUAGUAAGAGUUAAGUACAAUUACAGUAGGUGUAUUUGGUCUUUUACCAGCAGCGAUGUCAAAUCUUGCAAUAUCUUCAAUCGUAAAACUGUUUGACAAAUUCAGAGGGUGCAAUCGUGAUUGCAGUAGCCAUGUUUCAUGCCCUCCUUCAAGCAGAGUUCUGACUAAAUCAUUUGGCUCCGUUGGCAGCCAGUAACUCUCAGUGGAGUAUCCAUUAAGAAGAAGAACUGGAUUUAGUUGCUCAUUUCCUUUAAGUUGUGGCAAAAUAUGGUGGCACUUCCAUUGCCUACAACUGAUAUUGAAUUCGUCUUCUGCAUAAUAUAUGGACAAGAAAUUAGGAACUCUAUAGCAGCAAGAAAUGGACCAGAAACAGAAAACAAAAACAUUUGCUACCUGUUUUUAAUUCAUGGAGAAUGCCGCUCGGAUAAGAUUUAAUUUGAAAAUAGGAUGAAUCUAAAUCCUUGUGGUUCCCUCGAGGUAUCUGUAAUAUAUAGGUUCUCAAGAGGGCCCCUAAUAGAUGGCAAAAAAACCUUCCCCUCUUGUUUCCUUCAAGGCUUAUGAAACUCUUAAGAAGCUCCUUCAUCGAAAUGCUAAGCUCCCCUUUUAAAACAACCUUCUCAUCCUUCGAGUUUUUCUCCGCAACUUUCACGAAUGUCACAUGCAGUGUUGUCAUCUCCCUCCAAGCAUAAUGCAGAAAGAUAAGGAUUCAUUAUCUUUCUUCCCUCGAGAAUAUAUCUGCAUCAAAAUCGUUGUGAGAAAAAUUAAAGUAAGAAAAUUUAUUGAACUUUCAAGUUUUAUAUACCUUGAACCAGUAGAAGCCCCGAGAAGAAGAUGGUAAUGCAUAUACUGUGUGUAAGGCGUUCUGCAAUCUACUUCGCAAAAAUUUACGUCCCCAUCUAAGACAUGUAAAUCAUCCUUCUCAAAGGCUCUAAGUUUCACAUGCCCUCCAACUUUCCCUCUUAAAAGGGAAUGGGCUUCUUGAGUACCCAACUUCUGCUCAUUCGGUCCUUUCUGGUCUUGAGGGUUCAUCUUCAUUCUGAGAUAAGCUGCGCACGGCAUACCCCCAACGUAACCUCUCAUUGUUUCUUUGACCAAGACCUCUGAUCUCUGACCGUUAACCAUAGUCUUAUCAGUGAAGGAAUCCGGACCUUGGUUAGCAAUUUUAGGAACAGAUGCAAGACCUUCUCUGUACAUUAGAGCAUCCUGCACAAGGUUCUUGCUUAUGUGCUCAGCUGCCGUCGCAAUAGUAAGAGAAGGAUUUAUUCCAAUAGAGCAUGGGAUCAAAGAAGCAUCACAUACAUAGAGGCCGGGAUGUACAGUGAUAGGCGACACCGGAUCAAAAACCUGCCCAUUGGAGUUGCAAACACCGUGUGAAGGAUCUGAAGAUGCAUUGCACCCUCCUAAAAGAUGAACUGAUGCACUUCGGUAUUUUGACAUAAAGAGAAUUCCUCCUAAUUUCUUAGUGAGCUUUUGGAAAGCUGUAAUUUUUCGUGGGAGAAGGGAAUCAUGAGGCGGGGUAAAGCAUAUUUUGUUCGUGCCCUUUUCCAAUGUGAUCUUACCAUCACUCUCAUCAUAUCCCAAUGCAAUAAGAACUAUUGCUUGGGUUGCUUUACAACCUAUGAUAUGCUUUAUCUUGUCUAUAAUCCCAUGAAGGAACCAGUAUCCAGUAGGCCAUCCGUAGGUUGUAAUUCCUUUAAACAGCAGGUACGGAUACGAUGUUGGAAGUACAGCACUCUGUAACAAUGAAGACUACAUAAGAGGUUGAUGAAUCCAAAUCCAUCAAACCAGAAAAAAAACAUUUUUAAACUUAUUUCUUCAGAGAUUAACAUUUAUAUACACGCAUGCAUACUUCAUAUAUAUAUGUAACUCAUUUUCCACAAAAGCCAGAUUACAGCUAGAUUUUCCCACCAGAUAUAUAUAUGAUACAUCGUUGAUUACGUAAAAAAUUAAAAGUCAUUUGUGACCAAACCAAUAGAUUUACAUGAUUGAAAAACUGAAGUCAAUUAAGUUUAUAGAAGUUUCUGAACCUGUAUUGUAAAGCCGAGCGAAGAAGUGUAAGAGGCAGAGAUGGAUGGCCCAGGCCUUUCUUCAAAUGGUGUCUUAAACAUUUGCUUUCUGUCUAAUCCGUAACCAUUCAGUGGUGCUGGGCUCCCAGCAAGAUAAGCCACAGUAUUUCCAUUGCAGCUGAAUCCAGAUCCAAGUGCUUCAGAAAGUUUUAGUCCUCUCAUUCUUGACUGGUAGAGUAUUUUAGUGGUGCCAAAAACUCCCGCUGCGAAAAACAAGUCUAGAAAUUGUUAAGAGUCUUUGUGAUUAAAAUUUUCAGAAGAUACCUAAUUUGAUUGUUUCUCACCUGAUAGGAUUACGAAAUCAGAGGUUAUGUAAUCAAUCUCAUUCAAGUAAAUAAGCCAUCUUCUAUUUUUUCUACCGCUUUCUCCUUUGUAUUGGAAGUUUUCAUGCACGUUUCGAACCACAUACUGUACUUGACAUUCUGUUUUAACUAUGCAGCCUGCCUGCUUCACAAGAAACACUGGUUUUAGUGGAGAAGGUACAGUUAAAACUUAAACACGAACAUCUCUUACAUCCUAAAAAGGUCGUACCCAGUGCACAAGGCUCCCGCUUUACGCAGGGUCUGGGAGAGGUGAAUGUCGGCUAACCUUACCCCCAUUUAUGGAGAGGUUGCUCCCAAAUCUCUUACAUACUAAUGGAUAUUUUUUUUUUUUUUUUUUUUUUACAAACUUCAUUGACGUAUUAGAUAACGUAAGACAUGCCUGGAUUGCUGAACGCAGAUAAUUUUUGUCAGUAGAACUUUUGGCAUUAAAAGGACAUCCAGAAAGACAGUUUCCACAGGCUAAGCAGCUACCCAUUGCAUCAUUUUGUGGUUCUUCAAGGUCAAAAUUCAUGCUUAGCUUCACCGAAGUCUCAAAAGCUUCUUCAAUCUCUCCAAUAGCAACCUCUUCCAAGACUUUUGCAGCAGGAAACUUGACAGGAAUGCUUUGUGCUUUCAGCAUGGCUGCUGCAGAAGCUUCACAGUUAUCCCAAUUCCUUUCCCAAUCCUUUGGCCAUUUUGGAUUUCGUCUAGCACGAGCUGGUGCUGGAACCAGAACUCCUGCAUUCACUAGUGAACCCCCACCAAGUCCACACGCCAUAGCUGCUAGAGAAUCAUUCUGCUCAUAUACCUAGACUUUCAUCAUAACAGAUGUAUAUUACACCUUGCCCCGAUAUGAAUGGUUACGGAAAAACUGUAUAUGUCGCUAAAUUAUAGUAAAAAGUAAAAAAAACUGGUAUAUAUACACAAUAGUAAGCAAAAGUGACAUCACAAAACAAAGUACAUACAAUAUCCUGCGAUUGACAUGGUUCAAAACAAACAACAAAAUACAGAAUCGCGGCAGAUAUUGCCCGAGAAAAAAAGAGGAAGAGAGAAUAACCUGGAACAAAGCAUCUUUUGGUCCAAAGCUAAUGCCUAGGUUCUGGUUCUCCAUCCUCACAGCAGAAAAUAUCUUCGAGCUGUCAGUUGGAAAGUCCUUAGAUUCCCAUCUCCGGCCUUUCUCAACUAGACACACCCUUACCCCUGCCAUAGACAACCGACAAGCAGCAACAGAACCGCCAUAGCCAGACCCCACAACAACUGCAUCAUAACCAUCUUCUUGUCCAUAACCAAAACUAACUUCCGAUUCUUGCUCCUCCAUUUUCUUUCAAGUUCCAGAUCUAGAAUUCGGGACAAUUUCUUACUUAAGGUCAAAACGAAGUGUGAGAAUUUCAGUUUCAGAUUCAAGAUACCUUAUAGCUGAGGGUACUGCCAACAUGGAAAGUACUGGGUAUCAAAUUUGUUUCCUAGUGUGAUUAUUUAAUAGGUAAAUGAUUUCAAUCACGUUUUAGCAUGAAGAAACCAAUGAAUCCAGUUAAGAAAGUUGAGAACAAUUACCUAGUAAUAAACUCCAAGACAAUGCAACCUCGUUAGAACAUUGAACAUCCAAGAUUACAGCAAAUAUUGUGUAGUCUAGCAGCACAAAGGACACAAAUCGAAAGACUAUAAAGUCAGAGUUUAAAAGUCGUUUAGUCAUCUGUCAGCUAGCUAAAAAAGCACAUUCGGUCUAUUUCUGGACAAAUCCCUGAUCAUCUUAAUCUGCAUUGAACUUUGUUGAAGCAAACAAGGCUUGCAUUGGACCACUAAGCAUACAAAUUGAACAAGAAACAAGGACUUUCUUGUCUUGGACUUAAAGAAGUAAGAAAAUUUGCAUUACAUAACAAAGUGGAGAUAAUCUCAACUCAAACAUAUGUAUAAAAAUCUUGUUUACAGUCUAGCGAUUUGGACCGACUUCUGAAGGGCCUGCAUAAGAUUUCUCAUGAUCCUUGGUUCACCAGGAGGUGUCUUGUCCUUCAAGGGUCCGCUUCUGACAGCUCGGAAAAUAGGGCCAGAGCCGUCACUUGGUGGGAAAACCAAGCAGUCUAUGUACACAGGGACCUCAACCUCCGCAUUCCCGAUUGUAACAAACCCCAAUCUAGUCCCACCUGCAAUUUUGUCUACCUGUUCCAUUGCAAUGUACAAGAAAACAUUCAGUCCAUUGCUAGGGUCUCAGUGCCAUUUUCAUAAUGUAUGCCAAUGUGUCCAUGCAACCGGAACCUUAAACAUGGAAGUCAACAUGGCUAAGGGAAUAUAAGUCAAAUAAACUGAUUUCCGCAUACUCAUUUUUCGUUUAUUUCUGACAUAUUGGAUUGGAUAAAUUUGUGAUUUUUGUGAAUCAUCUUUAUAAAUUGGGUGUUAUAAACAUAAUGGAAUUUUAUUUUUAUUCAAGUUUAUUGCAUAUAGCGAUACCUCCAACGCAACACCUAAUACGACUUCAGACUUUGAAUAAAAUAAAGGAAAAUGAAGAAACAUAAAUAAACAGAAAAAAAAAAAGAAUUGAAGUGAACUAUAUUAUGUACCUUCAAAGGCAUAUCAAGAGGCAGGUUGGCUCCUUGGCAGAGACUAUUAGCCCACUGUUGAACAAAACGCAGCGUUUAGCACAUUGGACCAGAAAAAUGGGAAAAUACAGAAAUUUUAAAAACGCUAGAAGGAGGGUUCGAACCUCCGACCUUGUGGUUAACAGCCACACGCUCUAACCAGCUGAGCUAUUCCAGCUUUGUUGUUAGAGUAUGCACUUUAAUGUUUAAAUAUACUUUAUAUUACCUGGAAUAGUAGAAUUUGGAAUCUGGGAAGAUCGGUAUCCGAGGGCAAUUUCAUGGUCCCGAGCAAGACGCCGUCUUCGGCGUCGUCCGAAGGGAUAAGGCUGUCCUUUUCCUGAGACGACGCCUUGGCCACCGCCGUUUGAUUUCGGUGGCGGUAGUGACGGCCGGAAUGCAAAUUAAGGUUAGGAAAGAAGCAGCAGCUGGUGGCGGUGGUGGAUACUAGUGGACAGGAAGCAGCCAGCGACGGAGGAGGAGGGGAGAGUAGCACGUGGGAACUGACACGUGGGGAGUGGACGCGGCGGAGCGAGCUCAUCACUCCUCCCGCCACAGCGACAGAAAUGGGCAUGGGUGGCUGAGCAAAUGAAAUCUGUGAGGGGGUUUUAGAAUUGAUGGGAAAGAGGGAAAGGGAUUCGUUGGAGGAAUCGAAAGUGUAGAGGAUAUGCUGAUAUGCUGCUUUCAUCUUCUUUAACGAGACGGGAAUGGUUGGCGAGAAGCGCCUCACCAAGCUUCUAAUCAUUUCAUGCCAUAUCAGCAAAUGUAGGCCACUUGGCAUUUUUUUAACAGAAAAUUGUAACAACGGGCCCUCAAAUUUAUCCCAAAAUUCAUGAUUAUUGUUCCUUAACUCAUCAAAACGUGUAAUUAUGAUCAUUUUCGUCAACUCAGUCAGAAUUCUGUCAAAAUGAGUCAUGUUGGGAGGAUCGUUAUUACAAUUUGUUUAAAGUUGAGGGAUUAUUGCUCAAAUUGGGUUAAGGUUGAGAGAUCAUUACGACAAUUUUUCUCAUUUGAUUUUUCAUAUUUGCCCCUUAGUUCAACCUCACGUGUUUGCCACGUGACUUAUUUUGGCGGAAGUUCUUAACAAAGUUAACGAAAAGAACCAUAACUACACAUUUUAAUGAGUUAAGAGACCAGUGGUCUCAAAUUUUUAGUUAAAUGGUACAAUUUCCUCCUUUUUAUGUGAAAUUAAUGAGUUGUUUGAUAAGUAUUUCGUUUUUAGUUUAUUAUUUUUUUGAAAACUGAUAAAUGAAAAUUCGUUUGAUAACUACUUUACAUUUUCAAACCCAAAACUGAAAGCUGAAAACUAAAUUUUGAAGACUCAAUAAAAUAGUUUGCAUUUUCUAGUUUUUGAAAACUAAAAAUAGUUAUCAAAUGAGUUUUCAUUCUUCAAUUUAAAAAUAAAAAUUAAAAAAAAUUAAAAAUUAAAAAAAUAGUUACCAAACGGUUCUUAAACUGAUUAUUUUCGAAUUUUAAUGACAAUUCUCCUUUACCAUUUCUCAGUGAAAAAGGAUCAUUAGCCCAAAAGAAGUUCAUACAGCUAGGAGACAAAUCGAUGUGAUUUCAAACCAUUAAGGUGAAUGCGAGAAAAUAAAAAUAUGAGAAAAUUACCAAUUAGUAAAACAAGAUUCUAAUUUCAACGGACAACUCGGAGAAUUGGACAUUCGAAAGCAUACCUGGCAUUUCAGACCCGACCUGUUAAUCCGAUACAACCCGUUAAAAUGAGUAUUCGGAUGAAUGUUUAACGAGUUGAAUGGUUAACAGGUUAACCCAUUAAGCACCCAUUAAAUAAUGAGUCAUUUUGGGUGAACGUGUUAACCACCCGUUAAAUAACGGAUCAUUUUGGGUGAACCUGCAAAACCCGUUAACCAUCUGUUAACACUCAUUAUUGAAGGCUUUUGUGUAAUUUCAAUAUUCAAUAAUGAAACCCUCACUCUGUCUCGCAUGUUCUGGCUCCCGUUCUCUCUCGUCUCCCUCAUCUUCUUCUCAGAAAUUACCACUCUAUCCGGUCUCCUGCUGCAGCAUCUUUAGCUACCUGUAAUCUCAACCACACCAGAAACUUCCUCUCCUCCAAAGUCCAAACCCCACUUCAAUUCCAUCUCUGGCUCUCCCUGCACCUUCCCCACCAAAUCUCGAUCAUCAACAAUCGUUUCCAUGGCGCCCCAAAAGAAGGAAAUUACGUUCACUCUUGCUCUGUAAAUUCUAUUUGGCUGCCAAGAAAGUAUCUUUAUAUAAAUUUACGAAUACCGUUUUGUUUUUUGGUUAAUUUACAAAUACCCUUUUGUUUGUUUGCUUCGUAAAUGUGAAUUUCGUAAAUUUCCAGGUGAACAAGCUCAACAGCGGCUGGGAGAAGAAGUGGUACGGAGCGGGAAUCUUCUACGAAGUGGCAGAGGAAGUGGAAGUCGGCGUCUUCAAGAAGCUGGAGAAGCGGAAGGUCCUCAGCAACGUCGAGAAGGCUGGGCUUUUGUUCGCGUAGGAGCUCGGGGUCACCCUAUCAUCGAUUGAAAAUAAAAAAUAAAAAUGCUAAACUGGUGAAACGAGUGAAACAAAUAAUCCGUUAACUUAACGGAUUAAGUUUGGAUGACCCAUUAGUUUAACGGGUUGAAUUUGAAUGAUCCGUUAAAUUAACGGAUCAGGUUAAACUCGACCCAAAUCCAGUAAACCCGACCCGUUUACAGGUCUAUUCGAAAGCAUAUCAAAAUGUGUGACUUGCCCUGUAAGUACCAGUGCAAGCAACAAAUCUUUUCAAUUAGUUCUCAAUUUGUACAGGCGGUAAGUGAAAAAGUUAAAAAAAAAAAAACAGAUAAUAAUCCACAAGAAGUACAACACCGGAAUAACAGAAGAAACUCCUGAAGAUCGAAAGUUUUUACAAAGAGAGAGCCGCCCUACCGUCUAUACGAACCAAGUGAAGUAUACUGCUCCAGUUUAUAUUCACUCAACUAAGCCGGGGAGCAAGAUUCGAGCUUAGGGAGGAGACUUCGCCAAGCGUCUGCAAUACUUUUUGCCAGGCGUGCCUGUCCCUUGGCAAACUCAUGGAAAGCAACCCCCAUGUCCGUUGUUUUUUGUUCUUGAAAGUGAACUAUCUCUUCAUUCAUCCGUCGCACUAUCGUUUCAAAUCUUCUGGUUGCUUCCUCACCCUCAGCCUUCAACUGCAUCACAAAACCAAUCUUAGUCAAAUAGUGAAGAUGCCACCUAACAUGUGUAAACCAUAUACGAUUGCAUCAGCUGACUUGCCUCCUUGUACUCGUGCUCAGCUUCGCCCACCCUGUCCGAUCUGGUCAACAUGAGUUUGUCACUGCAAACCAAUCAACACUUAUUAGGCCAAUCAACAAUUAAAGACAAAAUGAGCGCCAGAGAGUAUUUAUAUCAAAAUGGUGAGUGGAAUCCAACAUUAGUUGAAUCAAAUGGUCCCCAUCAUGCUUUUUCACAAAUCAAUUUUUUUCUCCUUAAACUUUUAUUUUUUUUAUUAACUAGAAACCUAAAUAUGAUCACAGGUGCUACUUGUCUGUGUUUUCAGUAUACAAGAGGCUAGCGUAACGGAAAAUCCAGACACGCAGAGAAACAUAAAACAGUUGGCCAGAUGCAUACAGAUUUAUCUCCUUCAACUUAAUUGUUUCGGCAAGUUCACACUGUUGCCUGAAGGCAUUUGCUCUCUCAGCUAUUGUCGCCUGUUUCAACACACAUAAGUAAAAGAAUCAGCUUUUAUUUUAUGACAAAUGAAGACUACCAGAAGGCCACAAUCAAUGAGAAAACUUUAACCAAGGGCAAUUCCAGGAAGAGCUUCUAUUACAUAUGAACCCAGAAUGGUAGGAAACAAAUUCCAUGAGUCCAAUGCAGAAUGGGAAGGAUAAAUAUUCAAAUAAUAAUUUGUGUCCAUGAAUUUAGAAGCUAAAGUUAUAUCCAUCGCAAAAAGAGAAGAAUGCAAGUGUAAAGAGUAUAAUCUAAAGACAUGUAUCAAGUCAAACACUUCUCACCUUAAUAGAUUGCACGGCACGGACAUAAUCUUUCAACGGUUCUUCAAAAUUCAUUAACAGUUGUUGGGCCUACAAAGAGACGAAAAGAUAUGGUACCACCAUAACAUAUAAUGAUAAGCUCUUAUACAAAAUGGAAAACAAAAGGAAUGCAUGCAAAGAAGAACAAGCAAACACACCAUAGACACUAGAAUGCCAAUGAUAUAUAUCGAAUUCUCAAUUCAAGCCUACCUCCUUUUGCAGCCUAAUUGAUAAUGUCUCUGACUUCGCCCCAAGCUCGGUAAAGGCCUUUCCAAGAGCAUUACCUUCGGAAGCUCCUAGGAGCUUGGCUGCUUUCCCAAAAUCUGCUAGAGACUGUCCCAGCUCUGCAUAAAUAUAGUUAUAAAGAAUCACAUUCUAACCACAUUCAGAAUUCAGAAUAAGGAAAUGCAGCCAUAAGGCCCCUACUAGAGAAAUUCAAAAGAAAAAGGUAAAGAAAGAACAUUGAGCCUUCAAAUCGUCAUUACCUCUGUGCCUCUUGACAAGACGGUAUGCAUGCUUCUGGGCUUCAGCCAAGUGGUUUUCAAGCUCAAAGAUGUAGUGUUUCAACUUCUCAUAUUCAGGAUUUGACUCUUCCACCGGCUUUUCCUUUCCGAGAACAACAUCGCUCACUUUAGAUUGUACAUCCUGUUAAAUACAGAACUGCUGUUAUUGUACAACCAGAUCAACUCUCAAAAAGGAAAGAUACUAGUUUAAGUGACCUAUUUAGUUCAACAAAUACAAUAAAUGCGGAAGACAUCAUGCAGCGGAAAGGAUUGCCUGUUAUGUUUGCACUUGACAAUACACUAAAGCAUUUAAACAAACAAAACCAGGAAGGAAAAAUAAACUUGAAGGACUUCAGAAAACUUCAACUUAUUAAUAAGAAUAUUAAUUGUCGAAUUGCAAUUGAAUUAUGUGGCAUUCAAGACAGACAUUGGAAGGAGAUCUCUUCCUCAAAUAUUCUCCUACAUUUAUUUCCAUGUGAUACACGUUCCAUUUUCUAUUUGGCUAGACAAUCCAGAACGCAGAUCAUUAACCUCAUAAUGAAAAUAGAUUAUAAACAACUUUUCCAGGGUUGAGAAUAAUUGUUAGUGUGCACUAUUUUUCACACUGAAUACAGUGACAAUUUUCUACAGGUUUCCAGUACCUGCAUAACAGGAUUUAACUGUUCAACCUUCCCACUACAGAUUAUAUAUCACAGAGACGGAAGGAUAAGCAGAACAAGGUACCGAUCAUUUCUAUUUCAUGAAAAAUGCCUUUUUAGGGCAAUGAAAUAUCCCAUGGAAACAGUUAGUCUUAAAAACACUAUGCAGAAUCAAAGUUACCUUGAAGAUUUGCAUCAAAUCUGCUGGCUUCUUCUUAAAGAUACCAGUCUCGUGAAACCUUAACCUUUCCAUUGUCUGAAAAAAGCAUAUAAACACGUCAACUAUUCUAAAGUCCAACAGAGGUGCCUGAUAAGUUAUUGACUUUCAUAGUAGUGACAUGAGAAUAACUCUGUGACUCAAGGCAUCACUUUAGAAGCACCACCUCUUCAUCUGCUUGUAAGAAGGUUCUCAGAUCCUCACUUUGCUGAAGUUCAUGAUGUGAAGCUAUCCGAUUAACAAAUACAUCCAAUGCUUGACGCCUCAUCUCAAUAAAUUCAGCACUGAAACGGAACUUUUCUGCAUUAAGGACUAAAGUUAGUCACAGUGAUAGUUGUUUAUUUGGAGUGAUUCCAAAUUCCAAUUCUUGGUGCAAGGCCAAGUGUGCUGGGCCCCUGGAGGAGUCUAGUUUAUCUUUUAUUUUCGUUUGGUUUUAAGUUUUCUGUGUUUUCACUUCCGCUAACCACUCUAAUUUCCGCUACCGAAUUCUAUCCUACACACCAAAAAAGGUCGUACCCAGUGCACAAGGCUCCCGCUUUACGCAGGGUCUGGGAGAGGUGAAUGUAUCCUACACACCAACAAAAAAAAAAAAAAAAAGAGAGUGAAUUUUCUUAGGGUUGGCUCCACCUUGUCACUAUCACAAUUCCUUCAUUCGCAAUUUGAAUCAACAACUAAGAUACCUAUACUAGCUAGUUAAGGCCUACACAUGAAGAUACAAGUACAUAAGUUUAGGCAUGACAAAACAAUGCACAUGACGAGGUGAAUAUAGCAUUUUCUACUUUACAAGUACAAAAGAGUUCUAAGAAAAAGGGUAUAGCUUUGUUGUUACCUACAGCACUCUUUUCUGGAAGAGGUGGAAUAAAAAUUCCUUUAUACUUUUCAAAGAGACGAUCCCGUAGCCAAACAAAAUCACUGUAACGUCGAAUAACAAUCUUCUCCGGCCCUUGGUAUUCAGGAAAAUUUGUCUGAAAAAACAAACAUAGAUAGAUGUGAAUACUCAAGUAGAAUUUAACCAUUAUUAUUGCAUCAAAAUAGACACAAAAACAAGACUGAAAGGAGCAAAUUUACAGAUCACAUGCUCAUCCAACUCAUUAAACACUCAAGCUCAAAAGAUCCAAUGAAAAACAUCAUUCAUUUGCACACAUAUUAUAACGAGAAUCGCUGAUUCAUGGACAAUUGGACCCCAAUCUAAUAAGGCAGAUUCUUGUUCGCUUGUUUCAUAUUAAUUAGCAACGACGCCCUAGGUAAAAGCUAUGGUACAUAAAGCUAGAAUAGUUAUCAAUUCGCAGUGCAUUUUGAAUGACCGUGGAAAUACAAAUUCUAAUUUUCUUUCUUUCGUUGCCCAGGUACCCCUUUUUUUUCAAAUUUCCUUGUUUCUAAGGCCUAUUCUCAUUAAAUAAACAAAAUCCCCUAACAAAGUGAGAAUUUAUAUCUUCCGUACACUCUGAGCUAAAACCAACCAUAUAGUUACUGUUAAUUACGCAAUCAACCCAAUCACAGGGACCUUAACCCUAAUCAAAUCAAAGCCUACAAUCAAUAACAGAAAUUGAGAGCGAAAUGACGAAAUUACCUUGGUGAUCACUCGGUAGGAGAUGUAUGCCUGGACGCCAUUUCCCAAUUUCACAGGAUCAGUCACUGAGACUGAGAGGUACGGCUGCGACGACGGAGAUCUAGGGCUCUGCGACGGCCCCGAUAUGCUUCUCUGCUGCUCCAUGCAAACACAAUCAAACGCCAACAGAAACGAAGAUUUCAUCUUACGAGCAAAUCAUCAAAACAAAGACCCAACAGAAGAAGACGAAGAGGAAGAGAUGAAUGGCAGGUUCGUAAUUACCGUGGUAAUCAUGGCGGCGUUGUGAUGAAGGUCGGGUCGGGUCGGGUCGAUGAAGAAGAUGGGGCGAGACGGAGCUCUGCGAGAUUUCAAUCUGAUAGUCAACCAGAGCGUAAAGCGGUGGAAGUGGGAGCGGAAUUUUCUAAAGUGCGCCGUGUGUGCACCGCGCCCUGUUCCGUGCAGUCGACGCCAGGGAAAUGAUCAGUUGGAUGUCUUGCUGCGUAAAUGAGUAAGAAGAAGAAAGUAUUGCUUGUUUAUUGGCAUUGCUGAAUAAGUUUUUUGUUUUUGUCAAAAGGUAAAAUUUAUUACCAACCACCGUAAUUACAAAAGAAGAGGUCCAAUUACAUGAAAAGCACAGAAGAAGAUAUGGAUCCUCAAAACAAAGCCCAAAAUAAAGUUUCGAGCCCAGAAACAGGAAAACCCAACAAUCUUGCUUGAGUUGCCACCACCAAAGCAUCGUCGAGAAACAGAGAUCCAGCCAUCCAAAUACGCAAAAAUGAUGGAAAAGACGACUUUAACAACUUCCUCAAAGCACCACAUAGAUCGGAACAACAACCACAAACCAAAGAAAGCUAGUGAGAUAUGACCCACUAGGAAUUAAAGUCACUGAAGGAGAAAAAAAGCCACUAGGGAUAGAGUCAUGGGAGGUGAUGGUGUGAACACCUGCGUCCGAGCUCUACACACUUCUCGGGAGAAUCACGUCAAAGCGCGUUGAAGGAGAGUGACUGCAGAUCCGUAAAUAUUUGGGGUGGAGGAAAGCCGGAGCCAGGUGGGAAGGGUAGGAAGAGGAAGGAUUAAAACUAUUACAAUUAUGGGUAAAUUACAUAGUACCCCUCAGGUUUGAGAUCUAUUACAACCACAUACAGCGUCUUUAAAAUAUUUCACUUUUAUACAUCAUGUAUCAUUUUAUUUCAAAAUAAUACAUCCCUUAGAUUUUAUGUCCAUUAAUCUGUUAAAUGCUAACAUGGCUACCACAUUUGUACUGAUGUGGCUGCCACGUGGUAAAAAAAUAUUUUUUUAUACAUUAAAAAUAUUAUAAUAUUAACCCAAUUAAAAAAAAACAUAAAAACCCGAACCCAAAUCCUCUUUCUUCCCCCUCUCCUCUCUGCAACUCCCAUUUACAAAAUCCCUUUCCACUAUCCCUCACCCACUCCCCAGAGACCUCCCCCCAAGUGACCCACAUCCUUAUCCCUAACCUAGAACCCAAAAACCUACAACAAGAAGAAGAAGAAGAAAAAGAAGAAUAGGGAGGAAAAAAAAUAAGCCAUAGUUCGUCCCCCCCAAAACCUGCAAGAAGAAGAAGAAGAGGGAGAAAAAAAAGCCUCAGUUUACGGGAAGGUCGCGGGGAGGGGGGAAGGGAAGUGGGUUGCGGGUCGCGGCAGGGUCGAGGGGGGGAAGGGAGGUGGGUCGCAGGUCGUGGUGGGGCGGGGGGGGGCAAGGGUUCUGGGCUUCUUCUUCUUUUUGUUUUUUGCGGGUGGGGGACAAACUGGGUUUGGGGAUUUCUUUUGUUUCUUCUUCCUCCCUCUUCUUCUUCUUCUUUUCGUUGUUGCAAGUAUGUGGGUCGCUUGGGGUGGGGGGGGUAAGGUCGCUGGGGGGGUGGGUGAGGGAUAGUGGGAAGGGAUUUUGUAAAUGGGAGUUGCAGAGAGGAAAUGGGGAAGAAAGGGGAUCUGGGUUCGGGUUUUUGUGUAUUUUUUUUUUGUUUAAUUGGGUUAAUAUUAUAAUAUUUUUAAUGUAUAAAAAAAAAUUUACCACGUGGCAGCCACGUCAGCAUUUAACAGAUAAAUGGACGAAAAAUCUAACGGAGGUAUUAUUUUGAAAUAAAAUGGUAUAUGAUGUAUGAAAGUAAAAUGUUUUAAAGACGUUGUAUGGGGUUAUAAUAGACCUCAAACCUGAGGGGCUACUAUGUAAUUUACCCUACAAUUAUUUAUAGGAAUGGGAGUUUCGAACCCAAAAUUUAUGGGUAAAAACUCAACACCAUAUUCACUAGGAUAUUGAACCACAUGCACUCAUUACCUAAACACAUAUUCUAGAAACUUUCAUUUGUAAGGUUGUAAAAGAGCUUAGUCAAAUCGAAUCAUUAUGCUCAAAUUUGUAAUUAUUCUAAGGAAGGAAAUUAUACCUAUGCUAAAACCCGGUGGGAAAACCACUAUUAACAGUGUGUUGAUUGUCCUACCCCUCAAUUUCUUCACGUUUUUGGGCCUUCUUAGGGAUUCUCACUGAAUUGGCGGUUUUACCCUUUUCCUCAUUUUUGUUGUCUCGUGUCGCUGGAGGUGGAAAUACGUUUUUCAUUUUCUUGGUUGGGCUUUGGUUUCCUGAUGAUAAGCGAACAUCGAAUUGACAGUGCCUUUUUCCCUUUCUCUCUUACUUUUGUUGUUUCCUUUCACUUUCACUUCAUUUUGGAGCUUUGGCUUUAAGACGGGAUGUGUGUUUUGUUGCUUCUAAAUUUGGUUGGUCAAUUUUCUUUGUCGUUUAUUCUGUUUUUGUUUGGACCUUUGGCUUUUCUUUUCGGUUUCUGUUGUUGCAGGAGUGUGGUUUCAGUGAUGGGUUUUCAACUUUCGUUUUUUUAGCCGUUUUGUUAGCACUUUUCGAUUAUGGACAGGGAUGUUUGAUUUUUUUUUUUUUGUUGUUUGUUUGUUAGUCUUUCAGCAGGCUAUGACUUUGUGUUUUUGUUUGGUUAUUUUUGCAACUCUUCAACGACUUUGUGGUCAAGAUUUGAAUGGUUCUGUGGUCACGAUUUCCAGUUGCAGCAGUUAGGUUUUUUCUCAAGUAUUAGUUUUUUCUGGUGGUCACAGUUUAUCCAGUGAUGCGGGUGUUGUAUUUGGAUUUUUUGAGUUCUCUUUUGAUUGUUUUGGUCAAUUUGUUGCUUAAUUAUUUUGUUGUAAAGCGUUUCUACAAUGUUCAGUUGCUCUGUAAACAUUUAAGAUUGAUUUUACUCUUGAAAGUUUAUAGCUUUUGUUAGUUAACAUAAAACCAGGUUUUGAUUGUUUUUUAGGAUUUGGAUAGUGUUCUUUUUAAAACUGAAACGGCCAUGUGAUUUCUUCUUUCGAUUAUUUGGUUUUGUUGGGUUGUCUUUUGAUUAUUUUAAGUGAUCUAUUGCCUGAUUAUUUUGUCACUAAGCACUUAUGCGUGGUUGAGUUUCUCUCUAAAGAUUUAAAAUUAGUUUUUCUCUUCAAAGUUUACAACUUUUGUUGCCUGGCAUAAAAUCAAGUUUUGAUUGUUUUGGAGCAUUUGGAUAAUCUAUGUUGAUGUUGUGUUUCUUUUUGGACAAUAAUUUUUUGUGGCAUUAUUGAAAGUUUAUCAGGUGAUGUGUUUGUUUAAAUUGGAUGAGUGCAAUUUUGUGCAUGUUAGUUAUUAAUUUUAAAUUUCGGUAUUUACCUGGGUUGGAUAAUUAUAUGACAUUUUUUGUAGUUUUAAUCUUGAUGAAUGGUGUUUGAGCAUGGAAUUGGCUGUUAUAAAUGAUGUUGUGGUUCGUGUAUUGUUGGUGGUAUUCAAUUGAUCUUUUUUUUUUCCUCGGUUUAUCAUUUUUUGUUAUGGUAUUUUUUUUGUGUUUGUAUAGAAUUGAGUCUUGACUAUUCUUUUGUGUUUUUGUUUAACAAUUUAUUCAAUUAUUUCAUUUCUUUUUUAGCUUAUAUUAUGUUUUGAUCAGAUGAUGUUCAAGUUUUUUGAGUUUUUUGUCUACACUAUUUGUGAAUUUAUAGACCUUGAAUUUCAUUUGAGCAGUUUAAAUGGAAGAUCAAGGUCCAACUCCUCUUAAUCUUUGUAUUCUUUGAUUUUCAAUUGUAGAAUAAUAUAUUAGUUUUCAUGCUACCUCUAUGCAAUGUGUAAAUUUUUGGGUGCAUAUCCAUUGUCUUUAAACUCUUAAUUACACUGAUGAAUUGACUCUCAGUACUUACUAUUCAUGUUAUUCUUUGAUGUUUGUCAUCUAUGUCUAUUUUCAUAUUAUUUCAAGUGUUAGGUAUAUCAACUCUUAUAUUAACUCUAUGUAAUAUGUAAUUUUUUUUAUGCAUAUCCAUCAGCUUUAAAAUGUUAAUUACAACAAUAAAUUGGCUUUGACUAUUCAUUAUCUCUGUUAGUUUUUAAUGUUUGUUAUUUGCAUCUAUUUUCAUUUUAUUUCAAGUGUCAAAUUCAGCAUCAUUUAAUUAUUCAUAGUGUGUUUGACAAUUUUUUUUUCUUGCCUUUCCCAUGUUUGAUUAUCAAGCAAUAAGUGAUUAAGGCGUCUUCUUAUGAGAUAGACUAUUAAAUAAUGUGCAUGCUACGAAAUUAUGAAUUUUUGCACCAACAAAAUGAGGGCCAGUAUCGAGUGGUGCCGCAUGACACUCACGUUGUGUUCAUUGCUAAAACAAUUUUUAACAAGUUGACAAGUAUCUUUUUGCCUAUUCCACGCCAAAGAUUCUUUUUGCUAGACUAUAAUAGGUUGUAUCCUCGGUUGGACAAGCUUGAUGUCCUUACAGGUGAUAAUAUGUAUAUACAUAUAUGUGUGUGUGUGUGUGUGUAUGUGUCGUAGAAUGGAUUAGUAUAUAUUUUAUGAAACAUUUGUUGGAAAUUAUAUAUUAUAAUAUGAAAUAUUGUAAUAUAUAAUUUUAAUAAUUGAAUGGAAAAUAGUGUUAACCAAUUUCUUAGAAAGGUUAUGUUGUUUAGGUGUAUUCCCUUGAUAAGUGGUGUAUACUUAUAGAUGAAAAGUUACAUCUCUUUAAUAAGUAGAAAUUGGAUUCUAUAUAAACCCAUGAAACCAUUGGUAUUGGACAUAGAAAAUUAGAGUUAAUUUUUACUCUUGAGAAAUAGGGUUUCCCCACUUUGUUUCUCUCAUGCUUCGUGUGUCAAAUUCCAAGUCGUGUAUUGAGAGUAAGGAAUAUAUAAAGUUCGCUGGAGUCCGAAGAUUGAAGUGCUUUGACUUCAGAUUAUAAAUUGUUGAAUCCUGGGACAUGGAUGCAUAUCGAACUACAAGCAUAAGAGUAGGCGCAAAAUUCUAUCUUUAAGACAUUGCAUUUAUGCAAGCCUCAAUCUCUAAGUUUGUCAGUUUUUCUAUCUUUAUCUCUAGUUGUUUAUAUUAAUCUCAUAUAUAAUUGAUGUUGUGAAUUUCUUUAUGAUUAUUAUCAUUGGAAUCAUAUUGUUAUUUUUCAUAUUUUCUAAUAUUGUUCCAACAACAUUUUGUUGUGGCCUAAUUAUGUUUCGUUCUUUUUUUUUUUUUCAAAUUUGAAGACAUUAUUGGUCACAUGGUUGGAGUCCAUCAUUUGGAGCCCAUACAAAUGAAUCAGAGGAUUGAUCACAAGUGUGUGGUCAUUCAAAAUAUCAGGUUAUUUCCUCUACAUAAUAAACUUUUUAAUUGUUUUUCGUAUCAAUUGUAUUUAUGUCAUAGAUAUCCAAACUGCUAUUUUGUGACAUUGGACAAUCAUAUACUUUUCUUAAAAAUAAUUUACUUUUAUUCAAUCUUAAACUUUUUUUGCAAAAUAAAUCCAGAUGUUUUUGUAUCUCUUGUUGAAUCCAGGAUGUGGCUGAUUCAAAUAUUUUAGCAAUGUUUUAAUAUACAAUUAUGUUAAAAGGUUUACAACGGUACUCAUUUGCAUAGGAAGGUUAACUCAACACUGCUAGUACAGGUCUCACAAUUUUUUUUUUAAACAUCUGUUCUAGCAUCCACACAACAUAUUAUUACAAUAUAUAGAAUGCUUAAUUCUGUAAAUUACCCAUUUUUUUUUUUUUCCAAGCGUUAAGAAACUGUUUAUAGUCAUGUGGUAGACAAGCCAAAUCUCGGUUUUCCGAAGACAACGGAUGGAGGUGUUGUUGAACACAUUGAGGUGGAGUGACAAAUGCCAUUUGAAUGCAUAUGCGAAGACAAGAUGUGAUGUGACAACAUGCGUAAUUAUUUUCGUGCAACAACACAAUAAGUAAUCAACGUACAAGCUAAUAAAAUAUAUUCAACACCCAACAAUAAUGAAAAAAUAUAUGCAUGACAUGUUAGAGCAUAGACAAUCUUGAAAUACAAGCGGAAGGAAUAUUAGAAAUUGCGAUUACAAGAGGAAUGAGUCCUACACUGAAAGGACUCGAAGAUACCAAUGCGAGAGUGCCAUGAGCCGAUUUUCUAUUAAAGAUUCUGAGUCCUAGGGCGUAAAACAAAACAUGACUGAACCAGUUAUAAUAUAUAAGUAAUACUAAAACAAUUAUUCUUCACACAUACACUACAAACUCCAGUGUAGAAAACUCAUAUAGCAUAAUGUAAAUUAAGUUUUUCGAAAACCUACAUGCCAUAAAACCUUCGUAUAACAUAUAUCAUAUAUAGUGUGCUUAGUAGUGUGUAUCGCAACAUACCCAAGCAUGGAUAUAUCACCGGUCCGAAGGUCUCAUAUAUAAAUUCUCCGAAGCCAAUACAUCGUCUGGCCGAAGCCAUAUAUAAAUAUCUUCCGACCGAAGCCACUGCAUCACCCGACCAAAGCAUAUAUUAUAAAUCUUCCGACCGAAACACUACAUCAUCUAGCGAGUUAUAUAAUAAUCAUUUGCCCGAACGCCCUUAUUAUUCCCGAAGAAGGCAUAUAUAAGUAUCAUAACCCAUAUGUAAGCAAACAUAUAUAUAUAAACAUAAUCUUUCCAACAUAUAAUCAUAUUCAUCAUCGAAAGCUCCAUAGCUCAACUCAUAUACAUAAAUCAUAUUCCAUAAAUAUCUCAUAAUAAGCCAUAAAUCGAUUCAAAUAUAGCCAUGAAUAUUAGUGUAAACACAUCCAAUAGACCGGCUCACGCCGUAAGCAUAAUAUAAUGUCCUUUAUUUGCCCACAACCAAUCCACGCAUCAAGAUUUUGUAUUCUGGGAAAUCACAUCAGAACUAUCCCCAGUGGUCACCAACAUGGAAUGCUCAUCACGCCCAAGCUCGCAUCUAAUAAAAUUCCAAUGGAACCAAGCAGUGAGUUCCCAAGCAUAUAUGGAGGUGGGCAGUACAUAAUAACAUAUUAAUCCCCACCUCAACCGCCCUUCCGUUGGUCGACAUAAGGGACUCAAUCAGCCCCUCACCAAGGGACGUCCUCAAAUCGCACACCUCGCACCAUCACAAAUCUAAGUAAGCUCUGAGUACAUUCUGUGCCACAUACUCCAGGCUCACAUUUCCUUGUCGUAGCACGAUGUUAUAAAGCACUUGUUUUAGGCCCGGACACCACGGCAGCACUCCAUUGGUUUUACUCUGGAACACAUUUGAGAACUUCCCAGUGGGUCCCAUUGGGAUACCUUCCCAAACUCGCUUAACUUCGAAGUUCUCAAUGGAACCGAAGCAGUAUGAGCUCAUCAAAUAGGCUCUGCUAUAUUGGAUGUGGGCAUGUUCAAUAAGGAACCAUCACCCCUCUCCGUUGGUCGAUGUGGAUAUGUUACAUGAUAUUUCAAUAAAGCGUAAUCCAGUUCAUUUCCAAAACCGAUAAACUUUAAUAAAUUAACAUAGAAACGAUCAUUAAAACAUUAUUAUAAUCAUUUUUAUGUAGGUAAAAUAAUGCAUUUUGGAAGGGGUCCACUCACAGAUACUCAGUCACCGAAGAACCCUUCAAACUAGAGAGGACAGGGUCUCCACUAACAAACACACAUAAAAGGACCAAUUAAUUAAACUAUACUAAAACGAUUGAAUUUGGGAAAACGUAGCACUAAUUUGGAAUUAGGACGUCGAAAUUAGUCUAGGAAAGGUCCCGGCCGAAAUCCGAAAAACCCAACCAAAAGUCAACGUUAACGGUCAACGGUCAACACUGUCCAGAAGUCAAGGGGUCGAGUCAACUGUCAAUAGGUCGGAUCAACAGGUUGGGUCAAUGAUCAAUGGGUCGGGUCAACCCAGUCACCGGAAAACCCAUCGGAAACUGGGUUUUGGCUGAAAGUUUGGGAAAUUUGCAAAGCUUCGUAACUUCUUCGUUUCUUAACCAAAUUCAACCCAUUAUAUAUCAAAACGAAGCUAGAAAUGUGUAGAACAAGAUUAUACUUCUUUGGAAGCCCAAUGGUUGCUGAAGAUGGCCUGGUAAUGUCAGAAGAAAAAACGAAAAUCUCGGAUUUCUAGUAAAUUUAAAGGAUUCAAAACUUUUUCAAUACUCAACAAAAUUGAGUAAUUCAAAAAUAAAAAUCUUACUUCUCAACAAGAUGAAGAUAAUGGUACCUUUCAAAUGUGCUAAAUAAUCUAUGGAAAAGUUGGAAAAUUCAAAAAAUGGCCUAAAAGGUCACAGCCAAAACUGGGUUUCUUAAUUGUCGAUCGAAUGAAGUUUCAAACCAUUCUUUGGAAGUUCAUAAGGUUCUGGUCUAUAGCUCAUAAGGACGAGAUGAAGCUUGUGGUGCUCUUAGUUUGGGUGAUGGUGGGAGUGUUGUCAUUGUUGUUUGUGUGUUGCAUUCCCAGAGAAAUAAGGUUUUUGAGAGAGGAAUGAGAGGGCUGAGAUGUGAGGGAGAGUUUGAGAGAAAGUGUGUUAGAUAUUUUCAAAAAAUUAGGGCUGGUUCGGGUCGGGAUCCCGAAUCAAAACCCAAAGCCCAAAUCCCAAACCGACUCCUUUCGGGAUGCAAUUCUAAACACCCGAAACCUUAAAAUUUCGGUGUUCCCGAAUUUCGGGAUUCCUGAAAUUGUUUCGGGUUUUCGGUUCGUGGAUCGGAAGUGAAUGAGCAGUCCUAAUUUACAAAUAAAAAAUCAAGGCACAAUACAAAGAUCGAAAUCCCAAAAUUGCAGACAAAGCCUAAAAAUUCAAAAGAAGUAAACAAUACAAAGAUCAAUUUCGAUUCAAAAGGACAAUAGACCUUCAAGCAUAAUUGAAAUAAGGAGAAAUUUCAUUAAUCUAAAUCUCCCAAAAUAAAGUUCAAACCUUCUCAAUUUUAGAAUCCAAAUCAAAUGACACAUAAUUUCAUGAAUCUUGACACCUUCAUUAUCAUACAGAGAAGCUUCGGUUGGAGGUCGUUCGAGGUGGAACCAUGGAAGCCUGAUCUGGAAUAUGGAGGAGUCAUAGAAGUGUGUGUGGUCGAUCGGACAUGUUGAGUCAGCUCACAGAGGAAGGAGGAGGAGAGUAGAGAGUGUAGAGUGUAGAGACGAUUUGAAGAGUUCAAGUCAAGAGUGUUGGUUGUUGACAUAGCUUAGGAGGAGAGAGUGCGGAGAAUAUUUUGAGGUUAGAGAAAGAGUGCAGGUCGUCUGAGUUUGAAAGAAGGGGCUGGAGGCACGUCAUAGAGAGAGUAGAGGUAUUUUACACAACGGUUGAGAAUUUAAUCUCAACCGAAUCCAACGGUUACAAUUUAUCCUAAUAUGGUAUAAUAAUAUAAUAAAUAAAUGUAUAAUAUGUAUACAAAUCGUUCGGGAUUACCGAACAUCUGCCAACCAAGUCCCAAUUCCCGACCGAAUCUAUAGGAUUUUUCGGUAUGGUUACCGAACUUUUCGGGAUUUUUUAUUCGGGAUUUUUCGGUUUUGAAUUCGGAAUUUCGGAGCGGUUUCGGGUAUUCGGGAGGGGGAUCCAGGGUUGGGCAUGGGGGUUUAAGGGUUAUCCGAAAAACUUCGACGUUUCAUAACGUAAAAUCUUUGUUAUUAUUCCAAAUUCAAAUCCGUUCGCGCCCAUGCGUUCGUGGCGAUGAGUACAAUAAGAAUAAACUAAGAAAAUUAGUAAUAUGCUUUUCGACAAGAUGGUCAAUGAAAGUCAACGUUCAAGCCUCCAGGGUAAUUUGGUAAUUUCAUAUGUUCAAUAAUAUAAAAAUACGACAAAUUUAGGAUGGGGUAUCACAUGGUGAUACAUCUUUUUUCCCUUUUUCUAUUUUCAUUUUCGGUUUUUUUUUUUUGUGAGCAUAGACAACAUUAUCCUCAACAGCACUGGUUCGACGCUCUUUUUUGUUAAUCCAGACACUCUAGAGUUAAAUUUGUAUAAAUCAGUGUAAAUCAAUUCAUUAUCAUAAAAUAUAAAUCAUAACACACGUAGAAUUAUUAAAAGAAAAACAACUAUUUUUUUAUAUGCUUAUUCUACUAAUGUUGGAUCAAAAUUGUUGCAGGUUUUCUGGUUGGCCUCACCUUGUUAGAACACUUCCUCCUUCCAAAUGGUGACGUUUGAAGAAUUAGGAUAUUUGGAUCCGGAUCUAUAUAAGGUGCAUAUAAUGCUUAUAUUUUAUCAUGUUAAAUCAAAACCAUCUUAUUCACUUUUUACUUCUUUUACAGCAACUUUCUAUUUAAUGAUCAUCAACGAUGUAAACAUCUUUCUAAAUAUUUUACAGGAUGACACAUUUUUGUACAAGGCAUCAAUUAAGCGGUUUAACACAAGGUAUGAAUGGUGGUAUGCUACUUGCCUUACAUGUGCCAAACAAAUGUAUAAUGAGUGGUCAAUUGAUUUGUCAAAAACAUCCAAAUCAAAUCCCAACUCCUUGGUAAUAAUUCAAAUACUGUAUUUCAAUUCUAUUAAUCAAUCAUUGUCUCACACUGUUCUUAGAUUAAAAUUUAUACUUUAUUUAGUUUUUACAUAUUUUUAAUUAAUAGUUCAUCACUUUUUAGAACAACAUUAUCAAGGUUUAGCCAAUGAAUCAUAAAAUUUGUAUAAUGCAAUAAAAUCAUCGCUUUUAAUCAUCUGACUGUAGGACGAGCUAAAAACUUAAUUAUAUUUUCAUACCAUUGAUAUUAACAUUAAGCUAUAACAUAGAAAACUAUAUAAAAAUGCAGUUUUCAACUUAUUAGACAAUUUAUGCUUUGUAAUCAAUGCUUUUUUUGUUUGAAUGAAGGUACAAAGUGUUCUUGGUCCUUGAAGAUGAAACAAAUGAAAUCAAUGCUCUCAUUAUCGGCAAAUCAGGUGAAAAAGUCUUUGGCGCUCUGCAAAGAUUUGGUUUUCAAUCAAAGAUCAGCAGAUCAAAAGCAAUUGCUAAGCGAGUUUCUCAGACUUAUAGGUCAAAGAAAAAAAUUUCACCUCUGAUUUGGAAACAAGAAAAAAUUGUUGAAUUCAAAUGAUUUCCUCAUCUACAAUGUUUCUGAGAACACUGCAAUCCCACCACCAACUCUGUAGGCUACCAGUAGAGAAAUUGCAGUGUCUUACACAACAGUUUCAUCUUCUACUACACCGCCUAAAAUAUCUGGAGAAUCACACAAGAGAAAAAGAGAUUCAAUCAACAUAGCCCUUUUUACAGGAGUUGAAAACAUGUUAUAUUUUGCAGACUAACAUUUUUUUUCUGUGCCUUAGAUUAUUUUCAAUGUGAUCUAAAUUUAUUUUUACAACAUUUUUAAUAUGUUUGGCAUAGUGGCACAGAGGAAGUCUCUGAAGUAGAUGUGCAAGAUUUUGAUUAGGUGCCAAUCAAGUUAUUGAAGAAAAAAUCUUCUCCAACUAGCUCAAAAAUAGAUGCUCCACCACAAAAGAAGAACUAGGUAACUUCCCUUUAUUCCCCUUUUUAAUGUGAUGCAACUCUAUUCAUACACACGCUCUAUUUCAUCUUUGUUGCCAUUUAUAUUUUUUCCCCUCUACACACUCUCUCAUUUGCAGUCAAUCUUGGAAGGAACAAACUUUUGCUGAUGUACAAAACAAUGUUAUCAUCUGUUGUUCAAACCAGAACGAUGCUUCUCCAUAUUUUUUGCAUGUGAAUAGGCCAUUGUAAGAUCACUUCCCCAAUUUUUCGUGUAUAAGGACAAUCUAAUGUUUUCAAAUCUUUUAUUUGCAACUACUGAUGUGAAUCAAGAACUAGGAUGACUGCUAAGGGGGAAUAUCAGAUUAACCAUUUCUGUGUGUCAAUGACAAAGUGUUUGCUAAUUUUUAUUUUUUUUAUUUUUUAUUUUUUGUAUAAAGAGAAUAAAUCUAGACAUUGGCAUGUAAAAAAUAUUCGCAACAUUAUCUAUACAUCCUUCAUUAUCUUUGUAUAAAUAGUAUUAGUUUGGAUUUCUAUGCAUUUAUAUUUUUAGAACAUGUUCUAUAAUUGGAUUUUCCCGCAACAACGUGCGGGCAUAGUUUUCUAGUUUUGACUUAAAGACCUGACUUGCUUCUUGUACGAGCCAAGCUCGAGCAAACUUAAAAACAACUAGCUCGAUAUUGAGCUCAAGCUGUUUCGAUUAUUUACUACAAUUAGUUGAUCUGUUCUUGUAACAAAUCUAUGAUAUUUGUAUUUUAAUUAAUUGUUGUUCAUUUUAUUGGCUUUCUUUUUCCGAUGGACAACAACUUCAUAUUCAGCAAAAGGCAACUUGCGGAUGAGAGUAAAAAGGGAAACUCUCUCAUAUCUCAGAGAUUGUUUCAAGGUUAUUUUUUUUUUUUUUUGGUCAAUAAGAUUGUUUCAAGGUUAGAAUCUCAAUAAUUUGUACUUUUUGCACUCUUUGUUCUCCUAAUUUUUUAUUUUUUUUUAUUUUUAUUUUUUUUUGCAUGAGUAGAUGCAUCUCCAUGGCUUUACACAAGAAAGAAAAAACAAAGAUUUAGGGAUUGUAAUUUGAAACCCGGAUGCAAGUAAAACAUGAAGCUAGUUGCACAUGCAUAGUAUGUGUGCCGGUCGCUAGUAUAUAUUUACUUUUCAAUCGUUCAGUACGGCAUUAGUUAGUUCCCAUCAAUGGAUACCGCACUGAUCAUGCUUAAUGGGAUAUGAUUUGGUUUGAAGAUGAAAUUGGAAGUUUUAUCAAUGAAAACCGAACAAAACAUACACUAAGCAAGUAACCCUAGAGUAUCAUGAACGCAAAGCGUCGACUGUAUGUAACAAUUCCGGCUCAGUUUCAAUUAUAUGAUUUUAAAUGCUCACCCUUAAAUAAUGGUCAAAUUGCUUACUAAAUGUAUAUGUGAGAAUCAAAAACCAAGUGUAGAUAAUAAAUGUCGAGUAUUUUUUGGUAAUUUCGAUUUCUGCUUUUGGUUGGUCAAGAAUUGUGGUGUUUUUGUAAUGCCAAGAUCAAUUGGGGGAAUUUUUUUUUUAUAUAUUACCCAAUUAAAUUUUUUUUAUUCUGGAUAAUAGUUCUAUAUUUUGAUGUUGAAUUUGCUUAUGUUUUUUUUCCAAAUCCAUGCGAAUUUAAUUUUAAUCGAAUUUCUUUAGUGAACUUUAAUUUAGCUAAUUAAUUUUUAAAUAGUCAAUUUUCUCUUACAUUAAAUUUUAAAAUUUUUCAUCUAGUUUUUCAUUAAUUAAGAUUAAGAGAUAAUUCACUAUUUAUAGAAAUUUAGGGUAAUUAUAUAAAAUUAGAAUUCAAGAGAAAAUUUGACUAAUUAUAAAACUUAAAGUAGUAAUUUGACUAAUUAUAAAAGUUGACGAAGAAAAUUGUUAGUUCUAUACAAGUUCAGAUAGAAAAUUGUAUGAAAUUUUUUAAAAUAUAACAUUCGAGAAAAUUAGCUAUUUAUAAAAGUUCAAAAGUACUCGAUUAAAUUUUAAAACAAAUGACUAAUUACAAAAGUUUAAUAGGUUAAAACUAAAAUUCAUAGAUAAAAUUAACAAUUCUAUACAAGUUCGGGAUAAAUAUGCCUCCAUCCAAGUCCCUCUUAUAAUAUAAGUAAUGGUUAAUCACAGUUUACUGGCCUAAUGUUUCAUGGUUUUCAACAUUUGGUACAUGAAAUUUUUUUUAUCCCAAAGUUAUACCUCAAGUCUUAAUUUUGGGACAGUCUCAUACUUCCGUUAGUCUUUAUAUUAAGGGCUCUAUUAAAACGUGAUGUGGCACUUGAUUGGGCAAUGACAAUGCAAAAUAUGACACUGUGGGCCCCACAUACCUAUAAAACAAUUAAAAAAAUUAAAUAAUAUUUUUUGCCUACCCUUUUCUCUAGUAAGGAGACCGAAUAAACAAAAAAAUAAAAUAAAAUUAUGACCUCCAUCUUCUCAUAGUUUUCAUCACUUACACCUUCUCUAGCCACCCCCAUAUCUCCUCUGACAACCCACUCCCAAGCUUCCUAAGCCGCUAUUUUUCAUAUACCUAGAACCCAAAUCCUCCACUUUCCUGACCGCCUCCAUCUCAUCCUUCGACUCUCUAGCUACCAUAGUCAUCUCCUUCACCAAACCCACAACCUAUCUCGCUGCCAUAGCCGUCGAUUACGGCGAUCCAGAUCCGAAGACCUUCUAGAAGAUUCCACGGCAUGUUGAAUAUGGGCACGAUGGUGAUCGACUGCUCGGAUCUAGUUGUGACGGUGAAUGGGCUGUCUGCGAUCGAGUACCCCAACUGGAUUGAGACGAAACAACGACUUCAAAUCUUGGCUUCGUCCGUACAAUUAGGAACCGAUUCUUUGAACUAUGAGGGUUCCAUAACCUUGGCGACGUCUUCAGAUCUCAAUAUCGAUGGCGGAGAUAAGCUGUUGGAAAUAGCUCAUUGCCGCGGACCAGAUCCAUUGUGAAAUAGAUCUUAGACUUGCUCGCCAUGACCUUUGUAGAGCUGGAUGAUGUUGGGUUGUUCACCAUCCUCAUCACAAAGGACGAUGUUGAGGUCCUUUUAUAGGUUUUAGAGUGGGUAAAGGGUGGGUGAUAGAGGAUGGGUGGGCAAGGGGUGGGUGAUAGAGGAUGGGUGGGCAAGGGGUGGGUGAUGGGGGAUGAGAGAAAGAGGUGCUCGGGGGAGAAAACAAAGAGGGUGAAAGGGUGCUGAGGUGGAUGGGAUGAAGGGGUGUCGGGUAGGGAAGACAAAGAUGGGUUAUGGGUUUAUUUUAUUUUAUAAUACUUUUAUUUAAUUAAUUAUUUUAAUAUUUUAAAUUUGGGCGGAAAUUUUUUUAAAAUUUUUAAUUUCCACGUGGACCCCUUAAUGUUAUUAUCCACAUGGGCACCACAUCAUCAGUUAACAGGAUAUUUAACUACCAAACUAACGAAUGUAUAAAACUGUCCCAAAAUUAACAUUUUAGGUAUGACUCUGGAACGAAAAAAACUUCAAGUAUUGAAUGUUGAAAACCACAAAACUUGAGGGUAAUUGUUGAAGGAAUGAAGUGUUGAAGUGUGUUCUGAUGGGUUUAAGGUUAGCUUAUAGGGUAAGCUACCUUGGGUGUAUCUCUAAGGUAAGGUUAAGCCCAUACUUGUUGUAAAUCUGUUUUUCCUUAAUUUAAGGGAAGCGACUGAUUAGUGUAAAGUAGAUAAAGCAUUUCCUUAAUCUAAAGAAGGUGAUUGAUUAGGUAAGAUAGGUUAGCUCUAAUUGGCUGUGAUAGACAGCCCUUUUUUCUUCCUUCUAGUCAGUUGUUUGUUGCAACUAACUACCCAGACUUCUUCUCUUCUUCCUUUCUUAUAUAUACCUUGUAUCUUGUACUUACACUCAAGUGAAAUACAUUGAAACUUAAAGCUAAAAUAUCCACAUGGUAUCAGAACGGGUUCUUUCGUAACAUGUCUCUGUCAUUCUUGCCGCUGCGUUAUUCCUUUCGUCUUUGAGCCAUGGCUGAAGAAAGUUCAGUAAACUGCGAUGAAGAAACUCAACAUAGCCUCUCCCCAAAUUUCUCAGAUGUUGAGGUUAACACCAAUCAACAUCUGUGUUCAGUUCUCUUGAACGAGUUCAAUUAUCUUCCUUAGUCUCAAGUUGUUUCACUAACUCUCGGAGGCAGAGGGAAAUUAGGGUUUGUCAAUGGAAGCGUGUAGGCUCCAGACAACUCCUCGACAACAUACAGUGCAUGGCUUUGUAAGGAUCAGCUUGUCAUGUCCUUACUCCUCUGCACCAUGGAGAAACAUGUUGCUGAGAUUUUUAGCUAUUACAAUUCGUCACUUGAUCUUUGGAAAGCCUUGUAGGAUAUGUAUGGAAAUCAAAACAAUUAUUUACGAGUUUUUCAACUUAAGAAGGACAUUGCUAGUGCCCAACAAGAAGGAAAAACGUUUGUUCAACAUUUGAGGAGUCUCAAGGCCAUGUGGAAUGAGUUGGAUGUUUAUCUCCCUCAUACCAUAUACCCUACCACUCUCCUGAAACGAGCUAAGGAAGACAUAAUCUAUUAGCUAUUAGGGAGUUUGAACUCCGAAUACGAGGACCUAAGGAGUCACAUAUUGAUGAGUCAAGAACUGCCAACUUCCAACAAUGUAUGUGCAACUAUUCAACGAGAAAAAGCAAGGAAGAAAGUGAUGAAUGCUGAGCACAGCUCAAGAUUGACUGAAACUCGUGCAUAUGCCUCAAACUACAAGAACUCAGAGGCAAAAUGGUAUAAGGGAAGAAAUACACACCUAAAAUGCAAAUACUGCAAUGGUGUUGGUCAUGUGGAAGACAAGUGUUAGGAACUUCAUCCUGAACUCAAGCCUAAAUUUAGCAAAGAUAGGAAGAUGAUACCAAGAUCCUCACAACAAUUUCACUCUCAACCUAAAGGCUCAACUUGCUAAUGCUCACUCUUCUACUGUCUCACAAGGAUCCAUGGAAUUCAUUGCCAAUCCAUUGUCACUCAUCAAUGAAUUUGCAGCCUAUCUUCAAAGUAAGGGACAUGGAUGAGGUUCACAAGCUCAAGGCAAGGAUGAGGGUAGUCAUACAACUAUAUUGGGAUAAUUCGCCGGCUUUCUUGCUGGAAAUGAGAAGGCAUCAUAAGAGAAAACACCACGUAUACUCAGAGCCUUCAUUACUGCCCUAUUGACUAGUACUGAAAAUGAUUGUUGGGUAAUAGAUUUAGGCGCCACAGAUCAUAUGACAAACAAAGUCACAAACUUGCAUCAUUUUAAACGUUUUUCGAGUCCUUCACAUGUUUCAGUUGCAAAUGGAAAAAAUGUCUUAGUUUUGGGCAAAAGGGAAGUAAACUUACUCUCACACAAAAUACCCUCCACUACCUUAUAUGUACCAACCUUUCCUUUCCAACUUUUGUCAAUUGGAAAAAUCAUAAACACCCUAAAUUGCCGUGCUAUUUUCUCACCAGAUAAUGUAAUUUUUCAAGAUGUUCUCACCAUAAAGAUGAUUGAUGAAUGGGUCUUCAUAAAUGGACUUUACUACUUAUGCAAGAAUGCCUGCUUUUCUUAGGCUCUUCAAGUUCAAUCGAAGUCCAUAGAUGAAAACCAACUUUGGCAUAAGAGAUUAGCUCAUCCUUUAAAAGCUGUCCUGUUAAAACUAUUUCCAUUUUUUUUGUAAAUCUCAUCUUACUUGUGAUACUUGUCAAUUUUCUAAGUUUACUAGACUACCUUUUGGUAAUUCAAUGUCUAUGACAAGUAAACCUUUUGAAAUGGUUCACACUAAUGUAUGGGGACCAGUAGCUGAAUCAAUUGAAGGUUUUAAGUAUUUUGUUCUAUUUGUUGAUGACUUCUUUCGAAUGAGUUUUUUUAUACUUUAUGAAAUCAAAUAGUGAAGUCCCAAACAUUUUCAAAGACUUUCAUCUACAUGUUAAAACUCAAUUUCAAUCAAACAUUAAAGUCUUAAGAUCAGACAAUGGCACUGAAUUUAUAUCCAACAACAUGCUUCAAUACAUAAGUUCUCAGGGCAUCAUACAUCAAACCAGUUGUGUAGGAACUCCCCAACAAAAUGGAGUAACUGGGAGAAAGAAUAUGGAUCUCUUAGAAAAGACUCGUGCUCUUAUGCUUCACGUGAAUGUUCCAAAGAAAUUUUGGUCAUUUGCAAUCCUCACUACCACUUAUCUCAUCAAUCGACUCCCAAAUCGAGUGCUAGAGUUCAAAUCUCUCUAUGAAGUACUCAAAGGUAGAAAGAUUGAUUUGACACACCUCAAGGUAUUUGGAUGUGUUUGCUUUGUUCACAUUCAAGCCUUGAAUCGUGACAAAUUAGAUGUCAGGGCUACCAAGUGUGCGUUUAUGGGUUACUCUUCCACCCAAAAAGGAUAUAAGUGCUUCAAUCCAGCCACUAAAAACUGCAUUAUGUAAAGAGAUGUGAAGUUUGAAGAAAAAUGUCCUUAUUUCACUUCCAAAUGAACUACUAUAAGUCAGGGGGAGGAAUUGUUUGAAUUAUUUCCAUUCCCUCAGAACUUUAAUCCUCUUGUGUUGGAAGAAAACUCAAUCUUUGUGAUUUCUGAUGGUGAAGAAGUGCAAACUGACUCAGUCACUGCUAGUCCGAUUCCUGCUAGUGAAGAGAAUGAUGAGUCUCAUUCUGAUAACUCUUAACCUUUCAUAGAGCCUUAAGUGAUUAAAAGAAAUCCUCCUCGAACAAGGAAACCUCCAACUAGGUUGCAAGAUUAUGUUACUUAUGCCUCACGGCACCCUAUCAUUGAAAGCAUCAGUUUUCGUGAGUUCUAUACAUAUCAUGCUGCAUUUCUCAGUGAAAUUGAUAAACACUGUGAACCUAGGAGUUUCCGAGAAGCAUCACUCCUUCCAUAAUGGAAUCAAGCCAUGGCACAUGAGCUUCAUACACUGGAAGAAAAUAACACCUGGAGUUUUGUUCAAUUACCACCAAGAAAAAAGGUUGUUAGAAGUCGUUGGAUUUACAAGAUUAAAUUCAAGGCUGAUGGUUCUAUCGAGUGACACAAGGCUAGACUUGUAGCUCAAGGUUUCACCCAGACCUUUGGGGUAGAUUACAAAGAAACAUUUGCACCUGUGGCCAAGAUGAAUUCUGUGAGGGUUUUACUUUCAAUUGCUGUAAAUUGUGGGUGGUCCCUCUAUAAAAUAGAUGCGAAAAAUGUUUUUCUUCACGGAGAAUUACAAGAAAAAGUGUAUAUGCAGCCUCUUCCAGGCUAUAAUGGUCUUGAAGGCAACAUGGUGUGUAAAUUGCACAAGGCAAUAUAUGGAUUAAAACAAUCCCCAAGAGCUUGGUAUGCCAAGCUCAGUUCAGUACUCUAGAAGGCUGGUUUUAUGCGAAGUAAUGUUGAUUCCUCACUGUUUGUAAAAACUGGUACCAAUGGGAAAUUAUUGGUUCUUAUCUACUCGGACGAUCUCAUUAUCACAUGAGACAUUGCUGUUGAAAAUGAGGCACUAAAACGUUCACUACAUCAAACAUUUGCUAUCAAAAAUCUGGGGCAGCUCAAGUAUUUUUUGGGUAUUGAAAUGGCAACAUCUUCAAAUGGGCUAUUUCUCCAUCAACUCAAAUAUGUACUAGAUCUUCUUCAAGAAGCAAACAUGCUUGAUUGCAAACUUGCCAUCACUCCCGUGGAUUGCAAACUGAGGCUCAAUACAGAUAGAGAAGCCAUGCAUGAUGUGAGUUUUUACCAACAGUUAGUAGAGAAGCUUAUAUAUCUCAACAUCACACAUCCAGAUAUCACAUAUGCAGUAAGCUUGGCAAGUCAAUUUAUGCAAUCUCCCACUAUGGAUCACCUUCACAUUGUUAAAAGAAUUUUGCGCUACCUCAAGGGGUCAAUAGGGCAAGGAAUCAUCAUGAGUAACAAUAAGUCCACUACCAUUAGUGGCUACACGGAUGCAGAUUGGGCAGGGAAUGCACUUGAUAAAAAAUGUACCACAAGCUAUUGUACAUUUGUAGGGGGCAAUCUUAUUACUUAGAAUAGCAAGAGGCAAUAAUUAAUUGCUCAUUCCAACACAGGUUGAAUAUCGAGCCAUGACAGCCACUGCUUGUGAACUUAUUUGACUUAAAAGGCUUCUUUCAGACUUAGGGUUCCCUACUUCGUCCUCUAUGUCCAUUAUGUGCGAUAAUCAAGCAACCAUGCACAUUGCUGCCAACCAUGUGUUUCAUGAAAAAACCAAACAUAUCGAAGUGGACUGUCAUUUCAUUAGAGCUCAAAUUUAAUCUCAAGUUAUACGGACCAUCUUCACACAAACCCAUGAUCAACUGGCAGAUCUCUUUACCAAGGCACUGCCAUCAGCUCCAUUUCAUCAUUUUUUUGGGCAAGCUUGGCUCAAUUAACCUCUUCAAUCCAGCUUGAAAGGGAGUGUUGAAAGAAUGAAGUGUUGAAGUGUGUUCCAAUGGGUUUAGGGUUAGCUUCUAGAGUAAGCUACCUUGGGUGUAUCUCUAGGGUUAAGCCCAUACUUGUUGUAAAUCUAUUUUUCCUUAAUUUAAGGAAAAUGACUGAUUAGUAUAAAGUAGAUAAAGCCUUUCCUUAAUCUAAGGAAGAUGACUGAUUGGAUGAGGUAGGUUAACUCUAGUUGGCUGUGAUAGACAGCCCUUUUUUCUUCCUUCUAGUCAGCUGCUUGUUGCAGCUAGCUACCCGGACUUCUUCUCUUCUUCCUCUCUCAUAUACCUUGUAUCUUGUACUUACACUCAAGUAUCCACAGUAAUAAACUGAGAGUUACCCUAUAAGUAAACAAUUGGUUGCAUUCUGACAUUAGCCACAAACUAUAACAACUGCGUUCCUCUCUUUGUGAUUGAAGUAGCAAUCCGACAAAAUCCUGAGCGCUCCUCGGACAAAUUGAUCGAAAUCCAACACUUCAAAAACAACAGAUGAAAAUUCAGCAACUGCACGAAGCAAGCAACACAGAAAAAGGUUGUUCCCACUUCAAAGUUUAUGCCAAAAGAAACAAUUAAUUAAGACAAAUAAUGCAAAUUUUAGCGAGGAACUAGAUAGAUAGUGAUGAAAGGCAAGUCAGACAAAUCCAAAUGCCUCAAAUAAUUGAGUUCAUAAAAAGAAAAAAGGAUUACUCUCUUUUCACACAUCUAAUUGAAUCAUCACUCUUUGUCAAAUCCCACUUCCAAAUUAAAUUACUAAUUUGAAGGUUUAGUGAACUAAUUACAGCAACAAACAAGAUAUAUAAAUGAUGCAAGGCAAGUCAGACAAAUCCAAAUGCCUCAAAUAAUUGAGUUCAUGAAAAAAGAUGUCUCCUUUUUUCACACAUCUAAUUGAAUCAUCACUCUUGCCAAAUCCCACUUCAAACUCAAACAAAUUCAUCAAAAAAAUUGCAAAAAAAUACCCAAAUAGGAUUCAAAUUUAAAAUGUUACCUACCCAAGAUCGAGGCAUUUACAAAUUAAACAGUAUACCAAAUGGGCCAGAAGCACCCCAAUUGACUGAAACACCCAGAAUCAAAUAGCAUGGAAACUAUCUGCCUUAGGGUUUCAAGAAAAAUGGGGAAAAAGUGCUCCAAAACCCAAAAGGAAAACAGAGCAAUGCCUCAGAAAACCCAGGUGGGAGGAGAGGAGGGUUUCAGAAGGAAAACCCUAAAGAGACCCUCCCCGAUGGAGUUUUUCACUAUUGCGCAGCUAUGACUCAAAACGCUUCCAUGGGUAAAAAGGGAAGGCGAUCUUAAGGGCCACGCUUAACAAGAACAAAUAGAAAUUGCAGAACAAGCAUUUAGACUAAAAGUUGCGGAAUUUGAAUGGAAGAAAAACCAGAAAACCCUAAUGCCCGAGGAAUAAGAGGAGGCAGAUGGAGAGCAGAAGGUGGGAAUAUAUAGGGGAUGCGGUGUGUGUUGGUUGGGCUUUUUGGUUGUGAGUAGCAGAAGACCCAAAGACUUGGAAUUUGCGUGAGGCCCAAAAUGUUAUAAUUUCAACUUUUGUUGGGAUGAGAUGUUAGAGAUUUUGGGCCAAACAAGUUUAGAAUUUCAUUUGAAGUCGGUGGUGCCAGCCCAAUUAUCAUCAAUAGCUUAAAGAAUAAUAUGAAUGUUAGGCACUUCAACGAGAAAUUUAUUAGCGUGCCUAAAACACGGUCUAGUACAUCAAAUCUUAAUACAAGUGGUUGAAUAUUUGAAAAAAAAUUUCAACUACUUGUAUUAUGAUACUGCUGUACCGGACUGUGUUCCCAGCAUACUAAAGAGUCUCUCCACUUCAACAUACUAAAGUAUACGGCUAAGGAGAUUGUCAAUAACGGUUUCCUAAUUUUAUUUUAAGCAAAACUCUUAACAAAGUAAUCCGCCACUUAGUACUACGGUCUAAUGAUAUUCCUCUUUCACUUGUGAGUGAGAGGUCUUAGGUUUGAUUCUCACAAAAGGCAAAUUUGAACCACAUUAUUGCUAACCCAUUGUAAGACUAAACCCACCCCCUCUCCUUAUUGUAAAUAAUAUCGUUUGUAAUAAAAAAAAAAUGCGAGUUUAAACUAGCUAGCAUUCAAUCAGAUAAAAAAAAAGUAUUUAUCAAAUAUAUCCAAAUAUUAGUCUCUAAUUUCAAAAAUGUCUGUUUUUAUAAAAACUUUCAAAUAUAUCCAAAAUAUCACUUAAAUAGACACAAAUACCCUUAAGUUUUAAACCUAAUAAAUUAAAAAACCAAAUGUCACAUCCCGGGUUCAACUCCGUCGUAGCACAAUAUUGUCCGCUUUAGGCCCUGACCACGCCCUCACGGUUUUGUUUCUGGGAACUCACACGAGAACUUCUCAGUGGGUCACCCAUCAUGGGAUUGCUCUCACGCGAACUUGCUUAACUUCGGAGUUCCGAUGGAACCCUAAGCCAAUGAGCUCCCAAAAGGCCUCGAAUAAAUUUGAAGUUCCCAGAAAUUGUUUUAAAUGAAAUGUGAUUGAAAUGUCAUGCCAUACUUGCGUUAUAUCUUAGAAUAUGCAUUUAGUAGUUGUGUAUGUUAUUGUUUGAUGCGGCAGACGCUCAGCUAAGUUCCAGGUGAGUAUAUGUAUUGAUGAUUGUGUUGCAUUGUAAUGGUUAUACUUAGAGGCAGUUAGAGUUCAUUAUCCUGCACCCCAGUGUUACUGCUCCUGCCCGUGGUCAGGACACAGUCCUUCACGUGAUGUUCACCUCCCGCACCGCACGCUCACCUUGGAUCCAAGUUUGGUGCAUAGCCAUGUCGUACAUACCAGGUGAAAUAGCUUAGUUGUUUACUCUAAGUCUGCCAACAAUAGCCAAAAUUUAACACUCACUUUCAUAAAUUUCACUUUUUAUAAAAUCUUUCAAAUAUAACAGAAAAUUCACAUGAAUAAACCUAAAUGCCCUCAAAAUCCAAAACUCAUUUACACAGAAAAACCAAAACAAUUGAAUAGAUCUCAUCUACAUCUUUGUUUGAGAAACUAUCAUCCCCUAUGAUGACCGGAUACUUUACUUUGGUUGCAUAUCCCGUAUCCGAUACUUUUCGGAAAUGAUACUUGCUGGAUACUCUCAGAUACUUGUUGGAUACAUCAUGGUUAAUGGAUACACUUUGACUGGACGGAUACACGUAUCCCACAUUUGGGAUACAAGUAUCAUGCUUUUAGAAUCCUUUUACACGUUCAAAUAAAAAAUUGGAAAGAAAAAAUUAAUAAGAGACAAAUCUUUAUUUGAAAUCAGUGAAUAUGAAUUAUGAAGAGCAACCUCCAAUUGAAACUAUGAAUACAACUGUCAUCCUUCUUUUAUAUGUACUAGGGGAAUUAGAUUUCCAACUUUUCUUCUCCAAUAAAUCAAAUGAACUUGAAUUUGAAUGAUCUUGUGUUAUCAAAAUAUGUUCUAAAUUAUAUUUUUGUCUUUGUUUAUUAUUAUAUAAGUUUAAUUGCCGUAUCUAUUGUGUAUCGUAUCCUACUUUUUAGAGAUUUUUUGUAUCACCGUGUCGUGUCGUGUCGUGUCGUAUCGUAUCGUAUCACCGUAUCUGUGUCCGUGUUUUACAGAUCAUCCCCAAAUUUCAACCUCUUUUUGAUGUUGAGUUGGGCAAUAAUUUGGGGAGCUAGGAACUCAAUGUUUUGAAAUGGAAAGAUGGAAGCCCCGAACAUCCUUGUAUCCUGUACCACCUCCCUAUGGUUUGGUUUUGUCCACAGCAACUCAAACUCCUCCAAGCCUAGACCCUUUACUCUUUUGUUUUGUCUCAGCUUUGGACUCUGAAUUUUCAUUGGCAUAAGAAUUUUUGUCGAUAAUACUACUACGGUCCUGACAUUUUUGCUCGCGUUGUUUCUUGUACUCCUCUUUUAAGUCUUUCUUUUCUUCUCUUCUUGGUGACAUGGAGUUUCUCAAUUCUGAUCUAAUAAGAUGUUGUCUCUUAUGUUUAUUUGGUUUUAAUUAUAAGGGUAUUUAUGUCUAUUUAAGUGGUUUUUCUGCUAUAUUUGAAAGAAUUUAUAAAAAAUGACAUUUAUGAAAUUGAGUGUUAAAUUUUAUCUAUUAUUGAUCAAUUCUCCAAUUUUUUCCCUUAAUGUAAGACUGCCGACAAUAGCUUAGUUGUUUGACUUGAAAUUAUCUGACUGAGAUGUUCAAUUCCACACUUGUUUUACUAAUUAUUAUAUAUGACUAAUUAACCUAAUUAGAAAUAUUAUUUUUGAGUUGAUUAAGGAAAAGGGCGAAUGUCCUCGAAAUUUCCCAAGUAAUUAACAAAUUAAAAUAGAACGAAUUAAAUUAAGGUCAACAUUCUGUUAUGUAGAGGUCAAUCGUGCGAUUAAUUUUUCAUUUCCCGUGUCGUAUUCCUAAUGAUGCAGUCCUCACAUCAAUUUAGUCAGAAAGUAAACGAUGACCAAUUUUUUUAGCUGCAACAACUGAUCACCAAGUCUGUUUAUUUUAUUUUAUUUUUUAUUUUGAACAAAAAGACAUAACUGAUGAUCAAGUCUUGAAAAUAAAAAAAGAAAAAAAUUCGAAAUAAAACAGAAGUGUACGUAGUAUUAUCGAUAUAUUUAAUUUUUGAUCGUCGGAUCGAAUGAAUUGAAGAAGAUUAAUGACAAAAAUUAAUAAAGACGUGUAGAAACUAAAAAUAAGUGUGAAUGUAGCACUAUUUAAACAGAAAUGCAUGCAUGCAUGCAUUGUCCUAUAUGAAUUUUCCAGGGUUGGGAGUGUUGAUAUUUGACGUCAGGGCAUUCACAUAACUUGAAUUUCUAAACGCGUUCUUCACAUGUUUGGAUGACUGGGUCGUUUGACACAUAAAAUAGGUUAUUAGUCCCUCAAGGGAGAGUAUGUAAUAAUUCAAAACUGAUAAAUAAUAAUAAGUGAGGCUUAUAAUAUCAUAAAUUGUGUGAUACUGUAAAAAUGCCACCCUAAGUUAUACAGUUGAAAUCAAACCAAUUUUUAUACAGUUGAAAUCAAACUAAUUUUAUAACUUUAUAGCUCGUUCAGAAGUAUUUUUAAAACAACUGAAAUCACUUUUAGACAAAAUAUUUUUUGAGUUGUAAAAGUACUUAAAAUGCUUAUUACAUCACCAAAAAUGCUUUGGUCAUUUUAAAAGCAUUUCCAAACGAGCCCUUAGGGAUGUUAUUACUUAAUAAAUGUGUAGUUAAAAAUAUUAUUCCUUGACCUAUUUAUCCGUAAGAAUAUUGUUCCUAAAUACGAUUUCUUGAGCGCCAAAUAUUUUAUUUCUUGCAUAUUUUUGUACUCACUGACAAUCAUAAAUAUGUGGAGGUGUGUUUCCUUAAGAUGAGAUCAAGAAAAAUUAUAAUUUAUUAUGGAGUUUAUUUCAAUACAUAAUUGGUCCCAAGUUGAAACCAAAAUUUUUUAUGACUUGAAAAUUAUUCCAUUAUAGAGUAUUACUUUAGAGAGGUUUUACUAUAUAACUAAUUAGUGAAUUAAUCAUGCAUGGCCUCGUGCUAUUAGUAAAGAAAUUAUUUAUUUAUAGGUAGUAAUUUAUUUUUGUCAAAUUCAUCUAAGAAGCACGUAGACAAUUAGGCUGAGGUACGGGUAUUUCGCUCUCUUUAAGGAGAUUCAAGCCCACUGCGGUUUGACAAAAGUUCACGAAUCGGUGUAGCAGUAUAUCUCUUGACUUGCCCCGUCCAGGAUACAAAUAAAGAAGAGUCCAAAGCUCCACCACAAGAAUACCCUUCUUUGGCCAAUAUGUAAAAGAUAGAAAGUAUGGAGGAAUAAAGAAUGUAGUUGUGAGGAAAUUGGUAGUGGGAUCAUAAAUAAAAAGAUAAUGGGAAAAAUGCUAAUAAUUAUAUGUUUAUUAUUAAAUUAACAAAGAAAAAAUGUUACAAGAGUUACAAAAGUUGAAAGGCUAAAGAUUCGGAAAGGGAUCAUCUUCGGAUUCCUUCCACCAAAUCCACCAAAUCAUCCAAUCUAGGUCAUUGAAAUUUGAUCAAAUAGCUAAAUGUAUAUUAACUUUUAAAUGGGCCUCAUGUGUUUAGUCGUUUGAUCAAAUUUGAAGGGUCAAGAUUUGUUGACUGGAUGGAUUUGGUGGAAGUGAUUCGGAGAGGAUUCAUUUCCUAAAGAUUCCAUCUUAAUUUCCCACUAACCACGAAUAAUGACAAAUAAACUUACUUUUCCACUAACAACCAAACAAUAACAAUUAUAAUUAAUUUAAUAUUAAAAAUGAACCAACAUAAUGUUUAUAAAACAUAAAUCUAAUUUACACACACACACAUCAUCCAUGCGCUAAUUUUCUCCACAAAUGAAUGAAAUUAAGUAUUUGUCCUUGAAUUCCAGAAGUUCAUAAAAUAGCACAUAUCUAAAAUUGAAAAUUGAAACAUAUCGAUAUCAAGUCGUGUGGAAGCUAAACAAAAUCAACUUGCAGAUUUACAGCAUAAUUACAUAACUCUCUUUUUCAAGACAUUUGAGCGUGGUCUAUGUCCAGUACAAAUCUAAUCUAAUAUGAUCCCUUUGAAUUUUUUAAUUUCCUAUUUUCACAAUUCGCUCUUUCGUUGCUUUCCGGGGCCCAUUUAAGUGAUGUGUGCGGUACAAACUAUCAAUCAGGUAGGCUCGGAACUAUUCAUUCCCUUCUUCGAAUAUGUCAUUGCGCGUGAACUGAUAUCUGCAUUUUGCAGCCUUAAAUUGCAGACAAGGAAAGAAGAUAUAUAUGACAUCAUAAGUUUUUGUUGACUUCUUUUGUUGACUACUUUGUGACUCAUGCAUUGACUAAUUGCAAAUAUAAAGAGUCUGUUGUUUCUCAGAAACCAAACUACGUAUCUAUCGCCUAAACAUGCAAUCAUAUGGGGCCACGAGUAUUUAAAAUUGGCAUUUUCUUCAGAUCCCGCGUUUCUUCUCUUAGAGAGACUUUCCAAUGUGCCAUCGGAACAUGGGCAUGUAAUUUAUUUAUCAUUAUACAAGUGAAUGAACACUUGAAUAAAAGAAUUUUUCUCCACUUGUAUAAUGACGUAUUGCAUUGUAUAUCAGACACAUUGAACCACAUUAUUGAUAGCUCAUUGUGAGGUUUAGCUCACUCCCUCACCCCUUUAGUGUAGAUAAUAUCAUUUGUUCAAAAAAAAAAAACAUGAUAGAGAGAGAAAAGAAGAUUGUGAAAAUGACUUCAAUAUUAAUUAGGGUUAAGUCAAUCAAUAUUUUAUGCUCUUAAGGAGAUGUAAAUAAAGACCCUAACAAAAAGAAGAUGUUAAUAAAGAGAAAUAUUAGAAAGGGAUACUGACUUUAGUUGGAGAGAAAAUCUGUUUUUAUUACCUUAGUUGAAGAGAAUAAUUGUUUCAGUUGACCUACACUAGAAAGUGAAAAUCUAUCAAUUUAUACUGAAGUAUGAGAUUAUUUAUUGAUCAAGCUAAACCAAAUUCCUUCUCUUUUUUACUUUAUAGAAGGUCGCGAGUUAAUUAGCAUUGCCAUAGAUAUAACAUGAUUAAAGAACAUCUUUAAAAUACAUAUAGAUUAUUUAUUCGUAAUUUCGUAUGUGUAAUAAAUAUAAAAUACUAAAAAAUCAUCUUUUUAAAUCACAAUUAUAAACCACUUUAUGUGGCAUGUCUCGUUAUCAUUGCUUCACUUAUCAAUUCAUGUGAGGUCGUUAUAUAUUAAACUUAAUCUGCCUAGCUAGCCACAUUUGUAAUAUUAGGCAGAAAUAUACAUCUUCACGUAUUUGCAUGUCAUGACUAAAACUUGUUGCCCAAAGUCGGCAGAGGAAGGAGUGGGGACCUGAUGGCGCCACUCGCUACUGUAAGGAAAGCAGCCCUUCGUUUCUUUUGUCAGAUCGUUAGGGAAAGCAGCCCUUCGUAUCUUUUCCCAGUUCGAAGCUUCGUAUCUUCCAAACAUUUCUAUAUGCGCGUUUCUUUAUUUUCUUCCGAGGUCAAAUUUGGAAAUGCUUCUGCGUUGUUGUGGUCUUAAUUUUUCAUUUUUAUGAUAUUUCGAUUGUUUGAAUGACUGAAAGACAAUAUUGGAGAAACAAACUAACAAAGGGUUCAUGGAAAAUAUUUUUCUUCCCUUUCCCUCUUUUGGUAAAGGAGGAAAAAGGGUUAGUUCGGUUGUUUAAACACAGAGGAAUGAAAAAUGUUGGGUUCCACAUUAGGUAUAUAACAAAGUAAUGUGCAAUUAGUACAUGAAAGAUUUUACUCCUAAUAUCAUCGAGACACUUUGUGAUAUAAAUCUAACACCUGAUAAUAGGUGGUUAAGUUGGAAAAAUGCCCGUGAUAUUAGUGGUGGAUCAUGAUGGACCUAAAAUGUUUAUCAAGAAAUUGGGAGAAGUUAGUGUGUGUUUUCUUUCUCAUUAACUUAAUUAUAUAUUAGAGCUACUUGGAGACUCGGAGACUAAGCAAGUUAUUACAUAAUAAUCCUAAGAGGACAACCACAUGAUUAAUAAUAAUAUCUACAAAUAAAUGUAAAGGAUCAAGGAAGAAGCUAGUUGGUAUGUUUUGUUGGAAUGUAAACAGAAGAAGAUUUACUCCGAGUAACAAGUAAAACCAUGCCAUGUAUGAACUAUUGGACAGUUAAGUUUUGUCCAUGUUCUGAAGACAUUUCAGCGUGGUCUCCAAGAAACACUAAAGUUUUAAUCUAUUGCGCGUGAAAUCGUAUGUGAUUGCCACGGUAGUCCUUCUCAUAAACCGAACAUAUUUUUUUUUAAUCUAAAGUUUUAAUCAUGACUAAUUGACUUUAGUCCUUCUCAUAAACCGAACAUAUUUUUUUUUUUUUUGAAAGGAUAAACCGAACAUAUUUUUAUACAAUCUCUCUAACCUUCUUUUACGAUUGAAAAUUCAAACUCAGACUCGAUCAAAUAUUUGGGGGGCCACGCGUCAAUUGGUUUCAUCUUAAGCAUGCGCCCGAAUCUUUUCGAUAGAUUUUGUAAUGUCGGUGAGGUAGCCGAAUAUCGAUUUAUUCAUUAUGUUUGUUUAUUUGCCUUAUACUGUUAGUGUCACCGAAUAAAAUGUACUCAUGUUACACUCAUUGAAACGAACGGUUUACUCAUUAUGUUUGUUUAAUUGCCUUCAAAUCAAGAUACCAUUUAUGUCACCGAAUAAAAUAUAGGAACCGGAUCCUCUUCGGAUCCUAUGGAACUGAGCCCAAGGAUCAAAUGAUCCAGGCCAUUGAAAUUUGAUUUAAAUGUUACAAUUAUUAUAACUUUUAGAGGGACCUCCUGUUUAUAACCGUUGAAUCAAAUUUCAAUGGUCCGGAUCAUUUAAUCAUUAGGCUUAAAUUUUUUGGGUCCGAAAGGGAUCCGGUUCCUAAAAUAUACUCAUAUUGCACUCAUUGAAAUGAGCAGUUUACUCAUUAUGUUUGUUUAAUUGCCUUCAAAUCAAGAUACCGUAUAUGUUACCGAAUAAAAUAUACUCAUAUUGCACUUAUUGAUCAGUAAAAAAUAUUUGUCGCUUCUUGGUAAUAAAAAAUUCCUCGUUGCUUUUGUUGCCUAAAUAACUAACGAAUUAAUUUAUUACAAUUUAUUUGUUAAGAAUUGAUAGGCAGUGGCACUACUGUCAUGCAAUUGAUCAGCACAACUAGGCCUAGCUUUUCGAAGCAGUCCAUAUGCAACUUCCUUUACUUUAUAUGAUAAAUAAUGCAUGCAGAUCGGGAAAUUGAAAUUUCAUUAAAAGUUAUUUGUGUAUAAAGAGAGUAAUUUAACCCUUUAUUAAUUUUUAUAAAGUUUCUUGGAUAAUUCUUUACAUUCUCACACGCCACCUUAUAUGUGAUAACGUUCAUGCCAAACAUCCGUACAACAUAUAUUGGAUAACAUGAAGUGAAACACAUAUGCUUGUUGAACUUCACACGUAAACUAACCUGUUAUGUUACAAUCACUGUUUUAUGUUACACUCUAAAACUAAUUUGACAAUGAAAAGAAUAACUCAAUUUCAUGUUUCUUUUAACUUUUCAACGUGACAUCUUCUUAUAAUGGUUGUGUUCACUUGCAAUGAUAGGUGACCGUUGUGCAAGCACAUGAAGGAACCAAGGAAGUUGCUAAUGAAAUUUCAAAGAACUAGCUAGCAAAUGAUCAUCACAGUCCAAAAACUUUUGUAUUCCUGUGAUUUUAAAUUAUUUUUGUUCUCCUCCUUUUUCGAGUAAAGGAGGAAAAAGAAGGUGAGAGAUUCGAUUUUUUUUAAAGGAAAAAGGAAAAGUAAUAUGGCAUAUUAGAGAAAUUAGGGUUCGUGGUUGGUAUUUGCAGAUGUUUUUGUUUUAUAAGACUAACGCGAACUCAAAAGUAUUGUAAAACACGGAGCAUGAUAAGAAGGUUAGAAACUCAGUUCAAAUUUGUGCUUGAGUUUAGAGAGUGUCUUAUUCCUCGAACGUGUUGAUCAAUAAAGAAGUUUACACUUCGUGUUGAUUAAGUGGUAAAGGCUUCAGAGCCGGUACUGAUCCAUCGUUGAUGUAGGAUUAAUUGUUUUCUUUCUUUUGUCCGGCACAAACCAAGAAAUGGCCUCUCCAAUGCAGAAAUGGUCGCUAGGGGUCAGGCGAAAAUGAUAAUAUAUAUCAUUGUUUUGUAUAAGAAUUAGAGGGUUAAACGAAAAAUAAACACACAUAUGGUAAGAGAUAACUUGGUACGUAAUUUCCACGACUUACCCAAGAGUUAGGCCAUCCACUGCCACUAGACCACCACGGCCAGGUCGAAUUGCUGCUUGUUGCACCACCAGGGGCCAUUGCGCUGGCUUCUUUGCACUGAUCACACAACAAAUGGCCUCUUUAGCGAGGAACGUGUUAGCAGUAAAAGUAGGAAAUUCGUCGGAUAAGAAUUUUGCCGAUUCCUUUCUCGCUAGGUUGUCAAUGGCUCGAUAUAGGACCAAUGUGAAGUCUAGGCCGAGGCACUUUUUGAUAAAAAAUUCUACGCCGAGGAAAAUAUUUUUAUCAUAAAGUAAUCGGUAGUGACGAGACAAAUCUUUCUCGGCAUAUAAUUUUUUGUCAGAUCUUUGGGAAUUAUGUUGUGUUUUACAUGACUACAUCGUUAUUAAACAUGGAAAAUGACACUUGGAAAACAAAUUCAAAUUUGUGCUUUAGAAUUUAGAAGACAACAAAAAGUCGUAUUCCUUUCACUUAAUUACGUAAAAUUUGAAGCACGCAAUGAUAGAUUAUUCAAGAAAAAAGAAAAACUUAUAAUUGAUAACCUUCACAUGGUCAGCUUUACACAUUGUGCCUUCACAUUUCAACUUUCCAUCUCGCUACUCUCUCCAUUCUUUUUCAGGUGCUCUGACGUUUAUCGGUUGAUUGGAUAAAUUGUUGCACUAUCUUCUCUUCCAUAUAUGUUGGGUUUUCUCACAUUUAUCGCUAAGAAAAUCAGGUGAGAAAUUGUUUGGCAAACUGUGUGUUGAUCAUAUGUUGGGAUAUCUUGGUGGGAUUCAUGUCCCAAUUGCAGCUUUUGCUCAUAGUCUUUCGGAGCUCCCAAAUUUUCAUUUCUCUUAGAAGUUCUCUUAAUUGAUUUUUUUUUUGUAAUAAUUUUCUACUUCUUGUUAAGGUUUGGCUUCAUAUCCCCUCUAACUUAUUGUAUCUUUACUUUUUUUUCUUCAAUAUAUAUUCAUAAUAAUGUCUUUUUCCUUGAUAGCAAUGCCGAAAUGAAUGUGACAUCAUUGUUUUAAUUAUUAAAAUUAAAAAAUAAAAAAUAAACUGGAGAAGAUGUGAAUUAUUAGUCAGAGAUGCUAGUCGAGUAAAUAGGUUGACUAUCAUAUUCAUGCAUGUAAAUAAAAAUCAUUCGGCCAAACUCUGUUACCAUAGACGGUUUACCAAAAAAAUAAAAAAUAAAAAAAAACUCUGUUACCCUAGACGACUGAUUGGUUGGAACAUUGGAAAUUUCAUACUUAGCCGUAUUUGUGUAGAUUUUCCCUCCCUCUCCAACCAAUUAAAUCUCUCCCAGCUCAACCAAUCAAGAGGGCUCUUGAAAUGUUGCUAUAAUUACUUUAUAUUAAUAUGUAGUAAUUUUCUCGUACAAUUAAACAGAUAAUUUAAAAUGCAAUGUUAAGCAUUAUGCAAAUCCAAAAAUACAAUAUUGUAUUGAUCCAAUAACUAAAAAGUUAUACUAUUGCCUCGUGGUUAGGUUCUUUUUCUUCAACUCACUACAGUUUGGGUUCAAACUAUCCCUCUCCCAUAUAUAGACGGAAUUCAAAGCGGUUCAAAUCAACUAAAUUGUGCUGGUACGAGAGCAUCAUGUUGUGACACCAUGUAAAUUUACUCCACAUCCUUAUCUCUGAUGCUUUCUUCCAUGCCUUAUCUGAGUACACGAUUUAAAAAAUGGUCUAACGAUUAAUAUAUGCUAAUCGUCUUGAGAAGAAUUAAAAAGGAUAAACGCAAAUAGUAUAACAGCGGUGCAGUGUAAAGACCCUAGAGACUGUCGCACAGGAACAUGCCAUAUACAUGACUAUUGACUGAUUCCAAGAAUUCAAGAUGAGGGACAAGGGUUUUCUUCGUCCACAAGCGCGUGGAAAUUUCCAAGCAACUCAAAAAUUUGUCUUUCCUUUCUCCUUUCACUCGGCCUCCUUUUUGCUCGAUCAUUUGGCUAACACAGGCCAUUCCAUAAUCAUCUGCUCUAUAUUUAAUGUUUGAAACCUACGUAACUGAAAAACAACAAAUUAGUACCACAUAGAAACUUGAACUAGCUACUAGCCUUGAGCUAUUCCUAUUUAUUUGGGUAGCUGGUAGUAGCUAGUGUUAUUAGGGUUAGGGUAGAGGGAGGGAGAUCGAGAGACAGAUACAAUGGAGGAUUUACCACCUGGAUUUAGAUUCUCUCCAACAGAGGAAGAGCUGAUUUCGUUUUACCUGCAGAAAAAACUUGAUGGGAGGAGUGAGGACUUGAACCGAGUUGUGGAUCGAAUCAUACCCGUUGUCUACAUUUACGAGUUUAAUCCAUGGGAACUCCCACGUAAUUCAACAUCUCUCUCUCUCUCUCUCUCUCCCUCCCUCCCUCCCCCUUCCCCCUCCCUCCCUCCCUCCCUCUUUAAUUGUUGGAUUUAUGCUAGCUUCGGGCUUGCUUAACUCUAGGAAAAUGUUGGUUUUAGUGUACUGAAUAUACAUUUGAUAAUUUUAACAUGAAAAAUCCAUAUGAUGCAUACUUAAAAUUAUGAGGCCAAUAUGCAAGUCUCAAUCAGAUUUUCCCUCUUUUGAGACAAUUGAUAGACCAAGAAAAACGUGAUAUAUGAAGCUAGCUAAGCUUAAGAUGCAAUUUUAUGAAAGCAUUUAUUUAUACAUGCAUAUGCAGUGCUUCAACUAUUGUAUUUUAUAGUUGGGAAUAUACUUUACAUGUACUUUAAUUAAUUAUGGUUACUAAUUAAACAGAGGCUGCCGGAGAGGCGAUCCAUGGAGAUCCGGAGCAGUGGUUCUUUUUCAUCCCAAGACAAGAAAGUGAAGCUCGAGGAGGGAGACCGAGACGACUCACAACAACUGGGUAUUGGAAAGCAACAGGAUCUCCAAGCACUGUUUACUCUUCCAAUUCCAAUCACUAUCGUGCCAUCGGCCUCAAAAGAACCAUGGUUUUCUAUACUGGCAGAGCUCCCCAUGGAAAGAAAACGGAGUGGAAGAUGAAUGAAUACAAAGCCAUUGAAAUUCAUGCAGAUGAUAAUAAUCAACAAUCAAUGGCCGCCUCCUCAUCAAACCCUAGUACUCCUUCUACUCCCACGGUACGUACGUACUAAUUAAUUUCUUAGCUCAAACUUAACAUCGUUUUUUUUAAUUCACAAAUUCAAUUAUGUGCAACACAAUGAUCUAGGUUUUCUGACGACAUAGUUUGACGAAGAUCUACAUUUAUUGUCUGACGUUUAUGUGUUUGUGUAUAUGUAUAAUAUUCGAGAGAUUACAAGUGAAUGAUUUUGUCCAUCAGCUGCAAGUUGCACCAUAUAUAUUCAAAAAGCAUAUAUGUAUAUGUUCUAGAUUGGGCACACAAGAGGACAUUUAGUUAGUUUGUAGAACGACACCAACAAGGCCUGAACAUGUUAGUGGUACCACAAGGCCGCACAGUUUUUAAGCGACUUCUUUGAUGGCUAACGGCAUUGAGUUUUCAGUGCUGUUGAUUAGCAUCUAAACCAAUUUAAUUAACAAUACUUCAUAAUUCAUAUUAAUUAUUAUGUUGAUAUAUGUUGGCAUGUAUGCAUGCAGUUAAGGCAAGAAUUCAGCUUAUGCCGAGUAUACAAGAAAUCGAAAUGCCUUAGGGCAUUUGACAGGCGACCUCCAGGGAUUGAGAUCACAAGAAACCCUAACUUAAACAUUCAAGCAGCUCCUGCUCAGACUGCAGAUCAUCUGGAUCAGGGUUUGACAACAUCGAAUAGGAACCCUCAGAAUAUGGAAGGGAGAACAAACUCAAGCUCACCGGAGAGUUCAUCCUCAGGAGGACAUGGCUCUCAAUCCUCUCAACCAGAACAAAGUGGGACUUUGCCAAUGGCCGUUGAUAAUGAAGCUAUUUGGGAUUUGGAUCAAAUGAUAAAUUUUUUGCUUUAAGGGGUGGAUAGGAAGAAAGACUAAGGGGUAUUACCCCGUUAUCCAAAAUCCUUAAAUACAAUGUCUAGCUACUAAGAAAAUAAACUAGUGCGCGUGGAAUCAUAAUCACUCAUAUGUACUUAUGUAGGGUUUAAUCGCUCUAAGGUAGAGUUAAUUUGUACUGGAAUUGGGGACGAAAAGCCAAAUUCAAAGGCUAUUGUACUAGACAUGUCCUGAUCACAAACUUAACCUAUGCAUGUAUAUGUAUGUAUGUUAAUUUCCUGAUCACAAGCUGUAACAAACAAUUGGGUUCUUUAUCUGUUGUGCUUUCAUAUGUAUGUAUGUACGUUAAUUUCUUGGACUACUAUUCUGUAUAACCUUGGACGUUUGCAGAAGUGAUAUUAGAAUUUAUCACUUGUAUUGUUAUGCGUAGGUAAUUAAAUUUUUGAGCAUUGUUGUCAUUUGAAGGCUUAUUGAUACAUGUAAUUCACUAUUAACUUUAUGUAUCAACUGCACAAAACUGAUAUUUUUCAAUUAAAAGUUUGGUUCAAAUUUUUUUUGGUUCGAUCAUUUUUGCAUUUCUAGUUUUCCCAUGCAUUCCUCCAUUUUUUCUAACCUUUGAAUUGAUUAAUUUAAAAGAGAUUCAAAGGACAAAAACAAGAGGCGAAGUGCAAAGAAAGAGAAAAUGAGAGUGUAAAAAUCACUACUUUUUUUGUCUAUUGAGCAAUGUGUCAAACUCUUUCAAAAUGGUAUCAGGUGGAAUAUCCUGCGAUCAUAAAUUAAUGUAUGCUAGAUUGACUAGUCAAACUCAUCAGUCAACUAAGUACAUAUUUAUUAGUUAAGCAAACACAAAUCUAGCAACUAAACUUGGUUUACCACAGGUUAUCCUAGUCAGCAACUGCUCAGUUCGUUAUUCAUACUCAUGUAGUGUAAACUUAAGUGCAAACACGCAUCAAAUAACAAGCCAUAGAAUGCAUGUAUCAUAUGCUAAUUUUUUGUACCAUACUUGACCAAUCCCAAAACUACUGAGCACCGGUCAACGUUAUACCGUCAAGGACCAAGAAGAGUUUCCCUCCAACCAUGAUGCCAAUCACAGCGCGACACGUGUCAACAUCAGAAACCAAUCACAACACGACACGUGUCAAUGUCAGAAUGAAACUAAAAACUCUCUUCUAUAAAUAGAGAUCAUUCUCUUACAAUAUUUCUUAAUGUCAUUUGUACUAAAUUAUUCACUUGUACUCACUAAAGGAGAGCUUGAACCUAUGUACUUGUGUAAACCCUUCACAAUUAAUGAGAACUCCUCUACUCAAGGACGUAGCAAGUCUGGGUGAACCACGAACAUCUUGUGUUUGCUUAUCUGUCUCUAUCCAUUUACAUACCUAUCCACACUAGUGACCCGAGCAAUCUAGCGAAGGUCACAAACUUACCACUUUCUGUUGUACCAAAGUCCUCACUGAUUUUGUGCAUCAACACUUGGCGCCGUUUGUGGGAACGACACUUAUUCCCACUCUCUUUAGCUUUGUUAAGGUGGUUUCCACCAUUCCUACACUCUCUUUUGACUAGGCAUCCCUCUCUAACAUGGGGAGCGAAGGAAGUCACAGCACGUAGAAUGACACCUCUCUUGCACUUGGUGCGAGGCAACAAAAGAAGGAAGGAAAGAUGGUUGCUUUUCAAGCUAAAGUCGAUGAGCUAGAAGCUCAGAACAACAAGAUAACAAUGAAGAAUGAGGUCCUCCAGGAGCAGUAUGAGAAACUCUUUGAGACGCUCCACGAAACUAGGCGUAGUCAAACACGCGAGCUCGUUGCCUCUGUGGACAUUAACCAUCAUCUGGGUGCCUCCCAACACGGAGGGUCACCUCCAUUCGACAUAGGUAUCCCUGAUGAAGAGCGAGCUAAUCAUCAAAACAUUGAUCAACAUGAGACUUCUCUCAACCCAGAUGCUUCGACCCGAAGCAGGAGAAAUGGAGGAAGACAUCUCAUUGCAGAAGGGUUAGAAGGAUCAAAAGCCGUUUAUUGUGACUGCCGAGGCUUUCUAAAGUAACGUCGAGAGAAUCCCUUCCACAUAUGUUCGAAGGUUAAUGACCCAAGGGUAUCUGAAAGACUCAGUCUCAUCCCAUGACCUAGGCCAGCUGCCAAUCUAGGGAAGGAACGACAAGUCCCAGAGGAACAUGAAGGUACAUGAGACUCUGAGGUAUUCCGACAGACUCGCCCUAGAAGUCGGUACGGCGAGUCUGAGGAAAAACCACACGCCUUUGCUCAAACUUUCCUACUUCUUAGAGGCGACGAAGACUUACGAAAGAAAAUUCCAGUGGUACAUGACUCAACUCAGGACCCUCUUGUCUUACAACUCCUUGAGGAAGUAAACAAGUUGAAGGCCAAACGUCAGGCCGAGAUACCUGACUGGAACCAACCCAGGCCUGGCCCUCUCACAAGGAGGAUCAUCGACGCCCCCUUCAAGCGAAAACAAAGCAAAAACUUGGUUUAUAACUCUAUACUGGAAGGGAGAACCCAAUUAAACACCCUAACCUCUUUGAGUCCACCAUGGCAUAUCGGAUGCACACCGACGAAGAAUGAUGUUUUCUUUUCCCCUUCACCUUCUCUGGCGGAGCUCUAAAUUGGUAUUGCCGUCUUCCACCUGAGACAGUAGACUCAUUUGAGGAUUUGAGGAAACUGUUUGUCUCUUAACACAUCUUCCAGAUCGAUCGCUUGCAUUACGCAGAUGACUUGUACACUAUUUACCAGAAGCCGGAUGAGUCACUACGAGAGUAUGCCGGCCGCUUCAGCCAUGAGUAUUCUCGCUGCGUUAAGGCAGAUGAUAAAACCGCCCUCAAGGCCUUCACGGCAGGCUUACAUGAUUGUUUCUUCAAGUACAUAAUCAAUGCCAACACUUGGAAGACUUACUCUGAGGUGAUGGCACAGGCUUACAACCACGCUUUCACCGAAGUAAGGACAUACCAAAGGAACCCCCAUAUGAUUAACCCCUAUCAACAAGUGGGAAAUGGAAGUCAAGUUCAACCAAGUGAGAAGAUAUUGGCCAUUCAGACACCUAUUGCAUCAUCUCCUGCCUCAUUUAGCUACUCGCUAAGUCACCAAACGUAUCUGUCUCUUGGUAAGAGGAAGGAUUUUUACUCUCAGGAAGCCUAUUACAACAAGAGGGAUAAAAGUUCGUAUCAAGACAACUAGGGGUGAACGUACCGUCGACUAUUAUGACUAUGGGGCCAAGCCUCACUCUUUCAAAGUGGAGGGCUAGGUACUGAAGGAAAUGUUAUUAUAAGAAGGCAUACACAUUACAAAUGUUUUGACUCUCAACCGCUUGAGAUCUUUUGUCACACAAGCCAUUCGGCAAAUAUUUAAAGAAAAGGGAAUUCAGAUAACUUCUUCUGAGUCCUUUGCGUUCCUAGCACUGAAACACUUGGUCUACGCUGACCUACCCUUAUACUCCAACUCAGAGCUUCAACAUGCGUACUUUGACACAAAGUAUGUGAUACUAAGUGUUACAACCAACAUGGUUCACAUAUCAAAAGCAUGGAUCCCUUCAUGCAUAGCAAAACAUUCAUAAGCAUUACUCAUAUCAAUCAACAUAAACAUCAUACAUUCUAACACAUUCAUACAUAAACAUCAUACAUUCCAACACAUUCAUACAUAAACAUCAUACAUUAUAACACAUCCAUACAUAAGCAAACUGUGCUUUGAAAGGGUUCAACAUACUUUGUGUCAUUCGACACUUGCUACAAUGUGCCUAGACACUUUGCCCUUAUUCUCACUAACCAGGUGAUGAAAUGUAAAGAAGGAACUCAUCUUCAUGCCACCAACCAGGUGAUGAAAUGUACAACUCAUACUCUAAUAUCAUUUGGCAACUUGCCACUAAUGCCACCAACCAAGUGAUGAAAUGUACAACUCGUACUCUCAUUCAUGCCACCAACCAGGUGAUGAAACGUACAACCCGUACUCUAAUAUCAUUUGGCAACUUGCCAUUCAUGUCACCAACCAGGUGACGAAAUGUACAACCCGUACUCUCCUUCAUGCCACAACCAGGUGAUGAAAUGUACAACCGGUACUCUAAUAUCAUUUGGCAACUUACCACUCAUGCCACCUACCAGGUGAAUAAAGAACUUAUCUUCAUGCCACCAACCAGGUGAUGAAAUGUACAACUCGUACUCUCCUUCAUGCCACCAACUAGGUGAUGAAAUAUACAACCCGUACUCUAAUAUCAUUUGGUAACUUGCCAUUCAUGCCACCAACCAGGUGAAGAAGGAACUCAUCCUUGUGCCACAAACCAGGUGAUGAAAUGUGAUGAAAAGUGAUGAAGGAACUCACCUUCGUACCACCAACCAAGUGAUGAAAGUAACUCACCAUUCAUUCCACCUACCAGAAGACGAGUGGUACAACUUGUACAUGUGAACUCCUAGCAUUCACAAAUAAUAAAAAGCCCUCAAGUUUGACAACUCAACUAGGGGAGCACUUAUGCCCAACAAGAGUUAUAGUCACCAACAAAGUCUUAUUGCAAGCCAACAACAACUUCAGUGCAUGGCAUACGAAGAUCAAGCUAUUCAGUCCUCUUGCAUUUGUUUCAGACAUUUUCCCUUUGUAACAAUGCAAACACUACAACUCGUAGAAAGCUUCACACACUCUUGAUCAAGACAAUGUGAAGCAAAACCAAUUUAUGGUGCCAACAAGAGCUUCAUCAAAGGAGUUCAACCACAAUUCUCAAAAGUUUCGCACACUCUUGAUCAAGAGAGUGUGAAGCAAAACCAAUUCAUGGUGCCAACAAGAGCUUCAUCAAAGGAGGGCAACCACAAUUCUUAAAAGCUUCACACACUUUUGAUUAAGAAAAUGUGAAGUAAAACCAAUUUAUGGUGCCAAGAAGAGCUUCAUCAAAGGAGUUCAACCACAAUUCUCAAAAGCUUCACAUACUCUUGAUCAAGACAGUGUGAAGCAAAACUAAUUUAUGGUGCAAACAAGAACUUCAUCAAUAGAGGGCAACCACAAUUCUCAAAAGCUUCGCACACUCUUGAUCAAGACAGUGUGAAGCAAAACCAAUUUAUGGUGCCAACAAGAGCUUCAUCAAAGGAGUUCAACCACAAUUCUCAAAAGCUUCGCACACUCUUGAUCAAGACAGUGUAAAGCAAAACCAAUUUAUGGUGCCAACAAAAGCCUCAUCAAAGGAGUUCAACCAUAAUUCUCAAAAACUUCACACACUCUUAAUCAAGACAGUGUGAAGCAAAACCAAUUUAUGGUGCCAAUAAAAGCUUCAUCAAUGAAGGGCAAUUACAAUUCGUAGAAAGCUUCACACACUCUUGAUCAAGAUUGUUCGAAGCAAAUUCAAUUUAUAUGGUUCAUCCAAACCUUCGACUACUACAAGGUGUGGCUUGCAUCAUAAUCUCUUGCUCAACAGUGUGGAAGCAAAAUUUGUAUAUGUUGUCUCUCCCACAUUUUCAAAUUUCUAAUUUUUCCAAAAAAAAAAGGAAAUUGGGAAAUUCAGCAAAGCUUCACCAAUAAAAGCUUCAUCAAUGGAGGACAACUACAAAUUCUCAAAAGCUUCACACUAUCUUGAUCAAGAUAGUGUGAAGCAAAAUCAAUUCAUGGUACCCAACAAAAGCUUCAACUCCAAAACUUCACCUACAAAGCUUCAUCCACCACAAAAGCUUCACCCACAAAAGCUUCCCCCACCACAAAAGCUUCAUCCACGACAAAAGCUAUACCCAUAAAAGCUUCACCAACAAAAGUUUCACUCACAAAAGCUUCCCCCACCACGAAAGCUUCAUCCACCACAAAAGCUUUUCACCCACAAAAGCUUCCCCCACCACAAAAGCUUCACCCACAAAAGCUUCACCAACAAAAGCUUCCCCCACCACAAAAGCUUCACCAACAAAAGCUUCCCCCACCACAAAAGCUUCACAAAAGCUUCACCCACAAAAGCUUCACUCAUAAAUACUUCACCAACAAAAGCUUCCCCCACCACAAAAGCUUCACCCACCAUAAAUGCUUCACCCAUAAAAGCUUCACCCACCACAAAAGCUUCACCCACAAAAGUUUCACCCAUAAAAGCUUCCCCCACCACAAAAGCUUCACCCACCAUAAAUGCUUCACCCACCACAAAAACUUCACCCACAAAAGUUUCACCCAUAAAAGCUUCCCCCACCACAAAAGCUUCACCCAUAAAAGCUUCACCAACAAAAGUUUCUCUUACCACAAAAGCUUUACCCACCACAAAAGCUUCCCCCACCACAAAAGCUUCCCCCACCACAAAAGCUUCACCCACAAAAGUUUUACCCACCACAAAAGUUUCACCCAUAAAAGCUUCACCAACAAAAGCUUACCUACAAAAGCUUCCCCCACCAUAAAAGCUUCACCCACCACAAAAGCUUCAUCCAUAAAAACUUCACCAACAAAAGCUUCACCCACAAAAGCUUCCCCCACCACAAAAGCUACAAAAGCUUUACCCACAAAAGCUUCCCCCACCACAAAAGCUUCCCCCACAAAAGCUUCACCCAUAAAAGCUUCACCAACAAAAGCUUCACUCAUAAAAGAUUCAUCAACAAAAGCUUCACCCACCACAAAAGCCUCACUCAUAAAAACUUCACCAAUAAAAGUUUCACCCAUCACAAAAUCUUCACCUACAAAAGCUUCACCUACAAAGCUUCAACACAAAAGCUUCACCUACAAAAGCUUCACACUAUCUUGAUCAAUAUAGUGUGAAGCAAAAUCAAUUCAUGAUACCCAACAAAGUUUCAACCUCAAAACUUCACCUAUAAAGUUUAAUAUAUAUAUAUAUAUAUAUAUAUAUAUAUAUAUAUAUAUAUAUAUAUAUAUAUAUACAGAGAGCUUAAGGGGAGGGAUCCCCAUUUUUUGAAAAAAAUGGGGAUUAGGUGUGGGGCCCACUUCACAUCAAAUUUCAACGAUCCGAACCGUCUAUUUUGUUAGUCUCGAUUCAUAGAUCAUCCUUGCAAAAAUUCAAUUCAAUCCGAAACCAUUUGCCUAUUUAAUUAUCAAUAUCAAAUUUCAUAUAUUUUGUUAGUCUCGAUUCAUAGAUCAUCCUUGCAAAAAUUCAAUUCAAUCCGAAACCAUUUGCCUAUUUAAUUAUCAAUAUCAAAUUUCAUAUUUUCUUAUAUAACAAAGUAUUCGUUCAUUUCCUUGAACCCAAUUAGAUGUCUUAAACAUUUCCAAUUUAGCUAAUAUUUUGCAAGGAUGAUCUAUGAAUCGAGACUAACAAAAUAGACGGUUCAGAUCGUUGAAAUUAGAUGUGAAGUGGGCCCCACACCUAAUCCCCAUUUUUUUCAAAAAAUGGGGAUCCCUCCCCUUAAGCUCUGUGUGUGUGUAUAUAUAUAUAUAUUAGGAAAUUCAAAAAUUCAAAAAAUAAAAAAAUAAAAAAAUUGCCUAGGCCUAACAAUUUUCAUAACAAAUAUAUAUGAAUGAGGAGUUUUGGCUACCACUUAGAAAGGAAAAUGGUGAAAUUUUGUUACUUUGGAAACUUGGAUACUAGCAAGACACCUCAUUCGUCAACUCCCUCGAUCGGAUACUUGGGGGACUCCUACCAUAUGCUACUGCACCUUGAUACUCGGAAGUCUCACGACCACUCAGUGAUUUGGAUUUUUUCAAGUCUCCAACCGAGAAGUUUUCCUCACUCAGGAAAUUAAGAGAGCACUACCUCAACCUACAUGUUUCACUCACAAAGCUUCAACAUACAAGCUUCAACAAAAGGAAAAAUUCAAAGAACUUAGUGAAGAAGGCCUAGGUGUAUUUAACGCAAUACGUUGAAAUGAAGUAAAACUUGUUUAUUGAUAUAUUCGAUAAGUUACAAAUAUGUACAUAUACAUGAAUCAAACUAAACAAACAAGAGAGAGCCUUCACAAAUGUUGCUUAGGAGAAGUCUCAGCAAUCGGCAGAGCCCCAGAAAGAUGAGGCACCUGAGGGUGAUUAUUCGGAGUCUCAAUACUAGGCAGAACCCCAGAAGAAGGAGGCACCAAAGGUUGAUCAUUUGGAGCUUCAUUUCGCGGUACAGCCUCAGAAGACGAAGACAAUAAAUGCAUUUGGAACAAACCCACAAACCUCUGAUGAUCAAGUAAAAUCUGACCAUUAGAUUCCUACAGCUGGUUAAGCUUCAUCUUCAUGUUUGUAGCAUAAUCAUGUGCGAGCAUGUGCAACUAUUUAUUCUCAUGCUUGAGCCUUCUGAUAUUCUGUUUGAGAUUUAUCACUUCAGCCGCCAAUGAUUCAACUUGGCGGGUUCGAGCAUAUAGGCGUUGUGCCAUAUUAGAUACAGAACAUGCACACUAAACACUGAGAGCCGUAGAAUCAUUAACAGCCAACUCAUCAGACCGUUUGAAAAGUAGUAUGUUAUCUUUAGGAGUGAGAAGGUUUCUGGCCACCACCGCAGCAGUCAUAUCAUUUUUUAUCACAUAGUCCCCAAUGGUAAGAGGACCAGUAGGGAAUAAGAAUGAUGGGCGCCAUAUGUUGUCUUGAGAUGGCAUAAAUGCCUCUUCACCAAAGUUCAAGUCAAAAUGACGGUUGGAUGGGCUAGACAUUCUCAGAAAUGAUGAAGGAGAAAUGAGGUGUAAUAAAUCUCUUAAGUAAGGGGAAAAUUCCUAUAAGCAAUAACUCUCUGAAUGUACUUCUUACAUAUAAAUGGUGCCCUUAUAAAAGAAAGGGCAAUAGGGCCAUUGGUUAAAAAAUCGAAGAGGCACCACUCUCCGGAUUCCGAAGAGGCACCACUUUCCACACGAAACAUCAGCUCCUCGGGUACCACAGAUAACUUUGCCAAAGAUCUUUGAAAAAGUUUAGACACAUAAAUUUUGAAGAUCCAGCUACUUACUAUUACCCAUAAGGGUAAAGGAACAGCAUCACUGCUUGAUAACUAGAAAGUCCCAAUGUGUGUCAACCUCCGUGCUCCGUGGCAAGGCAGACUGGUAAAAAUGCCCAACCUUUACUCACAUUCGAGAAAACACUCCUAGCAAGAUUGCUUGCUCAAAAAUCGAAGAUGCACCGCUCUCCGAAUCUCGAGAGCCAGACUCCCAACAGGAUUACAUGUUCAAAAAUCGAAGAGGCACAACCCUCCGAAUCUCAAGAACCAGACUCCCAACAUGAUUACUUUCUUAAAAAUCGAAAAGACACUGCUCUCUGAAUCUCAAGAGUCAGACUCCCAAUAGGAUUGCUUUCUCAAAAAUCGAAGAGGCACCGUUAUCUGAAUCUCGAGAGCCAGAUCCUCGACAAGAUUGCUUGUUCGAAAAUCGAAUAGGCACCGCUCUCUGAACUUCGAGAGCCAGAUUUCCUUGGAUAAAGCUUGUCUGCAAUCUUCACACAUAACAUCAACUUUCCAGAUACCACAUACCACUUUUUCAAAGUGCUUUGACAAAGUUAAAUACGUAAAGCUUGCAGCUCCUACUACCUUAUUAUGACCAAGAAGGGUAAAGGAAUAGCACUACUAUUUGUUAUUAGGGAGACUCCUAUAUAUGUCGACCUCCAUCCUUCACAGCCAUGCAGACCGGCAAAUAAAAAAAUGCUCAACUUUUCUUCACAUUCGAAAGGGCAAUCUUAGCAGAGUCUCUCGAAAUACUCAGCUUCUUUUCCCCCCGAUAAUACUUCUGCAAACAAGCCAUACCAAAGCAAGAGUAUCUCAUUUCAUUAAAGUUAAAAGCAAGAGUAUCCCAUAUCAUGCUUUUUCCCUGUCUUUUCCUUUGGCCUUGUUUUUACCUGCAAGACAAGAAGAAAAGAGAGCAAUCAGUCAGCACUUGGAAUCAAGCUUCCAGUCAGGAACUGACUGCCUGGAACCCCUUGCCUGAUUACUUACCUGGCAUUACUCUCGAGUACUGAUUUUCAACAUCUUAUGCUUCCAGAGAAGAUACCACAUCUGCUUGAGGAACAAAUAAGGUAAGUGAGAAAGAUACAAGGAAGCAUGUGGAGACAAGCGUAACAGAACACGUGCCGAUAUAUCCACUACUUUAUCAACAGCAAAAGUAUCCCAUAUCAUUAGGGUCGAACGUACUCUAGAUUUGAUAGACUUGUUUUGACCCUCAAAUUCUUGCGUCGGCCUUAUACUCUGGAGGAAACCAGAAAACCCUCAAGCCCAGUUCAAGAAUAAGCAUGUGGAAAGUUACUUCUUCAAAAGAAAAAGUAUCUCAUAUCAUCUCUUCUCCAUUUGCUUCUCCUUAUCCUUGUUGCUAUUUAUGACACAAGGAGAGGAGAACAAUCAACCGGAAGCUGAAGUCGAACCUCCGAUCCAAGUUGCUUGCUUGGAAGCCUGAUUGCUUACCUUGUCUGUUACCUCAUUCGGCAAAUCUCCUAGCUCGGUGACUUGGGGGACUCCUACUAUAGGGUUUGUAUCGCACUUGACCAAGCCCGAAACUACAAGUAAUCUUCAAGUGAAAUUGAUACAUUACCUUGUGCAUCUUCAUCGGUUAAAGAUACCACCCCUAGAUGAAGGAAAAGUACUUCCAGAAAAGAUGCCAUAUCUACAUAUGAGACAGAUAAGGCAAGUGAAAAUGAUACCACACUUCGGUACUUAGAAGUUUCAUGAUUACUCAAUGGCUUGGAUCUUGCAAGUCCCCAACCAAUGAGCUUCCUUCACUCGGGAACUUAGGGGAGCACUAUUUGUACCAUACUUGACCAGUCUCGAAACUACUGAGCAUCGGUCAACGUUAUACUGUCAAUGACCCAGAAGAGUUUCCCUUCAACCAGGAGACCAAUCACAGCGCGACACAUGUCAACAUUAGAAGCCAAUCAUAACACGACACGUGUCAAUGUCAGAAUGAAACUAGAAACUCUCUUCUAUAAAUAGAGAUCAUAACAACCAGAGAACAAAUGAGAGCUAGCUAUGGUUUUAACAAAAAAACAAACACUUGUUUUUUUUUUCAACUAGCAAGGAUAAUGACACUUGUCAAGCAAAAAAAACGAUAUAAGUAUAUCAAGGUCUAAAAGCUGGCUAUCAACAAAAAGGUGUCAGCAGCAUGAAAUUCACCCUUAUAAAUAGAAGUGGUUCUACAACAUUGAAAAGACCUUCAACUUAAAACACAAAAACAUUAUGCACAAAUCUUGCUCUACGCGAACCUCUCAUACUUUAAGAAAACACUAACUUCCAUUACUUCAUCAACACACCUUCAAUUUGGAUUAAGAACAUUGUGUUGACAACCAGUGACAUCUUCAAUUUGGAUUAACAGCACUGGAGCCGUAGAAACAGGUGACCGAUAAACAUCUUCAGUUUGGAGUAACAACGCUGCUUCAUUUUUGGCUGAUCACUUAUCCAAGUAUUUGUUGGUGAGGAGUCUUUAGUCUUUUUCUUGAAAAAGGUCAUCUUAUUAGCCUUUUUGGCGAAGUGAGGUGUUACUAGGUAAUCAAUGUUCGGCACAUUGAAAGUCUUAUUUGAACUUCACAGUGACUAGUAAACUUGUCUUCAAGCUCUAGAACUCAAAGGCCGAGGCGUCUUUCUUUCUUAGCCAUGAUCGCUCAUACACAAAAAUCAGCAGCGCGUUCGAGAUAGCUACCACAUCCAUCUUACUUGAACUGAGCUAGGUGGCAAGUUGGCAUGCCCGCAUUCACCAGAAGAAUGUAGUUAGCUCAUUAAUGACUUAGUCUCCACGCCAUGUAGGCUAAGUAGUUUUUAGGGUCAACAAUAUGUUCUUUCAGUAUUGGAUAAGUCAGUGUGUGAGAUGAAAAAUAUAAUUGUUUUUCUUAUUUUUAAACGAAUAUAGAGUUGUUAUUAGCACUCUAAAAUAGCGAUUUUGGCCUUCUUAAAUUGCAACUUCUUAUAAGUUUAGAAAUUUUUUUAAAUGCUAUUAAAAAGUUUCUUCUACGUAUUGUCCCUAAAAGAGAUUAUGCAUGUGAAGUUUUUGUAUGUUUAGGAGGUUAACUGCAAUUUUUAAAUGUGAACAUGACGUUGAUUGUUGAUACCUAUAAUCUAUUUUUUGUUGAUAUGUAGUUGAUAUUUGAUAUUAUUCUUGUUAAGUUUUUGUAUGUUGAGGAAGUUAAGUGCGAUUUUUAAAUGUGAACAUAUCGUUGAUUGUUGAUACCUAUAAUAUAUUUUUGUCAAUAUGUAAUUGAUAUUUUAUUUAAAAUUAAAACCCUAAUAUAGAAUGAAUGUAUGCAUGUUUAUCAAUUAUAAGAUUAGUUGAGGAUAAUGCUUGUGUUUCGUCAUGAAAAACCUUAUGGUAAAGUACAAAAAACUACUUCAACUAUUAGUGUCACGACAUUUUCAUACCUCAUGUUUUAAAAUUGACAAUGUCAUACCUCAUCUUUAGAAUUUGGUCCAAUGUCAUACCUCAUCUUACCAUACACGUCCUAAAAAGUUAUCAUGGUUAUCAUUUUACUUUACGUAAAGUAAUGAUUUAAAUGUUAUUCAUGCUCAUGCGAGAGACAUUUUUUCAUCACAUGAGCUACGUGCCUCUAAGAAUGUAUUGCUUUAGUUGUUUUCUUAUUUGCCCAUCCAAAAUUUUAAACUUUGAAAUACUAACACUCAUAUUCUUUACCAUGUAAAUCCUAAAAAGUUGUCAUGUUUUUCGUUUUCACUUUGGUAAGAGAGAGGCUUUUACCUGUUAUUGAUAAGUGCCCCCUAAGAUAUGUACUCUCUCAUACAUAGCAGUGUCUUUACCUGUCUUCUUUAACAUUACCUUCGCAAGCAUGUUAUAUUAACUUCUUUUCUUUAAUAUUACCCUCGCAAGCAUGUUCCUAACCCUUCGAGACUAUGGAUGUUGAAAUGCAUCGAAGUUUCAAAUAAUGAGAAGAUAUGUGACAUUUACUAACAUUUAACAAACAGUAUUGUAUAUAUUUACCAUGACCAUAGUACAACAUAAACUUACACCUUAAUCCAUGUGAUAAGGAGUAAUAUUUUACAAUAUAAAGCUAUCAAUCUCAUUGUUUAUUUGAACCAUCUCUCCAUAAUUGUUUCCUGUACAAAUUUGUGGCUGAUCCUGCAAUUGAAAAACCCAAAUGUGCAGUAAAAACAACCAAGAGAAAACAGAAGCUAAAAGAAAUCACACUAAAAAAAAAAAUCAAUUGAAAUUAAGCAAUCACUGUGCACUUGAUCGACCCUAAGGUGACAUACAAAUGCCAAUUGCCAAAAAAUUUAAGAAACCAUUUUGAAAUUAAGCAAACAUUAUUCUAAUAAGAAAAAAACCUCAAAUGUACAGUAUAAUUGAAAUUAACUCCAUUUGGAGGGAAUUAAAGAAUGCCAAAACCACAAUAACUUCAUAUUACAUUAAACAUUUUGACUAAUAUGUUAUAAGCACAACCAACUCAUCCAUAUUAAGAACCCAACAGAAACAUAAACCAAAUGAUGCAAUCUGCCAAUUAAUUGUUCCGUGCAUCAACUUGUGAACGAAAGGAAAGAUAUGAACAGAAAAUAAAUUCAACAAAACUGGAAAAAUGAAGAGAAGAAAUUCCACUUAUGAAAGGUGGUUAGAAAAAAAAAACCAAAAUCAAUCAAAGUAGAAGAAAUUCCACGACCGACCUGCGUAUUUAUCCUAUACAGCAUUCGUUGUCAAACUCUUUAGUCAAAGCUCUACACAUUGCUUAUAUCUGUGAGAUGAAUACGACAAACAUUUGAGGUUGAAUUAGUGAAUCUCAAAUACACUGGAAAAGAGAAAAUGCAGACCACAUCUUGAUCAACAAAAUUAGAGAAAAUGGCAGAUAAAAAAAUAGAAAGGGAGAUCGAUUAGGUACUCAUGAUUAAAGGAAGAUUAGAAAUUUCAUUAAAAUAAAAAGAAGAAUUGAAAGAAAAAUCAAAUGUAGAAGAAAAUUCCAUUAAUUGAUAAAACACUCACGAUUUGUCAGAUUCUUACAGCCUUACAGGAAGCUUUGCACUAUGCACGUUUUUUGCCUGAAGCAGCAAAAUGCCCACUCCUCACAUCAUGAUCGCCACAAUUUAAAGAAGUCGAAGUAGUACAAAGUCUUGGCAGAACAAAAUUGAAAACAUAAAGCAUAAACCCAAUAAGAGUCAUAAACUAAUGAAGAAAAAAUUUGAAAAUUUUCAAACUACUAACCCUACAAUAUUGUCUCGCCCACACAACACACAUCACAUUUAUCUCCACUGCCUGCACUGAUACAAAUGAUUUGAAACCUAAUGGCAAAAGCACGUUAAAUAAUUGGAAAAUGGAUUAAUAUAAACAAAAACUCCCCAGAGCCAAGAGUUUCCCAACAAUCAUACAUGAAAAUAGAAGGAAAAAUGAAUUUGGUUAAUGGUGGACAACCACUGGAAAGAAUGCAGAGAUCAUGGAGAAUCUGAGAUUGAAAGUUACCUACGAUAAGAAUCAGUUGAUGUAGAGGAAGAGUCUUUGUCAAUAUAUCUACCUGUCUGUUUCUCCCUUCCCAUCGUUGUCUUCUUCUUGAUUUCUGCACGACUACAAAUAAACUACAAAAAUUAAUAUGAAACUAAACUUACCCAAUGAAAUUUGAACACAAUGAAUUACUUCUCCAUUAUAGUUCAUUUCCAAAUCCUACUACUUUGAGAGGAUUUAAAAUACCCCGUUUUCUAAAAAUUUGGAAUCUCUAAUAACUGAAGAAUCACACUAUGCAAAACCCAAGUCGUUUAUUAGGACGAAGAAUCGCAAAAGCCUCAGAAUUUGAAAUCUCAUAUUUCAAUGUAAUUUCUCUAAUUGAAAACCCAACAAUAAUAAUCCAGUCGAAGUUGAUUGUAAAGACAAAAAUCGAAGGAAUUUAGGAAAAAUCACCUGAAAUCUUGUCUAAAUCGAGUGUGGAUGCCGAAGGAACUUAAAACACGAAGAAGAGGGGUCUAUGCGGAAGACAAAAAUGGGUUCGUUUCUUCCGGUGUAUGACGUGUUGUUCACUCUAGAACGUGUAGCAGAUGGCGGUUCCAUCUCCUCUAGUGUUUACAACCGUUGCGGUUCGAUGUGGUGUUCGAGAAUUCUACUCUUUCGUGGAGGGUUUUUUUUUUUUUUUUUUUUUUUUUUCGGAAAGAUAGGACACAAUGCAGUAUUUGUGGGAGGAUUAAUCCAAGGGUCAAAAUGAAUUUGAAGUGCAGGUAUUUUCAUCCCGGUGGUUGUCAAUUGUUAUAGUUAAGAAGGGUGUUUAUAUUAUUAGCAUCGGAUAAUUUUACAUUUUAUAACCAUGAUAACUUUUUAGGACGUGUAUGGUAAGAUGAGGUAUGACAUUGGACCAAAUUCUAAAGAUGAGGUAUGACAUUGUCAAUUUUAAAAGAUGAGGUAUGAAAAUGUCGUGACAUUAAUAGUUGAGAUAGUUUUUUGUACUUUACCCAAAAACUUACUUGUUCCUCUACUUACAAUUAACGAAUUUUUACCAUUCAAACAUAAUUAUUGAAACCGGUCAUUCUCUUGAUCACCUAAAGAUGCAAAAAAAUCAUUCAAUUUGGAUAUCGUUAGUCAUCCAUACGUGUUAAGCCACAAUGAACAAUUUUGGUACCAAGUAGCAUUUUCAUGAUGAAUCGUCCAUUUGUUAUAUGCAUAUGAAUGAAUAUAAGAUCUCCACAUUGAAUAAUUUUUUGCAUGUACAACCUUUAGAUUAUGAUAAAAAGAAUAGUUCUUUAGAUAUAGACCCUUGAAAUUCUUAUUCCCUAAAUAAAAACUCACCUAAUUAUAAACAUCCAAAUAAAAUCCAAAUUUGAAAAAAAUUGCCAAGUAAAAAAGUAAUUGACCUACACACACACACGUCAAAAGUAUAUGGUACUACUAUAAGUUCAAUAUAUAUUCCUAACAUAUGUAGACACACACACACGUCAAAAGUAUAUAUAGUACUACUAUAAGUUCAAUGUGUGUGUAUAUAUAUAUAUAUAUAGAUGUAAUUUACCAAUAUGUACUACUAUACGUUCAAAUAUAUAUAUAUGCACAAUACUAACAUAUAUGUUAAAAAAAUAUUAUAUGUAAUUAGUUUAUCUAUAUGUAAAUUUAUGAUUAGCAAAUAAUAUAUAUUUUGUAGGUAAAUUAAUAAUGAAUCAAAUAACAUUCUUUUAUUUUGUAGGUAACUUAUUUUUCAUAUAUUAUUACAUAUAUUUGACACAUUUUAUUAUUAUAAGACAUAUAUACAAAUAAUAGGUAAAUUAACUUCGAAUCAAAUAACCUUGCUUUAUUUUGUAAGUAAAUUAAUUUUGAAUCAAAUAGCAUUCUUUUGUUAUGUAGGUAUUUUAUUUUGUAUGUAUCAAUAUCAUAUAUAUAUAUAUAUAUAUUGUUUGUACCAUACUUAGUGCCUCCGUAUUUAGAUCUCGUAUAAAUACUCGGGGGACUUAAAUGUAAUUAUGUAAUAAGGGAAGGGGCAAAUAUGUAAUAAGUGAUGAGUCAUUAUUCUAUAAAAGGACCCCUCACUCUCCUAAUUAGGGGAGGCCAAUCUCUUAGGCCAUGGGAAGAGUUCUCUCACCCUUCGAAGCUCUCUCCCUCAUUCCUCUCACCUCUCAGAGAAAUACAAUAUCAGUGUGGAUGUAGCCUAAACCUUGGGGUGAACCACGAUACAUCUUGUAUUAUUUACAUUUCUUUCAGAUUCACGGUCGGAUUUACAUUGUUCCAAGACCCAUCCGGUUUUGUACAUCAACAUUUGGCGCCGUCUGUGGGAAACGACACGAAAAAUUAUGUCGGUUCUCUCUUAAUUUUUCACCUCCGCCGUGAAUCUGUAGAAACCCAAGAACCAACAACCCAACAUCCACACUCAGAGACACACCCAUUCAAUCUACAGAGAGGAAGAAACAAAACAUGGGUUCUCCUGCAGUGUUCGUGCAGCUCUCAAUCCUCCUAUUGAGCUGCGUCACUGUCUUCGGUAAUGUAAUUACCACUUUACUCGCCAUUCUUCCACACCACAGUGUUCAUUAUCUACAUCCAUCCUGAUCUCCUAUUCUCCCUCAAAAGAAGCACCUACAACUUGGACUCCCCUCUCCCUCCAAAGCUCUUCUCUCACCACCCUCUUCACAAUGGAUGAGACUGUUUCCAGAUGGGAUUAGGGAGAAAAAUAGACCUAGAGCCAGGAAGGUGCAGAAGAAUAAAUGGGAAAAAAUGGAGGUGCUCAAAAGAGGCGUUUCCGGAUUCGAAAUACUACGAGAAACACAUGCAUGGAGGGAAUAUUGAGCCCGAUCUGGGCCUGGGGUUUAGCCCCGGACCUGUGACUCUCGUCUCAAACUUCUUUUCCCACGGUGGCGACGACUGCAAGUCAUUCUCCUAACUGCUCGCCAGAGCCGUGAUGUCUCUAUCGCCGAGGGCACCAGGGUUCCCGCAGCUUCUAUGCGGCAGAAAACCCAUUACUCCUACGUCAUCCUUCUGCUCCAACGGCCACAGUAGCAAGAACAAACUCACCUUUAUAAAAAAUUUCGUGGCCUGCCGCACCACCAGCCUCGCCUCCUCCACCCGCGCCACUCUUCCUUCUGUGCUGGAACCUUUUGUCCCCAAAAUCAUGUCCACAGUCACAUUGUUCCAGAGAUUUGGAAACUCCUCAGUGAAAUUCACAGCUUCACAACUCUCAGCUUUCCCCGAUGAGGCGCAGUUGAGAUUCCUGUUACAGAGCUUUGGAAACUCCUCAAUGAGGUGCAGUCGAGAUUCCUAUUGUAGGGGGCUCAUUUUCCUAUCUAAGGGUAGAGCUAGGGGACUUCGUGGCCUUCACUGCAGCAGGCAACAUCCUCCUCGAGUAUGUCAUAGGCAGCGUAGCCGUUGCUCGUUCGUGGACCUCUUACUUCACCACUCUCUGCAACCGUAGCAACACCAAUGAUUUCUGCAUCGUAGCCCAUGAUUUUCCAAAGGACUACAGGUUACAGAGUUGUCUAUGGAUCAUCAGAUCCCCAACAAGGUCGCCGUCUCCUUCCUCCGCCCUGUGGUUCGAUUUUCGCCGGCAUUGAAGGAGUUAAGUGAUGCGUAUGGCACUGGAUGAGGAGAAGCUCACCCGUCGUAACCAUCUCGAUUUCCCGAUUGAGUAGGAGAGGCCGAACCCGGGUCCUUGCAUCUUCUUUACAGGGCUAUGUGAAAUCAUUUUUUUUUAGAGAAAGCAAAAGUGGAAUAAAGGUAAAAUGGAAAGAAAGAAAAUCACUAUUAUGUUUUUUUUUUACAGCUGGAGUACACCAGCUUGUGUUCAAACAGCAGAAAAAAAAGAGGAGGCAUAUAUACCAAAGCUGCUUAUGUCGGUGCAGAUAUUGUCGGCAAGGUUGAAAGAAAUAUUCCUAAGGAUGACCCAAGAAACCCAACUGUGAUAGCUGAUAAUUGCUUGCGCACUUCCUUAACUAAUACGGAAGCGUUGUCUGCCAUCUACCAAAAGAGGAAAGAGGAAAGCACUUAGAUAAGUAUAUUGACCUUUCAUCAUGUAUAUUCCCAUUUUGAAAAACCCAUCCGGAUAACAUGCAAAAGUAUCAAAGUAUGAGAGACCAUGACUGCUGACCAAACCUGCCUUCACGUGAAGUUUUCCUCCAACAACUGCACAUGCUAUCCCACUAUCCAACCAUAUUUGCAGCAGCUUUUCUGAAUGAUGUGAUUUAUUUUUCUUAUCUUUCGGAGACAUCUGUAUAAACCCCAUCAAAUGGUAAUAAAAAAAAAAGGGCAAAGCCCAAAGUAAAUGGGCUGGAAUGUUAUGUGGAGGGCGAAUGCCUAUAAGCCCAAAAUAACACCAACUAAGUGACCAAAAGUACGUCCAGUACUACAAAACAUUAUUCGGCACCCUGCCGUUAUUACCACUAACCAGGUGACCAAAAGUACGUCCAGUACUACAAAAAAUUAUUCGGCACCCCGCCGCUAUUAUCGCCAACUAGGUGAUCAAAAGUAUGCCCAGUACUCCAAAUUAUUCGGCAGCCUACCGCUAUUAUCACCAACCAGGUGAUCAAAAGUACGCCUAGUAUUUCAAAUUAUACAUGAGCAUUACUCAUGUCAAUCAUACAUAAACAUUCAUGAGCAUUACUCAUGUCAAUCAUACAUAAACAUUCAUGAGCAUCACUCAUAUCAAUCAUACAUAAAUAUUCAUGAGCAUCACUCAUGUCAACAUUCAUGAACAUCACUCAUGUCAACAUUCAUGAGCAUCACUCAUGUCAACAUCCAUGAGCAUCACUCAUGUCAACAUCCAUGAGCAUCACUCAUGUCAAUCAACAUAAACAUUCAUGAGCAUCACUCAUGUCAAUCAGCUUAAAAAGCUUCAUUUCCAAAGCUUCAGCUUCGAAAGCUUCAUUUACAAAAGCUCUAGCUUCAAAAGCUUCAUUUACAGAGCUCUAGCUUCAUUACUCAUGUCAAUCAUACAUAAACAUUCAUGAGCAUUACUCAUGUCAAUCAUACAUAAACAUUCAUGAGCAUGUCAAUCAUACAUAAACAUUCAUGAGCAUCACUCAUAUCAAUCAUACAUAAACAUUCAUGAGCAUCACUCAUGUCAACAUUCAUGAGCAUCACUCAUGUCAACAUCCAUGAGCAUCACUCAUGUCAACAUCCAUGAGCAUCACUCAUGUCAAUCAACAUAAACAUUCAUGAGCAUCACUCAUGUCAAUCAGCUUAAAAAGCUUCAUUUCCAAAGCUUCAGCUUCGAAAGCUUCAUUUACAAAAGCUCUAGCUUCAAAAGCUUCAUUUACAGAGCUCUAGCUUCAAAAGCUUAAUUGAAAAAAGAUCUAGCUUCAAAAGCUUCAUUUAUAGAGCUCCAGCUUCAAAGCUACAAAGCUUCAGUGCAGGAUAUACAAAUACCGCCUCCGAACAACUGCCACUUCGGCCCAUACAUGGAUUCAAUUUGAAGUUUCCAGCUAACAGACUCUAUUGACUGAAGACUUGGGGGACUACAUUAUGUACCAUAUAUUGGGCCUCAACUGGGCCUCAUGAAAAAUACUUGGGGGACUUAGCCCAUUAUUUACGUACUGAGGAGCGAGCCAUUAUUCUAUAAAAGGGAUUCCCUCACCAUUAUUAGAGAGCAUCGCCGCCUGCUGAGCAACCGCCUCGUCGCGAGCAUCAACUCUUAGCCCAUCACUUAUAUAUUGAGGAGCGAGCCCUUAUUCUAUAAAGGGGACUCCCUCACCUUCAAUGUCACAAGCCGAGCCAACCAAGGCAACAUAAGCCACAAGCCGAGCAACCUCGCAACAUGUGCUACUUCUAGUUAAGCAUCAUUUCAGAUUGAGCAUCGCCUCAUAUCGAGUAUCAGUCCUAGACAACAUCUAGUUACUUCGGCCUACACAUGGACUGAAUUUCAAGUCUCCAGCCAAAAGACUCUCUUGACUGAAGACCUGGGGGACUACUGUUUGUACCAUACUUAGGGCCUCCGUAUUUAGAUUUCGUAUAAAUACUCGAGGGACUUAAAUGUAAUUAUCUAAUAAAGAAAGGGACAAAUAUGUGAUAAGUGAAGAGUCCUUAUUCUAUAAAAGGACCAUUCACUCUCCUCAUUAGGGGAGGCCAAUCUCUUAGGCCAUGGGAAUAGUUCUCUCACCCUCAGAAGCUCUCUCCCUCACUCCCCUCACCUCUCAGAGAAAUACAAUAUCAGUGUGGAUGUAGCCUAAACCUUGGGGUGAACCACGAUACAUCUUGUGUUAUUUACAUUUCUUGCAGAUUCAUGGUCGGAUUUACGUUGUUCCAAGACCCCUCCGGUUUUGUGCAUCAACAUAUAUAUAUAUAUAUAUAUGGCACAUUUUAUUAUUAUAUGUAUAUAUAAUAGGUAAAUUAGUAUUAAAUAAAAUAAAUAUUGUUUUAUUAUUUAUAUGACAACCCGUCCCUAAUUUUCUAUGUAAUUUCUCCCUGAGUAUGUGAAUUGACAUUUAUGCCCUUGUUGGCAAGUGAUGUAGACGUGUUUAUUUGUUCUUAAAUUAUUUUUUUCCCUUAUCAUAAUUAAUUAGUAUUCGUUGAUACGAUCGCAUGAACGUGAGUUGGACCCGAAUUGGAUUCGUAACGAAAAAGUUACGUUACGUUAAAGUAUGUAUUUGACAAGUAAAAUUGUACACGAGCAUGUGUUAAUUUAUCAAUGUUAGAAACACUGUUUCAGAUAGAUUUUCUGGUUUGCUUUUACUGUAGGAAAUUUGUAAAAGCCCAUCCUUUGUUCUUUUUAAAUUGGACGCAUGCCUUCCUCUUUCACCCACCAAUCAAAUAUGUCCCUCACACCCUUCACCCAAUCAGUUUCUCUCCCUUUCUCUCUUUGCCCAAUUAGAAAAGUCAUACUCUCUCUCUCUCUUCUCUCUCCCUUACCGAAGCUCUCUUUCUCUGGAACAAGGAAGACCAAUGUCAAAACCUUGCAGAUCGAGCUUAAAAACCACACCAUCACACACCUCUCGUCACCACGAACUCAACCAUACCCUCAGAUCACACGUUGGUUGGGUUUUGAGUGGUCAAUGUGGAGCAACUCGAAAGCUUCAACUCUGUGAGUUCUACAUCAACGUGAUCUCGACAUUGUUCCAAGGUUUUGAAGGUUGGGGAAAGCUUCUACACAACUCCAGGGAGACCCUAGAUUAAGUUUGGAGUGAAGUUAAGGCAAGAACCCACAAUUUCAAGGAGUUGAAAUAAGGUCCGAGAGCUUCAAGCUAAUUUCAGACAAUUUCCAUCCACUUUUUGGACUUUCUAAAGGUACAAACUUGUUCUCCUCUUCAUUCCUUUCAUUUCCAUAUAAAGUGCGUUGAAAAUGGUUGAGAAAUGAAGAAGAUAUGAAAUUUUUACCAGAAAUCGACGAUUUUCCCAGUUUCUGGCGAAACCAGACGGCGGCGGACAGCAAGGCUCAUCAGAUAAGACAAGGAAUAUUCUGUCAAAGUUGACGGAAUAUUCUAACAGCGUCAGGUAAUGCCGUUAACUUUUAACGGAAUAUUCCGUCACUUUAACGUAAUAUUCCUAACUGCCGUUAAGUUCUUGUCAGACGCGUGCCUGCAUAUGGCCAUGGGUUGGAUGGCGCGUGAGGGCGCGUCCGGCCUCCAGCCGGUGAGUGGUUUUUACGUGCAGCUCCGUGACUUCGAGUAAAAUAUUUUGGUAUAUUCAAACCUUCCGUUUGAGCAAGUUAUGGGAAGUUUUUCUGUAUAUGUCCUAUUAAUUAAUUGUAAGUAGUUGUUUCGCAUAUAAGGGAGACUUACCCAGAGGACAUACGUGGACAAGGAAGAUUAGGGGGCUACGAUCCUACGACAUACUAGUGAGUGUGCAUUUUGUUUUCGUAUAUAUAUAAACUUAAUAGUUUCCUCAAAUGCUUUUAAACUUUUUUAUGCAUGUUGUGCCAUGAGUUAUAUAAUUUUUCAAAUGGUAUUAUGUGGUUGAGAUUUAUAUAUUUGAUCAUGGCAUAUUCAUAUGCGUUUUACCUACUCAUAAAUAUUAUGCAAUUGUAUAAUGCUAAGUAAUUCUACAGGACGCGCAGGUAAGUAUAGGUGAGAUUGUUAUGUCGUUUGGAAUGUUGAGUUAUGGCAUGCGUAUUUUCAUAUAGUCCAUUCAUCAUUGUUACAUCGGUGUUAAUGCUCACCCCGAGUCAGGGCAAGUCUUUCACGUGAUGUUCACCUCGCACCCCACGCUCGCCUUGGAUCCAAGUAUGUGAUAGUCCUGUCGUAAAGGUCACAUUAGGCGACUCUGACUCGUAGGUGACGCGCAUAGUGCUAGUCUUCACAUGAUCAUAGCACUAGAGCGUAUAUUAUUACACCUAGUCCUGUCAUACAGGUCACAUGAGGGGAAUCCGACUCGUGUGUUAGCCUAGAUAGAUGAGCAAUAGGUGCAGUCGUACAGGUCACAUUAGGUGACUCCAACUUACAUGUUAGUAUAGCUUGUUGAGCACAUGAUUAUAUUCAUAUUGCCAUUGAUAUAUUUUGAUGUGGCAUCUUUAUGAGUUUAUUGCUGGCAUGCAUUUGAUUUCAUACUUACUUAGUAUGAUUUUCUGGAAACUAUACUUGUUUUACAAUGAGGGGUUAGUAUAUUUGGAAAAUAAAUGGAUUUUUAAACUUUUAUUUUUGUGCCCACUCACCCUUCUAUUUUUCGCCCCUCCGGGUCUUAGUUAGUUGAUUUAUCUCUGUGGUGUAUAAGGAAUAGCUGGUGGAUUCUGACAUAUCUCCAUCUUAACGUAGGAACUUAUCUCUAGUUGUGUAAUAAGUACUUCUUUUAUUCGACUGCUUUACCCUUUGUUAUCUAUACUAUGAAUCUUAGUAGUUUAUGGGUUGUAAUCACUACUACGCACCCACUUUAUUAGUUAAUUAAUUUCUAGUUUCGGUUUUAAUUUAUUCACAAUUUUCUUUCAUCACUUGCACUUUUGGUUACAUCACCUUCACGUGACGGCCAGUACACCUUGAUUCCGGUCAGGGUGUGUCAAUGUAGGUAAAUUAUUUUGCUUGUAUUUUGCAUAUAAUGGGUUUGUUAUUAUGUAGGUAAAUUAUUUUCAUGUAUUUUACAUAUAUAGGGUAAAUUAUUAUUUUUUUAACCAAUCUAACAUUUUAAAAUUUUAAUAGUAGGUGCCCUAUUUGAAUCAAAAUGUUUUUUUUUUUGUAGGUAAAUUAUUUUGCAUGAAUUUUACAUAUAUCAGGCAUAUAUAUAUGUAUAUUUGUGUGUGUGAAAUAAUUUACCUACAUUAAUAUGUAAAAUAUAUUUUGAUUGACUUAAUUAAGCAUGUAUAAUAGCAUAUAUUAGAUGUGACAACCCGUCCCUAGUUCUACGAUUUUAUAAAUUUUAACAAUGUGAAUUUACAAAAAUGCCCUAGAGGCAAGAAUUUUGACUUCCAUUGACAAUUGUUUAGAGAGACGUAUGACUCGUUCUUUUGGCGAAUUUAAGUAGUACAUGAAGAUACGAGUGUGUGAACGUAAACAGAGCGUAAUUUGGAGCUAUAACGAAGGAGUAUUAACGUUUAAAGCCGAGGGCUUUUUAGUAAAUGUAACCUUCACUUUAGAAGGCUCCAUAUUUUCUGGAGCAAUCUGAUUGAGACAAGUGGACGGUUGUGAUGAAGAGUGGAGAGAGAGGAAUGGAUGAGAAAAAAGAAAAGGAUCUGGGAGACCAACCAGGAAAUGGAGGAAGGAAAAUAAAUAAGUGACGAAUAGGGGAAGAGGGACAGGGAGAAAGGAAGAAGGUUGUCCAAUGGGAAAAGAAGGAAAUAAGGGAAAGGGAGAGAGUAAGAAGCACCGGAUUCUCCAUCCCCGCCUGUUUCUCCUUGCGUUCUAACUGCAACCCGACGGGUUACAUGGUUUCUGAAGGAAAUAGUUGAAUUUUUCGACGAAUUGGGGUGGCCGUCGACCGCCACUUGACCUCCAUAGGCUAAAAUGGGUGCCCCGAUUCCAUAUUAGACAUCCAAUUAAAGAGUGGUUAUAUUUCCGUUAAGGGCCGCCACUUGGUUAUUAAAUGAUUCGACGAUCGGACCAUUGGAUCGUCACCAAACUUUAAUACGUAAUAAUACACAAUAUUUAAGGAUAUUAAGAAUUGACGGAUUGGGAAUUUGAUGUACGGAUCUUUCCGGAUGGGUUUUCUAAGUUUGUCAAUCUAAAUAUUGACCGCCACUUAAUUUUUGCAAUUGGUGGAGAUCCGACCAUCGGAUCAUUCCGAAACUUUAGGAUGUUGUGUUGUUCUAGAAGCUUAUUGAAAUUCUUGGGAAAUUACGGAUCAGAAAUCUGAAGUGCGGAUCUUAUGGAUCGAGUUACGUAGAGUUGUGGACUCUACCGUUGACCUUUGACCGACAGUUGACUUUUGGUCAAUAGGUUACAAAUCAUUCUAGAACAUCCUUGGGGAUGUGUUUUAUGUAAGUUACAUGUUAUAUCGAUAAGAAUUUGAGACAUGAUUUGAUAUUUGUUCUAGGCGACGAUCGUUCGUGACAUCUCGAUAUUCAUGCUAAGGAGUUGUAAUGCGGACUUCAGGUGAGUGGGUUUUUUCUUUUAUAUAGUAUAUACAUAUUUGUUAGUUUCCAUUUAUAAAUUGAAAGAGAAUUUACUACGUAUGCCUAACUUAGACUAAUGAUGAUAAGAAUUAGCAACUAAUGGAAAAUUACGAAGUGAUCAUAAAUCCUACGGGAUGCACAUGUAUGCGUAUGUUUAUUAAUGUCAUGAUUAUACCUACGGCUAUGAAUACAUUUGAGUUAUCGAAUAAGUAUCAAUUUUACCGGAUGACACAUUUUUGUGCAAGGCAUCAAUUAAGCGGUUUAACAUAAGGUAUGAAUGGUGGUAUGCUGCUUGCCCUACAUGUGCCAAACAAAUGUACAAGGAUCCAACGAGUGGUCAAUUGAUCUGUCAAAAGCAUCCAAAUCAAAUUCCAACUCCUUGGCAAUACUUCAAAUACUGUAUCAGUUCUAUUGAUCAAUCGUUGUCUCACACCGUUCUUAGAUUAAAACUUAUACUUUAUUUAGUUUUUACAUAUUUUUAAUUAAUAGUUCAUCACUCUUUAGAACAACACUAUCAAGGUUUAGCCAAUGAAUCAUAAAAUUUGUAUGAUGCAAUAAAAUCAUCGUUUUAAUAUUCUGACUACAAGAUGAUCUAAAAACUUAAUUAUAUUUGAAAAGCUCCUUUAUACAGCCAUACUUUUAUUUUUCAAGCCAAUGAUAUUAACAUUAAGCUAUAACAUAGAAAAAUAUAUAAAAAUGUAGUUUUCAACUUAUUAGACUAUUUAGGUUUUGUAAUCAAUGUUUUUUGUGUUUGAAUGAAUGUACAAAGUGUUCUUGGUCCUUGAAGAUGAAACAAAUGAAAUCAAUGCUCUCAUUAUCGGUAAAUCAGGUGAAAAAGUCUUUGGCGCACCCUACAAAGAUUUGGUUUUCAAUCAAAGAUCAGCAUACCAAAAGCAAUUGCCAAGCAAGUUUCUCAGACUUAUAGGCCAAAGAAAAAAAAUUUCACCUCCGAUUUGGAACUAGAAGAAAUUUGUUGAAUUCAAAUGAUUUUCUCAUCUACAACGUUUAUGAGGACACUGCAAUCCCACCAACAACUCCACAAUCUACCAGUAGAGAAAUUGCAGUGUCUUCCACAACAGUUUCAUCUUCUACUACACCGCCUGAAACAUCUAGAGAAUCACACAAGAGAAAAAGAGGAGAGCCCUUUUUACAUGAGUUAAAAAAAGGUUAUAUUUUGCAGACCAACAUUUUUUUUUCUACGCCUCAGAUUAUUUUCAAUAUGAUCUAAAUUUAUUUUUGCAACACUUUUAAUAUGUUUGGCAUAGUGACACAGAGGAAGUCUCUGAAGCAGAUGUGCAAGAUUUUGAUCAGGUGCCAAUCAAGUUAUUGAAGAAAAAAUCUUCUCCAAUUAGCUCAAAAACAGACCCUCCAUUACAAAAGAAGAACUAGGUAACUUCCCUUUAUUCCCGUUUUUUAUAUGAUGCAACUCUAUUCAUAUACACGCUUUAUUUCAUCUUCGUUGCCAUUUAUAUUUUUUUCCCCUCUACACACUCUCUUAUUUGCAGUCAAUCUUGGAAGGAACAAACUUUUUCUGUUGUACAAAACAAUGUUAUCAUCUGUUGUUCGAAUGAGAACAAUGCUUCUCCACAUUUUUUGCAUGUGAAUAGGCCAUUGUAAGAUCGGUUCCCCAAUUUUUUGUGUGCAAGGACAAUUUAAUGUUUUCAAAUAUUUUAUCUGCAACUACUGAUGUGAAUCAAGAACUAGGAUGACUGCCAAGAGGUAAUAUCAUAUUAACCAUUUAUGUAUGUCAAUGACAAAGUGUUUGCUAAUGUUUUUUUUUUUUUUUUUUUUUGUAUAAAAUGUAUAAAUCUAGACACUGGCAUGUAACAAAUAUUUGCUACAUUAUCUUUGUAUAAAUAGUAUUAGUUUGGAUUUCUAUGCAUUUAUAUUUUUUGUGUACAAGCAUUGUUCAAACCAGAACAGUGCUUCUCCAUAUUUUUUGCAUGUGAAUAGGCCAUUGUAAGAUCAGUUCCCCAAUUUUUUGUGUACAAGGACAAUCUAAUGUUUUCAAAUCUUCUAUCUGCAAUUAUUGAUGUGAAUCAAGAACUAGGAUGACUGCCAAGGGGGAAUAUCUCUGAUUAACCAUUUAUGUAUGUCAAUGACAAAGUGUUUGCUAAUUUUUUUUUUUUUUUUUUUGUAUAAAAUGUAUAAAUCUAGACACUGGCCUGUAAAAAAUAUUCACUACAUUAUCUUUGUGUAAAUAGUAUUAGUUUGGAUUUCUAUGCAUUUAUACUUUUUAGAACAUGUUCUAUAGUUGGAUUUUCGCUCCCGCAACAACGUGCGGGCACAAUUUUCUAGUUUGGACUAAAGACCUGACUUGCUUCUUGUACGAGCCGAGCUCGAGCAAACUUAAAAACAUCCAACUCGAUAUUGAGCUCAAGCUGAUUCCAGUAUUUACUACAAUUAGUUGAUCCGCUCUUGUAACAAAUAUAUAUGACAUUUAUAUUUUAAUUAAUUGUUGUUCAUUUUACUGCCUUUUUUUUUUUUUUUUUUUCCUUCUGAUGGACAACAACUUCAUAUUCAGCAUAAGGCAACUUGCGGAUGAGAGUAAAAAGGGAAACUCUCUCAUAUCUCAUAGAUUGUUUCAAGGUAGAAUCUCAGUAAUUGGUUCUCUUAAUUUGUACUUUUUGUACUUCGGUGACCUUAUUGCAAAUUUGUACUUUUUGCACAUUUUUUUCUCCUAAUUUGUGUUUUUUUUUUUUUUUAGAUGCAUCUCCAUGGCUUUACACAAGAAAGAAAAAACAAAGAUUUAGGGAUUGUAAUUUGAAUCCCGAAUGCAAGUGAUACAUGAAGCUAGUUGCACAUGCAUAGUAUGUGCGCCGGUUGUUACUAUAUAUUUACUUUUCAAUCAUUCAGUACGACAUUAGUUAGUUCCCACCAAUGGAUACCGCACUAAUCAUGCUUAAUGGGAUACGAAUCGAUUUCAAGAUGAAAUUGGAAGUUUUAUCAAUCAAAACUGAACAAAACUUAAACUAAGCAAGUAACCCGAGAGUAUCAUGAAUGCAGAAUGUUGACUGUAUGUAACAAUUCCAGCUCAGUUUCAAUUAUAUGGUUUUAAAUGCUCACCCUUAAAUAAUGGUAUAAUUGCUUAUUGAAUGUAUAUGUGAGAAUCACAAACCAAAUGUAGAUAAUAAAUAUUUGUAGUAGAUAAUUCAACAAAGAAUAUAAAUUUUGGAAUUGCCCUAAUCACCUAAAUUUAAAAAUAGUUUAUUAAAAGAAAAAUAAUUAAACUCCCUAACAAUGUCACCAAAAAACAAAAGAACAAACUCAUUCAUAGUUGAGUGAAGAAACUUGAACAAAAUCAUGGUUAACCAUCAUAAGCAUCAAUGUAAAGCUUAGUUUCAUACCACAUGUUAGGGGCGUAACUACCAUCACAUAAGUGUAAGUCCACCUAUUUUAGAAGAGCAAAGACAAUAAGAAGAUUCUCAAGACAGUGUCAAACACUGAAGCGGAUAUGUGGUGGGCUCUGGAAGCGAGAGAGAGAAAGAGACUUAGUGUUUUCUUUUUGGUCGAAGAAAGGAUUGAGUGUCUAAAGUGAUGCAAUUUUGAGAUAGAGAAAGAGAGUCUGUGAUAGGACAGGAGUGGAAAUGGUUCGGGCCAAGUCUUCGUUUCCCAAAUUUUUAGACCUGCCCUGCCUUGCUAAUUUUGUGGACUCACCCUAUCCUGGUCCAUUCCGUGUUAAAAGUUUUGGGAUCCACCUCGUACCCAUUCCAAACCGCAUGGAUCCGUCUCGAUCCCCAUAUUCAUGACCCGUUUGCCCACCCUAUAGGUAAGCUAAGAAUUACCCUAAAUUAUUUCUACAUAAUAUUACAUUAUUAAAUCACAACAUCAAAUUCACUCUCCUAUUUCUAACACAUACAAAGAAAAAGAAUCGAAGAUACCGUUUUGGACAUAGAUGCGACAUCCUUUAGGCCUACAAAACUUAAACCUCCAAACUCCCAAGAACCAUCGCCCACCACAUCCUUUUUCCCCGAAAGCAACUCCCACCCCCCAACAUUUUUAAGGGCCCGCCCUUCCUUCUCUUUUCUUCUAUUCAAUUUCCACCAAACUCCACAUCCCUCCGCCACAUCGAAACCCAUAAAUCUCCUCAUUUCCCCCCUUUUUUAUUCCCCACCCCCUCACCCAGAAAAAGAAUCUCAACCAUGGACUCCAUCAGCUCCUGCAACCAGCGAUCGCCGUCGUUGGAUCGGUUGCUUGGCCUCUUCUCCUUCUCUCCGCCCUCGUCCGCCGUCGUCGGCGAUGAGCUCAAUGAGGUUAAGGUUUUCUGGACCAUUGAUUUCACUGAGCCCGCUGUCGACGCCCCAAACCCCCGCCUCAGUCUGACUCGCCACGUCAACUCUAGAAUACUCGCGGUCCUUCCGAAACCUGGUCAAUCAGCAUAAGUGUUGUAUCAGAAGCCGACAAUUUCGUUGUCAUCGAAGCUCAUCCCUUCAAUUCCAAGACUUUCGCCGUCCCAAUCGCAAUCCCAGUCGGUUCCAAAUUUGAGAAAGCUCCAGAGCUCAGCCCUGAUGAUGGUGCCGAUCCUGUCCCGAUCGGUGGAGAAGCACUGCAGAAAUGACAGUUUGGUUGAUGUGGUAGACGACGAGGACGGGGUAGAUGAUGAGAUGAUGCCACCGCACGAGCUGGUGGCGAGGGGGUCGGGGGUGUCAGAUAGGACGAUGUUCUCGGUGCUGGAAGAUGUGGGGAUGACGCUUAAAGGUAGGGAUUUGCGUCAGGUUAAGAAUGCGAUUUGGAGCAAGAUAGAGUUUCUUGAUUGAUCGAUCGAGAAUUUUACAAAAACGUCGAGUAUUUUUUGGUAAUUUCGAUUUCUGCUUUUGGUUGGUCAAGAAUUGUGGUGUUUUUAUAAUGCCAAGAUUAAUUGGGGGAAAUUUUUUUAUAUAUUACCAAAUUAAUUUUUUUUUUAUUUUGGAUUAUAGUUCUAUAUUUUGAUGUUGAAUUUGCUUAUGUUUUUGCCAAAUCCAUACAAAUUUAAUUUUAGUCAAUUUUUUUUAUUAACAAAUUUCUUUGGUGAACUUUAAUUUUAGCCAAUUAUUUAAAAAAAAAUUAAAUAGUCAAUUUUCUCUUACAUUAAAUUUUAAAAUUCUUCAUUCAGUUUUUUACUAAUUAAGAUUAAGAGAGAAUUGGCUAUUUAUAGAAAUUUAGGGUAAUUAGAUAUAGAUAUAAUUAGAAUUUAGGAGGAAAUUUGACUAAUUAUAAAACUUAAAGUAGUAAUUUAACUAAUUAUAAAAGUUCACGAUGAAAAUUGUUAGUUCCAUACAAGUUCGGAUAAAAAAUUGUAUGAAAAAUUGUAAAAUAUAACAUUCGAGAGAAUUAGCUAUUUAUAAAAAUUCAGAAGUACUCGAUUAAAUUUUAAGACAAAUGACUAACUAUAAAAGUCUAAUCGGCUAAAACCAAAAUUCAUAGAUAAAAUUAACAAUUCUAUACAAGUUCGGGAUAAAUAUGCCCUCAUCCAAUUCCCUCUUCUAAUAUAAGUAAAUAAUUGGUUGCAUUCUGACAUUAGCCAUAAACUUUAACAACCGUGUUCCUCUCUUUGUGAUUGAAGAGAAGUUUUUCAGUGUGACGGAAACACAAGUGGUACCAUACGUGUUUUUAUAUAAAUGGUGAAAUUUUUUUGGGCUAAUCUCGGUUUACUACCUUGAAGUUUCGUGGUUUUCAACAUUUGGUAUAUGAAGUUUUUUCUAUCCCAGAAUCAUACCUCAAGUCUUAAUUUUGGGACAGUUUCAUACAUACGUUAAGUUUUCCGUUAGAACUUCUGUUAACUGAUAACAUGGCGUCCACGUGGACAAUAACUAAGCACCACGUGUCAAUAUGGGCCCACUUCAAUAUUAAUAAAUUAUAAAAAAUACAAAAAAUAAAAGGAAAACCCACUCGUCUUCUCCCCCAACCUUUUUCCCUUCCUUCUUCCCUCUGUAACCCGCACCCUCUCCACCAGCCUUCCUUCACCACCAGUCUCCCCCAACUUUCCCCCACCUUCCUUCUUCCCUCUGUAAUUUCUUCCCCAUCCGCUUAUCUUUCUAAAAUCCCUACAAGCCUAACCCAUGUGGAUAUUUCUCCUCCUACCACAAUUUCUACCCCAUUCCCCACUCUCUCUCUCAAAUCCCUCUUUGCAACCUGCAAUCUACCGUCUCAUUUAACACACUCAAAUUAUAAUUUGUAAAACCCUAAUUUCUACCCAUAUCUCUCUCCGCUGCUUCAGAAAGGAAAAAAAAAACCUAAUUUCUAUUGGUGAAGGGACGAGAAGAAUCAGGGUUGCCGAAGAUCGAAGUUGAGGAGGCGUAGAUGCAUGUCGCAGGAGUGAAGAAAGGAAAGUGGGGGUUCCUGCACUUCAUAUUGUAGGUUGCCCAGAGAGAAAGGAGAGAAAAAGGGUGGUGAAGGAAAGUGUGGGAGGGGGCUUCACGACGGGGGUUUUGGUCUUCUACUUCUUGUUGCGGGGGUCGUUGGCGACCGAAACGAUGGCAUAGAAAACGGAAGGAAGGGGGUUGGGUACAAGUUGCAAGGGGUUAGGGGAGGUAGAAGACGGGUGAGGUUUUUUUUUUUGUGUUUUUGUAUUUUUUAAUAUUGAAGUGGGCCCAUAUUUGACACGUGGCGCUCAAUUAUUGUCCACGUGGGCACCACAUCAUCAGUUAACGAAAAACUUAACGAAUGUAUUAAACUGUUCUAAAAUUAAGACUUGAGGUAUGACUCUAGGAUGAAAAUAAACUUUAUAUACCAAAUGUUGAAAACCACGAAACUUUAGGGUGGUAAACUAAGAUUAACCCAAAAUUUAAUAUUUAAAUUAUUAACUUUUUAAUACACAUAUCUCACCAUUUAUAUAGUGACACGUAAUGUACAAUCUCGUAUUCCUGUCAUACUGAAAAAUAUUUCGUGAUUGAAGUAGCAAUUUGGCAAUAAUCCUGAGCACUCAUAGGACAAAUUGAUCGAAAUCCAACACUUUACAAACAACAAAUGAAAAUUCAACAACUGCACGAAUCAAGGAACACAAAAAAAGGUUGUUCCCACUUCAAAGUUUAUGCCAAAAGAAACAAUUAAGGGUAAUGACAAAAAACUACCUCAACUAUUGGUGUCACGACACUUUUAUACCUCAUCUUUUAAAAUUGACAAUGUCAUAUCUCAUCUUACAAAUUUGUGCCAAUGUCAGACCUCUGUCAGUUUUUGUGUUAAUUUUUCAGUUAAGUGCUGACAUGGCUAGAGACGGGACCCAUUUUUUAUUAAAAAAUUAAUUAAAUAUUUAAAAACUAAAAAUUAAAAAACUAAAAAAAUAAAAAAAAUGGCCUAAGGGAUCCGGCCUUCCCUUUCCUCCACCCGAACCAACCUUUUUUCUUUUUCUCUUCGACAGCUGCCAAACCCUCCCCCGUCCCCUCAACCUUCCUCCGUCACCCUCUCUCUCUCUUCUCUCUGGGAUACGGUCUCCCUCCUUCGUCCAUCUCCCCACUUGCACUCGUCCUUCCCUCACCACAACCUCUCAAUCCGACCCAUCCCUCCCUUGGUCCCUCCAUACCCAACCUUCCUUCACCACCCCACCAUCGCCUCUCUUCCUCCAUCUUCACCACCCCAUUGAAGAAACCAAAAAAACCAAGCCCACACCCAGAUCCCACACCAAAAAACAAAAAAAAACAAAAAAACAAAAAACCAAACCCACACCUAGAUCCCUUUCCCCUCCUACACACCCAUCACCCUCCUACACACACCCAGAUCCUUUUCCCGUCCUACACACCCAAACCCUCAAUUUCGAUAAUCAAGUUUCAGAAAAUGGACGAGGUUUGAGAAGGUGCAUCGGAAACCCAGAUCCCUUUCUCUCCUCUCUCAUUUCUCUUUCUCUCUUUCUCUCUCCAAAACGCAGACUUACAAGCCAUGGAAUGCACGAAUUCUCUCAUCCCUUACCUCAUCACCUUUCUCUCUCUUCACCUCAUCCUCCUCAUUUUCUCUCCAAUUGCUGCCGCCAAGCUCACGAACCAUCUCGGGCUCGCCAGGUCUAGCUUUCCGUCCGUGCACGUGAAUCAGUUGAUUAGAGCCUUCAAUCUCUUCAUGAGGAAGACAUCAACAUCAUCGACCCUGAUUCCUCGACAUGAACAGGGCUAGCUUGAGGAGUUGUAGGUGAAGCCAUCGUCGGUCUCUUUGGCAUCGAAGAGGGUGGAUGGUGAAGGAAGGUUGGGGGGACGGGUGGGAAGUGUUUCUGGGUUCUGAGAUUUUAAGGAUGCAGGUUACAGCCUUGUAGGGAGAGAAGAGAGAGGCGAGACAAAAAUAGAGAGGAGAGAUAAAGGUUGGGUGGGAGAGAAAGGGAUCUGGGUUUUUGAGGAAGGGGCACCCAAGUUGAUGGGUUUUUUUGGUUUUUUAUUUUUUAUUUUAUAAUAAUUAAUUAAUUUUUUUAAAUAUUUAAUUAAUUUUUUAAUAAAAAAUAGAUCCCGUCUCCAACCACGUUAGAACUUCACUGAAAAAUUAACAAAAAAACUAACUAAGGUUUGACAUUGGCACAAAUUCGUAAGAUAAAGUACGACAUUGUUAAUUUUAAAAGAUGAGGUAUAAAAGUGUCGUGAAACUAAUAAUUACGGUAGUUUUUUGUAAUUUACCCAACAAUUAAUUAAGACAAAUAAUGCAAAUUUUAGUGAGGAACUAGAUAGAUAGUGAUGAAAGGCUAGUCAGACUAGGGCUGGGCAAACGGGUCCUGAACCCGCGGGUAGGGGCGGGUAAUGCGGGUACGGGACGAGUACGGGGCGAGUACAGAUAUUGUAAAUUCAAAAGGGGGCGGGGCGGGGCGGGGCGGGUACAGAAAUGGGAAAAUACGGGCCCCCGGCCCGGACCGUUGAUUCCUACCUUGAUUUCCUACGUUGAUUUCCUACCAUUGAUUUCACCUUCUCUCUCUCUCUCUCUCUUAUUCUUGUCCGAGACUCCCAAGACUCUUAUUCUCAGACUCACUUCCUCAACUUUCCAUUCUCUCGAUCUCUCAUCCUUGAAUCUCCUUCAACCUUCCAACAUGCAAAAUCUCCUUGAAUCUCCUUUAUCGCCGCCACCAUCAUCAUCAGACCUCGAUCUAGGGUUUACACUGAGGCUUCGCCGUCGAUGAGCUAGGGUACUGCGAGGUGGGCCUGAGAAGUAGGGUUUACACUGAGGCGGUGUCGGCGAUGCUUGAAUCCGACGACAAUUGAUCCAUUUCUCUCUCAAUUUGUCUGAUUCGUUCUGUCAGAGUCCUCUCGAGUCCUCCACUCAAUUUGUCAGGACGACGCUCAUCUCUCCACCAUUCCCACCGUUUCCACCAUUGUUCCUAUCUCUCUCGCUCAUCUCUCCUAAUCCCAACUUGAUGUCUCUGUCUCCCGACUCCGGUCGUCGAAGAUGGCGUCGACGAUGACAUGAGGCUCCAGAAUUCAGAUCGGAGAUGCUCCGAGGGACCUAAGGGAUAACAGAGAUAGAAGAUGGACGAUGAUGGCGCGACGACGAUAGCGAGCUCGUCGAUGAUGGUGGGCUCCAGAUCGACGAAGAUGACGCGACAACCACCACCCACCACCCACCACCACUAUCGCCGGCGCGACAACCACCACCCACCACCACUAUCGAGGACAGUAUCAUCCUUGCGAGUUCUGGGUUCUGUUCUGUUUUUUUUUUUUCCUGUUUAUAUGUUGAUUGUUGUUUCUUUUCAAUUUUGAUGUUUUGAUCAUUGUUUGGUGGUUGGUUUUGUCUGUGUGCAUGAUUAAAGGGGUUUGAUUUGUUGUUUUUGCAUCUGGGCUUUCAUUUAUUGCUUGCUGUGCAGCUGUGCUGCUUGUUCUCGUAUGUGGUGGGGAAGACGACCUCAACGAGGUCGUCCCUUCUAUGGCUAAAAGAAAAAAUGGGUACCUGUGGACCCGCCCGAACCGGCCCGUUUUAACCGGGCCGGGUAAUGUCUGGUUCCUAUACAAGAAAAUCCAAUCCCCACCCCGUCCCGGCCCGUUUCGUUUAAGCUCCGGUUCCUACAAACUUAGGUUCGGCCCGGCUCGCCCCGGCCCGUGCCUAGCCCUAAGUCAGACAAAUCCAAAUGCCUCAAAUAAUUGAGUUCAUAAAAAUAAAUUUAAAAAAAGAAAAGAAAAGUAUUUCUCCUCUUUUCACACAUCAAAUUGAAUCAUCACUCUUGCCAAAUCCCACUUCCAAAUUAAAUUGCUAAUUUGAAGGUUUAGUGAACUAAUUACAGCAAUAACAAUAUAUAUAAAUGAUGCAAAGCAAGUCAGACAAAUCCAAAUGCCUCAAAUAAUUGAGUUCAUGAAAAAAGAUUUCCUUUUUUCACACAUCUAAUUGAAUCAUCACUCUUGCCAAAUCCCACUUCAAACUCAAACAAGUUCAUAAAAAAAAAUUGCAAAAAAAACCCAAAUAGGAUUCAAAUUUAAAAUGUUACCCACCCAAGAUCGAGACAUUUACAAAUUAACAGUUCACCAAAUGGUCCAGAAGCACCCCAAUUGACUGAAACACCCAGAAUCAAAUAGCAUGGAAACUAUCUGCCUUAGGGUUUCAAGAAAAAUGGGGAAAAAGAGCUCCAAAACCCAAAAGGAAAACAGAGCAAUGCCUCAGAAAACCCAGGUGGGAGGAGAGGAGGGUUUCAGAAGGAAAACCCUAAAGAGACCCUCCCCGAUGGAGUUUUUCACUAUUGCGCAGCUAUGACUCAAAACGCUUCCAUGGGUAAAAAGGGGAGACGAUCUUAAGGGCCACGCUUAACAAGAACAAACAAAUAUUGCAGAACAAGCAUUUAGAUUAAAAGUUGCAGAAUUUGAAUGGAAGAAACCAGAAAACCCAAAUGCCCAAGAGGGCAGAGGAAGCGGAUGAG
rnacentral:lncRNA from 1 species